UUUUCUCCCUCUUUCCAAGACAAACUAGAUAAGAUGCAGAUUGGAUCAGGCGAAGAUGUGAAUGACCUCAACUAUGAUUAUGACAAUGAACAGUGCGUAGCACGUGGUGGAAAUUAAUAGAUGGGAUGGUGGACAGCGGAAGGGAUAAUGAUGCAGCGGCGGCGUGACUAAUGUGAACAGAACUCGAAACUCUAAAGGAACUAGACGCUAAGACCAGCAACUUACACGACGAUGCAACCGAUAAUUCAACUAUGCAAGCAAUGAAUAGAAAAUUGCAAAGGCUCAGACUGGCUUGGAUAAAGGAUGAACAGAUCUAACUUUUUUUGUGUGGCUUUUUCUUGGACAAUAGGUAAGAAAAUAAAUCUAAUCUAGGAAAACUGGAAAUUCUCACCGAGCAACCUGAAAACUGAUACCACUUGAUAGAGGCGGGGGUGUCCCGAUCUUUCGAUGAGAUGAUAACUAUCGAUUUGGUGGAGACGACUUUGACGAUCCGACUACAAACGUGCAACGACGUUGUGCCUUAGCAAUCGCUAAACCAACUCCGAGAGGUUAUUGACCACGCUGGAGCACGAUCAACCUGACCACGAAGGUCUAUUCCUGCAAGCAAUCGAAGAACAAGCAAGAAUAUGAUAAAAGCAAUCUGAAUAUCGCGAAUAUGUAUGAAGUAUUGAUAAUGGUGGGGAUCCGAAAAGUGGUCUUGGUCUGGUCGUUGGACACAAACGAAGCACACGAAGUUGCAAUGGCUAACUUUUAACUAAACAAAUCCCAAGGAAAAGCUACUAGAUGGAUCUACUUAUAUAGGAGCAAGGGGUGGCGGCCAAGGAGGUGGGAGGACGUCCCAAGGCAGCCUAAAACUAAAUCUAGGUCGUACAAGGCCAAUGGGCCCAAGUGGAGGUGAUGUAACACCUUUGGACUUGUAGUUUGACUCGGAUUCUGUUGCAGCAUCAGAUUGUUUCGUCCACAACUCAACGCUCCGGACGAAUUUGAAGGUGAUUCCAAUUGGGUUGGAAAGUGCACGAAAUCUAGUUUCCAACAAAAAAAGAAUCACCCAAUUCGGAGUCCGUAUGAAAAACUUGUGUGCGUUUUGAGUCAGGUGUGUCUGUGCAGUCCGAAUCUGAAUCCAGAACGUGAGAGACUUGGACUCUAUCUUCUCUUGGGCCAAAAGUGACGUGAGAGAACUUUUUGGACAGCAAAUAAACAUCUCUUUCUUCCUUAUCUUCAUAUGUGGAUUGUACAAAUGUCCCAUACACCUGCAAUUAGACAAAACACAAAAGUGUGUGAAGUAUUUUUGUUCUGGAUAACAUAAAUAGAUUAUUGAAUAGUUUGCACUAGAAAUCACCUGACAAAUAUGCAUAUAUGCAAUAUUUUUUGUCAUAUCCAAGGUAGUCAUGUCCUCAUCACGAGUGAUAUUAGUAUACUCCUUAUAGUCUAGAAUGGUCUGAAUCUCUCUAUUUAAUCCACCCAAAAAACGUGCAAGCAUAGCUUCAUUCUCCUCAACAAUACCACAUCGAAUCAUGCCAGUUUGUAAUUCCUGAUAAUAUUCUUCUACAGAAUUUUUUCCUUGUCUUAAACGCUGCAAUUUUUGAAGCAAUUCACGUUGAUAAUAUGGUGGAACCCAACGCGUACGCAUAGCAGUUUUCAAAGCAGCCCAAGUAGUUGGAAUAGGAUAUAAUCUACAAUGUUCAGACCACCAGACACAUGCAAAACUAGUGAAAGCACAAACAGCAGCAGCAACCCGUCUCUCCUCGGGAUAUUGUAAACAUGUAAAACGUUGUUCAGUUUCUAACUCCCAAGUAAGAUAUAUAUCAGGAACAACCACCACCCCUUGGCCGCAGGAGAAAUCUUGUUGCAAGUAAUUAUGUGAACUUGAUAUGUGUUCGAUAUUUGAUGGUAUGUAUGUUGUGAUUCCCUUAGUGGUGUCAUGCGAACGUUGACUACAUGACACUUCACCAUAUAUGGUCCUAAGGGAAUUCAUUGUGGAGUAGUUAUUAGAUGAUGGGUUGCGAGAGUGACAAAAGCUUAAACCCCAGUUUAUGCGCUAUUCCGUUACGGACCGAUUGGAUCCAAAAGUUUAAUGCUAUGGUUAGAAUUUAUUCUUAAUACUUUUCUCGUAGUUGCGGAUGCUUGUGAGGGGGUUAAUCACAAGUAGGAGGUUUGUUCAAGUAAGAACAUCACCUAAGCACCGGUCCACCCACAUAUCAUGUACCUCUUCCUUUUCAGGGUUUUGGAGUGUUCUCGAAGGUUUCUUUUAUGUGUUCCUCCUGUGUUAUGGUUUGGAUAAUGUUAGUUUCAACAUUAAUAGGCGUCCUUGAAAUAUAGUGUUUAAUUCUUUGUCCAUUGACCACCAUCGGGUUGGUACCUUCAGCUUUAUUAAUCUUGAUAGCUCCAGAGUGAUAAACUUCUUCGAUGAUAUAUGGUCUUUCCCAUUUGGAAAGAAGUUUUCCUACAAAAAAUCUAAAACGGGAAUUGUACAAUAGAACAUGUUCACCAACUUUGAAUUCCCGCUUUUGGAUUCUUUUGGCAUGCCAUGUUCUAACUUUCUAUUUAAAUAGUUUGGCACUUUCAUAAGCUUGGGUUGUCCAUUCAUCUAGUGAGCUAAUAUCAAAUAAACUCUUUUCACCAGCAAGUUUGAAAUCAUAAUUGAGUUAUUUAUUUGCCCAAUAUGCUUUAUGUUCUAACUUGAGAGGAAAAUGGCAACCUUUUCCAUAAACCAUUUAAUAUGGAGACAUCCCCAUAGGGUUUUUAUAAGCUGUUCUAUAGGCCAAAGUGCAUCAUCAAGUUUCUUAGACCAAUUCUUUCGGGGCCUAAUGACAGUCUUUUGCAAAAUUGAUUUUAUUUCUCUAUUGCUAAGUUCAACUUGACCACUAGUUUGAUGAUGAUAGGGUGAUGCAAUUCUAUGGUUAACAUCAAAUUUAGCAAGCAUUUUAUGGAAACCACCAUGAAUAAAGUGUGAACCACCAUCAGUGAUUAAAUAUCUAGGGACUCCAAACCUUGGGAAAAUAACUUCUUUAAGCAUUUUAAUGGAGGUGUUGUGAUUAUCACUACUAGUUGGAAUAGCUUCUACCCACUUAGUGACAUAAUCGACAACAACCAAAAUAUGUGUAUAACCAUUAGAGGAAGGAAAGGUCCCAUAUAAUCAAAGCCACAAACAUCUAUGGUUGAACAACAAGUGAAUAAUUCAUAGGCAUUUCCUGACGCUUACCAAUAUUACCAAUUCUUUGACAUUCAUCACAAGAUAAGAAAAACAUACGAGCGUCUUUGAAGAGGGAAGGCCAAUAAAAACCAGAUUGUAAUACAUCAUGCAUAGUUCUAUCUCCUGCAUGAUGUCCUCCGUAGGCUUGGAAGUGACAUUUCCGUAGGAUUUGUUCCUGUUCUUGCCCAGGUACACAAUGUUUAAUAAUACCAUCUACUCCUUCUUUAUCAAUAUGUGGGUCAUCCCAAAAGUAAUGUCUUAAGUCAUAGAAGAAUUUUUUUUCUUUUCUUGGUAUGUAAAACUAGGUGGUAUAAAUUUAGUAACAAUGUAAUUAGAAUAGUCAGCAUACCAAGGAGUGUUAUGAGAAGCAUUUAACUAGUUGUUUAUCAGGAAAACUAUCAUCAAUAGGUAGUGGGUCAUCAAGAACAUUUUCUAACAUAACAAGUUAUCAGCUACGGGGUUCUCAGCUCCUUUCCAAUCAGAAAUAUGCAAGUCAAAUUCUUGAAACAAGAGAACGCACCUAAUGAGUCUAGGUUUAGCAUCUUUCUUUUCCAUAAGAUAUUUAAUAGCAGCAUGAUUGGUGUGAACAAUUACUUUGGAAUCAACAAUGUAAGAUCUGAAUUUAUCACAAGCAAACACAACUGCUAAAAAUUAUUUCUCAGUAGUAGCAUUUCUUUGGGCACUGUCUAGAGUUUUACUAGCAUAAUGGAUAACCUUUAAUUUCUUAUCAACUCUUUGACCUAGAACAACACCAACAACAUAAUAACCAGCAUCACACAUAAUUUCAAAGGGUAGGUUCCAAUCAGGUGGUUGAACUAUAGGUGCAGAAGUUAAGGCUUUCUUAAGUUUUCAAAUGCUUUUACACAAUCAUCAUAAAAACAAAUGGAACAUCCUUUUGUAAAAGAUUAGUAAGAGGCCCAGAAAUUUUAGAGAAGUCUUUAAUGAACCUCCUAUAGAAACCAGCAUGAGCAAGGAAACUACGAAUACCUUAAUGUCUUUCGAACAUGACAUUUUCUCAAUUGCAUCAACUUUAGCUUUAUCCACCUCCAUACCUCGUUCAGAAAUUUUAUGCCCCAAGACAAUGCCUUCAUUAACCAUAAAGUGGCACUUCUCCCAAUUCAAGACAAGAUUAGUUUGUUCACAUCUCUGCAAAUCUCGAUCAAGGUUACUUAAGCAAUUAUCAAAAGAAGUUUCGUAAACGAAAAAAUCAUCCAUGAAAACCUCAACAAUAUUUUCACAAAAAUCAGAGAAUAUAACAGUCAUGCAUAUUUAAAAGGUAGCAGCUGCAUUACAUAAACCAGAAGGCACAUGUCUAUAAGCAUAAGUUCCAAAAGUGAUAGAGGCUAAGGUGUCCCGAUGUUUCAAUGAGAUGGUGGCUAUCGUUUUCUGUGGGAGUCGACCUUGACGAUCCGACUACGAACGUGCGAGACGUCGCGCCUUAGCAAUCGCUAAACCAACUUCCGAGGGUUAUUGACCACGCCGGAGCACGAUCAACCUGACCACGAGGGUCUGUUUCCUGCGAGCAAACGAAGAACAAGCAAGAAACUGAGAUUGCAAUCGGGAUAUUGCGAAUAUAAGAUGAAAGCUUUAUUGAUCAAGGUGGGGUUCUGUGACGUCUUGGUCUGGUCGUUGAACACAAACGAAGUACACGAAGUUGCAGCUAUGGCGAACUUUUAAUCCAAACAAAACCCAAAGUCUAAACAACGCCCUAAGGGCUGUAUAUAUGGAGGAAGAGGGGGGAAUUUCGUGGCCCUUGAGGGUGGGGUCCGAAACCAACCCUAACUCUUGUUUCCCCACACAUACGGACUCUAAAAAUAGCCUAUACUUAAGUAUUUCGAAAUUACAUGGGCCUGGCCCAUUAAUAAGGUGACGCAGCACCUAGAAUAGCCUAUGGACGAAUAUUAUGAAGUGACAUCUUGUAUAUUUCGUCCUAGGCUUCAUUCACUCCUUAUGGCGGCCUCAAAGUCCUGAAAUCAUCACUUGUAACUCCGUUCUUGAUCCCCUUGCGCAUGCCAUCAACUCCAUGCGUGUUCUUGCUCCAAUGUUCAUCCUUCUCCAAGCUAGUCCCUUCAUUUGUAAGCAAAACAAAUGUAUCCAAUUUAGGCAGCAUCAUAAUCUCAUGAACACUAGAAUCAUUAUCAAGAAACGAAAGUACCUGGUAAUUUAAUUGGCGUGCGCGAGCUCUUGUAAUUGGUCCAGUAUAUGUAACAGUAGGGGCUGCGGGUGUAACAAUGGUAUUGAUGUUCUCAUCAUCCUCCCCUUCUUGAAAUGAAGUCGUCCUCGACGGAAGCGCAUCUUCCUCACCCAAAUAAGGCUUCAAAUCUGCAAUGUUAAAAGUGGGACUAACCCCAAAAUCUACAGGUAGCUCAAGUUUAUAUGCAUUAUCAUUUAUUUUCUCUAACACCUUAAAAGGACCAUCAGCACAUGGCAUUAGCUUUGGUUUGCGUAGAUUAGGAAAUCUAUCUUUACGCAAAUGUAACCAAACAAGAUCUCCAGGCGCAAACACAACAUGUUUUCUACCCUUAUCUCCAGCAAGUUUAUAUUUAGCAUUCAUACGCUCAAUGUUUUCCUUAGUUAACUCAUGCAUUUUUAAAAUCAAUUCAGAACGUUCUUUAGCAUCAAAAUUAACCUUCUCUGAAGAUGGAAGAGGCAACAAAUCAAUAGGUGCACGAGGUAGGAAACCAUACACAAUUUCAAAGGGCACAUCUUAGUAGUAGAAUGUAAUGAAUGAUUAUAAGCAAAUUCAAUAUGAGGCAAGCAUUCUUCCCACAUUUUCUUGUUAUUCUUCAAAUCAGCCCUAAGCAUAGUAGACAAUGUUCUAUUGACUAUUUCAGUUUGUCCAUCAGUUUGGGGGUGACAACUAGUACUAAAAAGUAGCUUAGUCCCCAACUUAGCCCAUAAACAUCUCCAAAAGUGGCUAAGAAAUUUAGUAUCACGAUUUGAAACAAUAGUAUUUGGCACACCAUGUAAGCGAAUAAUUUCACGAAAGAACAAAUCAACAACAUUAACAACAUCAUCGCUUUUAUGACAUGGUAUAAAGUGUGCCAUUUUUGAGAACCUAUCCACGACAACAAAUAUGCUAUCCCUCCCCUUCUUUGUUCGAGGUAAACCUAAAACAAAGUCCAUAGAUAUAUCCUCCCAAGGAACACUAGGUACAGGCAAAGGCAUAUAUAAACCAUGAGGAUUGAGUUGUGACUUAGCUCUUUGACAUGUAGUGCAGCGAGCAACAAAACGCUCAACAUCCCGUCUCAUGUUUGGCCAAAAGAAAUGUGUAGCAAGUAUAUCCUCUAUCUUCUUGACGCCAAAGUGUCCCAUUAAUCCUCCUCCAUGCGCCUCCUGCAACAACAAAAGACGAACGGAGCUAGCUGGAAUGCAUAGCUUGUUAGCACGAAACACAAAUCCAUCGUUAAGAACGAACUUGUUCCAAGUUCUCCCUUCCUUCCAAUUCUGCAAUACAUCUUUAAAUUCAGCAUCAUGAACAUAUUGAUCUUUGAUGGUCUCCAAACCAAAUAUUUUAAAGUCAAGUUGUGAAAGCAUAGUAUAGCGACGAGACAAGGCAUCGGCAAUAACAUUUUCUUUACCCUUCUUGUGUUUAAUGACAUAAGGGAAAGUCUCAAUGAAUUCAACCCAUUUAGCAUGUCUACGGUUCAGUUUUGCUUGACUUUUAAUGUGUUUCAAAGAUUCAUGAUCAAAAUGUAUAACAAAUUCCUUGGGCCAUAAAUAAUGCUGCCAUGUUUCUAAGGUCCGAACAAGAGCAUAUAAUUCUUUAUCAUAAGUAGAAUAGUUCAGACUAGGCCCACUCAAUUUUUCAGAAAAGUAUGCAACAUGUUUUCCAUCUUGUAAUAACACACCUCCUAAUCCAAUUCCACUAGCAUCACAUUCAAGCUCAAAAGUCUUAUUGAAAUUAGGAAGUUGGAGUAAAGGAGCAUGUGUCAACUUAUCUUUCAAUACCGUGAAGGCUUCUUCCUGUGCGGUACCCCAAACAAAAGGCACAUCAUUCUUUGUAAGCUCGUUGAGAGGUGCAGCAAUGGUGCUGAAAUCUCUCACAAAACGCCUAUAAAAACCAGCGAGGCCAAGGAAACUCCUCACUUGUGUGACCGUUUUGGGCUGCGGCCAACUCUCAAUAGCAUCAAUCUUGGCUUUAUCAACUUCAAUUCCCUGUGGAGUAACAACAUAGCCAAGAAAAGAUACUCGGUCGGUGCAAAAGGUGCACUUUCCAAGGUUUCCAAACAAGCGUGCAUCACGUAGAGCAAUAAAAACAGCACGUAAAUGUUCCAAAUGUUCCUCCAAAGAUUUUCUAUAAAUCAAUAUGUCAUCAAAGUAAACUACCACAAAUCGUCCAAUGAAAGCACGUAAAACUUCAUUCAGUAACCUCACGAAAGUACUAGGUGCAUUAGUUAACCCAAAAGGCAUGACUAACCACUCAUAUAAUCCAAACUUAGUUUUAAAUGUUGUUUUCCAUUCAUCACCCAAUUUCAUACGAAUUUGAUGGUAUCCACUACGCAAAUCAACUUUGGAGAAUAUUGUAGAGCCACUCAAUUCAUCAAGCAUAUCAUCUAGCCUAGGAAUAGGAUGACGAUAAUGAAUAGUAAUAUUAUUAAUGCCUCUACAAUCAACGCACAUACGCGACGUACCAUCCUUUUUCGGCACUAAAAUGAUAGGAACAGCACGAGGACUAAGGGAUUCGCAUAUAUAACCUUUGUCGAGCAGUUCUUGUACUUGACGCAUAAUCUCCUUCGUCUCCUCUCGAUUGGUACGGUAUGGUGCACGGUUGGGUAGCGAAGCACCGGGAAUUAAGUCAAUUUGAUGCUCAAUACCUCGAAUAGGUGGUAAUCCCGGUGGCACGUCUUGUGGAAAGACGUCAGCGAACUCCUGCAAAAUGUUAGUGACAGCAGGGGGCAAAGAGGAAGGCACGUCCUCGACUGAAAAUAAUGCCUCUUUGCACACAAAAGGAUAGCAAACAGAUUUGCUAAAAUCUAGCUCAUCAAUAUCAGAUUUGGUGGCAAGUAAACAUGCACUUUUCAAUUUAAUUUCAGAAACAACAGUAGAUGGUUUAUUAUUAGGCUUCAUUUGGUGCUCAAAUUCUUUUGCCACAAUCUGAUUUUCACUCUUAUUUGUCUCCUGUUUUGCUUUAUUAGCUCUAUUAAUAUCAUCUUUCAAAAUGGAAUCAGGAGUCAUAGGAAGCAAAGUAAUAUUUUUAUCGUUAUGAACAAGAGUAUACUGAUUGUUUCUACCAUGGUGUAUAGAAUUUUUAUCAAAUUGCCAUGGUCUACCAAGUAAUAAGGAACAUGCUUGCAUAGGUACCACAUCACAAUCAACAUAAUCAGCAUAUGUAGAGAUACUAAAAUGCACACGAACAGUACGUGUUACCUUAACCUUGCCGCUGUUGUUGAACCAUUGGAUGUAGUAAGGAUGUGGAUGUGGUCUUGUGGUGAGAGAUAGCUUCUCCACCAUCUCCAUGCUAGGCAAGUUAUUGCAGAUCCCUCCAUCUAUGAUCACACGAACAGAACGUUCCUUCACAACUCCCUUUGUAUGGAACAAAUUAUGCCUCUGAUUUUGCUCAGCUUGUGUAACCUGCACACUCAAAACACGUUGAGCAACUAAACAUUCAUACCUGUCAGCAUCUUCAGGAGCCAUGUAUUGCGUCUCAUGAUCAGAAUCGUCUCCACCGUGUUCUUCACGUGUAAUAAGAGCCAAGGUCUCCUCAUCAUAGUCACUAGCGGACUCAUACCCACCAUCCUCAGUAACAAUCAUCACACGCUUAGAUGGGCAUUCUCUCGCAUAAUGACCUCCACCCUUGCAACAUCGACAAAUAAUAUCAUGUGUUUGCCCUGUUGAUGCCAUGGAUGAAGAAGAGCUCUUUGCAGUCCCAGAAGGUGUGCUCUUGGCAAAUAGUGGUGAUUGUGCCUGCUUUAUUGUAUCACGGUUGGAGGUGGCAGCCGACGGAGGCGCCGGUGUAGCAGAACGUGUGGAAGUAGAUGAUGCACGUGGUGUCCAUGAUGAAGGUCGACCUGCAGAAAAGUUAGUCCGUGCCAAUGCCUGUCGAUCCUGCACUUCACAUUCAGCUUUACAAGCAAGAUGGAAUAAACGAGUGAUAUUAGUAUACUCCUUAUACUCUAGAAUCGUCUGAAUCUCUCUAUUUAAUCCACCCAUAAAACAUGCAAGCAUAGCUUCAUUCUCCUCAACAAUACCACAUCUAAUCAUGCCAGUUUGUAAUUCCUGAUAAUAUUCUUCUACAGAAUUUUUUCCCUGUCUUAAGCGCUGCAAUUUUUGAAGUAAUUCACGUUGAUAAUAUGGUGGAACCCAACGAGUACGCAUAGCAGUUUUCAAAGCAGCCCAAGUAGCAGGAAUAGGAUAUAAUCUACAAUGCUCAGACCACCAAACACAUGCAAAACUAGUGAAUGCACAAACAGCAGCAGGAACACGUCUCUCCUCGGGAUAUUGUAAACAUGUAAAUUGUUGUUCAGUUUCUAACUCCCAAGUAAGAUAUAUAUCAGGAACAUAUCUACCCUCAAAUGGUGGAAUAUUCAAUUUUAGUUUAGGGAGAUGGUCAUGAUCUCGUACCUGAGGGUGAGCCCUACCAUUGCCAUUAUUUGCAUGUGGACGACCUGGUGGUUGCUGUGCUGGUGGUGGCACGUAGUUUUGAUUUUGAUCAACCUCAUCCUCAUAAUCUCCCACAUAAUCAUCCUCCUCCACAUCAGUAGUAGGAGCCAUAGAAGUAUCAACAGUAGCACCAGCAGUUUGGCCCGACUAAAGAGGGACACGGCUCGCUCGGCGGAGGGCUGUUUCCCGACGUGGAGGUAGUCGAUGUUGUUGCUGUUGUUGCAGAGGUGCGGCAGGAGCAGCCGGUGGUGGUGGUGGAAAACGCGAAAGCAGUUCAGCAAACUUGUUAUCGAGCUUUGUUUCAAACGUCUUCUCCAUGCCAUCUAUCUUCUCCAUGGCCUCUUCAAAUCUGUUUAUCACAUCUUGCACCUGUCCACUCAUCAUUUGCUGAAACGUAUCAUGAAGCUCCUUGUUCGUCAAGUUCUCCCAGUCAGUCUCGUCGGCUUGUGAUCCUGGCAUGGUUAGCAGCAAAAGAAACACACAAGAAUAUGAUCCUACAGACUACUAACAAGUGGUGGUGGUGGCGGGUGUCACAAAUCCGUCAAGCAAAUCUCAAAUUCUUACCAGUUCUUACCCAGCAGCAGGCGGUGAUCGACAACCGUUGUAGUCAAAACUUCUCAAAAGCUUGGAUAGAGCGAUUGCCAGGGAGAGUCAAACGCACGACGUAGAUGUAUGUGGAGCUGGGAAGGCUUAUAGUAUGGUAGCAAAAAGGGUCAGCAAUAAUCAAUUCAGAGAUGCAAAGUUGAAUAAACGCUCAACGACGGUACUGUGCUGGUCCUAGGCUAGACCGUGCUAGAGACGCGAGCCUAGAACACUAACAAAAUCACGGCGCUGCACGUAAAUAAGGGAAAAGCACACUCUAGAACUCUUUUUUUCGCUCUUUUUUUUGCGCUCCUUUUUUUUGCGCUCCUCUUUUUUUUGCGAAAAAUCACUAUAAUGGCGAGUGUCUCAAAACUCUUCCCUCGUCAAACUGAUAGGAUGGGCACGAAAUUUUUUUUCACUUUUUUUUUCGGAAAUCAGGGCAGCGACGAUGAAAAAGUGCGACAAAAAAUCACUAUGAUGGCACGUGGCUCAAAAGACUCAGAAAGGCCUAAAAAUAGGAUAGGGAAAAAAAUUUGCCCGUGAAAAUUUUGGCCUAAAAACUGCCCGGGGGUCUCCAGACUCUUUUUUUUCCGAGACCUACGCAGGCAAGGAAACACGAAUCAGAAUUUAGAUUGAUCUCAAGAACAAACCUAAUAUGAGAAGAACUCAGAUUGGUGGUGGAUAUAUGGUUGUGGUAUAUGGCAGCGGUGGUGGUAUAUGGAUACAGAUUGGUGGUGGUAUAUGGAUACGGAUUGGUGGUGGUAUAUGGAUAUGGAUUCAGAGCGGUGGCGGAUAAGCAAAAGUGGUAGAUGGGCGAUGAUGAUGGUGCGGCGGCGGCGUGACAACUUAUGACCAGAACUCAAAACUCUAAAAGACUAGACUCUAAGACCAGCAACUUGACAAGACGAUGCAACCGCAAAUUCAACAAAGCAAAAACCCUAAAAAGAUUAUGCAAAGGCUCAGAUUGGUUCGGAUAUGAUGAACUAACCCUAAUUUUUUUUCUGGCUUUUUCGUGGACUGUAGGUAUGAAGAACAGACUCGAUCUAAUCUACGAAAAACUAUAAAAUCUCACCGAGUAACCUGGAAAUCUGAUACCACUUGAUAGAGGCUAAGGUGUCCCGAUGUUUCGAUGAGAUGGUGGCUAUCGUUUUGUGUGGGAGUCGACCUUGACGAUCCGACUACGAACGUGCGAGACGUCGCGCCUUAGCAAUCGCUAAACCAACUUCCGAGGGUUAUUGACCACGCCGGAGCACGAUCAACCUGACCACGAGGGUCUGUUUCCUGCGAGCAAACGAAGAACAAGCAAGAAGCUGAGAUUGCAAUCGGGAUAUUGCGAAUAUAAGAUGAAAGCUUUAUUGAUCAAGGUGGGGUUCUGUGACGUCUUGGUCUGGUCGUUGGACACAAACGAAGUACGCGAAGUUGCAGCUAUGGCGAACUUUUAAUCUAAACAAAACCCAAAGUCUAAACGACGCCCUAAGGGCUGUAUAUAUGGAGGAAGAGGGGGGAAUUUCGUGGCCCUUGAGGGUGGGGUCCGAAACCAACCCUAACUCUUGUUUCCCCACACAUACGGACUCUAAAAAUAGCCUAUACUUAAGUAUUUCGAAAUUACAUGGGCCUGGCCCAAUAAUAAGGUGACGCAGCACCUAGAAUAGCCUCGGGACGAAAUUUAUGAAGUGGCAUCUUGUAUAUUUCGUCCAAGGCUUCAUGCACUCCUUAUGGUGGCUUCAAAGUCCUGAAAUCAUCACUUGUAACUCCGUUCUUGUUCCCCUUGCGCAUGCCAUCAACUCCAUGCGUGUUCUUGCUCCAGUGUUCAUCCUUCUCCAAGCUAGGCCCUUCAUUUGUAAGCAAAACAAAUGUAUCCAAUUUAGGCAGCAUCAUAAUCUCAUGAACAUUAGAAUCAUUACCAAGAAACGAAAGUACCUGGUAAUUUAAUUGGCGUGCGCGAGCUCUAGUAAUUGGUCCAGUAUAUGUAACAGUAGGGGCUAUGGGUGUAACAAUGGUAUUGAUGCCCUCAUCAAAAAGGACAGGUAAAGGUGGUUUUCUCUUGAUUGGGUUGUGAUACAGGUAUUUGAGAGGAACUGGAAUAUCCAUCAAGAAAAGAAAAGUGUGUGUGUUUUGACAACCUUUCUAACAUUUGAAUAAUGAAAGGCAGAGGGCAGUGAUCUUUUCUAGUAGCUUUAUUUAAUUUUCUAAACUCAAUUGCCAUUCAAUAGCCAGUCACUAUUCUUUGUGGAAUAAGUUCAUUUUUAUCAUUAGGAACAACAGUAAUACCUCCUUUCUUAGGGACACAAUGAACAUGACUUACCCAUCAACUAUCAGCUAUGGGAUAGAUUAUACCUGCUUCCAGAAGUUUUAGUAUUUCAGUUCUUACCACUUCCUUCAUCUUAGGAUACGAUCGUCGUUGGUGAUCAACAACGGGUUUAGCAUCAGGUUCCAUAUUAAUCUUGUGCUGACAAAGAGUGGGACUAAUUCCCUUAAGAUCAUCAAGAGUAUAUCCAAUAGCAGCACUGUGCUUCCUCGGAGUUCUUAAUAAUCUCUCUUCUUCGUGUUGUGAAAGGAUAGCACUAAUAAUAACAGGAUAUAUCUUUUUCUCAUCAAGAUAAGCAUACUUCAAAGUGUCAGGCAAUUGCUUUAAUUCAAACACAGGAUCACCUUUUGGUAGAGGAGGACCUCCUAGAGUUUCAAUAGGCAAAUUGUGUUUAAGGACAUGUUGUUGUUCAAAAAAUAUUUUAUCUAUUUCAUUUCUUUCAUGCAAGUGCAUAUAAUUUUCAUGGUCUAGCAAAUAUUGUCCUAGUGGAUCAGUGGGAGGUAUGGCAAUAGAAGCAAGACCAAUUAUUUCAUCCUUACUAGGUAACUCUUUAUCAUGAGGUUGUCUACGAAACUUUGAGAAAUUAAACUCGUGAGACACAUCGCCAAAACUAACACUGAUAGUUUCUUUCUCACAAUCUAUCUCAGCACUGACAGUGUUCAAGAAAGGUCUACCAAAAAUUAUGGGACAAAAGUCAUCUUGUGGAGAACCAAGAACUAGAAAAUCAGUAGGAUGUUUUAUUUUCCCACACAAGACUUCAACAUCUCUAACAAUCCCAAGUGGUAUGAUGGUAUCUCUAUUGGCAAGUUUAAUAGGAACAUCUAUGUCUUCUAUUUCAGCGGGUGCUAUAUCAUUCAUAUUUUCUUAGUAUAAAGUAAAAGGGAUAGCACUCACACUAGCACCUAAGUCACAUAAACCAUGAUAGCAAUGAUCUCCUAUUUUAACUGAGACAUCAGGCAUGCCAACAACAUGCUUGUUCUUAUCUUUAGUAUCGGGUUUGGCAAUUCUAGUAGCUUCAUCCCAGAAAUAAAUAACAUGCCCAUCGACCAAGAGAUCUUUAACCAUAGCAACACUAGUUUCUACUUUGAUUUAUCCAGGGGGUUUAGGUGCUUUCAUAUUACUUUUGUGAACCACCGUUGACAUCUUAGCAUGUUCCUUUAUCUUAACAAGGAAAGGUGGUUUUUCAGUAUAAGCAGUAGGAAUUACUAUCAACAUUGUAAAUUAUAGUUUCAUCUUUAACUAUUACCGGUUCUUUAAUUUCUCCUUUAAUAGGGGCUGAUAUUUAAACCACUUCUCCUUUGGGAGAUCAACAUGAGUAGAAAAUGAUUCACAAAAAGAGGCUACUAUCUCAGAGUCGAGUCCAUAUUUACUGCUAAACUUGUGAAAAGCAUCGUAUUCAUAAAAGAUUUAACACAAUCAAACUCAAGCUUCAUACCUGACUCUUUACCUUCGUUGAGUUCCCAAUAUUCAGAGUUGCAUUUAAUUCUUUCUAAAAGAUCCAACCUGAAUUCAAUAGUCUUCUUCAUAAAAGCACCAACAUAAGAAGUAUCGAGCAUGGAUUGAUCAUUACGAGAAAGCCGAGCAUAAAAAUUCUGAAUGAUAAUUUCUCUUGAGAGCUCAUGAUUGGGGCAUGAAUAUAACAUUGACUUAAGCCUCCCCCAAGCUAGAGUGGUACUUUCUCCUUCACAAGGCCAAAAAUUAUAUAUAUAAUUAUGAUCAUGAUGAACUAGAUGCAUAGGAUAAAACUUUUGGUGAAAUUCCAAUUUCAAUCGAUUCCAAUUCCAAGAUCCGAUAUCAUUGCAUAGCCUAUACCAUGUCAAUGCUUUUCCCCCCAAAGAUAAAGGGAAAACCUUCUUCUUAACUUCAUCUCCGGGUGAACCUGCAAGCUUAAACAAUCCACAAAUUUCAUCCACAUGUAUCAAAUGCGUAUCAGGAUGCUUCAUUCCGUCUCCUGCAUAAGGAUUAGCUAGCACUCGCUCUAGCAUACCAGAAGGAAUUUCAUAACUAAUAUUUUUAGUAGAUGCAGUAGGUUGAGGGGCAACUAUUUGGGUUUCGGUUCGAGGUGACGAUACCCCGAACAAACCCCUCAAAGGAUUGUUUUCCAUAGUAACAAGUAAAAAUAAAUUCCAACACGUAGUAUAUAUUUUUCCUUACCGAUUUCCACUUACCAAGAGCGCUUCACUCCCUGGCAACAGCGCCAGGAAAGAGUCUUGAUGACCCACAAGUAUAGGGGAUCAAUCGUAGUCCUUUCAAUAAGUAAGAGUGUCGAACACAACAAGGAGCAGAAGGAAAUGAUAAGUGGUUUUCAGCAAGGUAAUUUCUACAAGCACUGAAAUUCUCGGUAACAGGUAGUUUGAUAGCAAGAUAAUUUGUAGCAAGUAACAAUAAGUGUAGUAGGGUAGCCCAACUUUUUUGAUGGUGAAGGACAAGCCAGAACAGUCUCACAUAAUAAGUAAAGCAUUCUUAAGGUCACACUGGAAUUUCAUCUAGUCACUUUCAUCAUGUUGGUUUGAUUUGCGUUUGCUACUUUGAUAAUUUGAUAUGUGGGUGGACUGGUGCUUGGGUGUUGUUCUUACUUGAACAACCCUCCCACUUAUGAUUAACCUCCUCACAAGCAUCCGCAACUGUGAAAGAAGUAUUAAGAUAACAAUCUAACCAUAGCAUUAAAUAAAUGGAUCCAAAUCAGCCCCUUAUGAUAUAGCGCAUAAACUAGGGUUCAAGCUUCUGUCACUCUAGCAACCCAUCAUUUAAUAACUACUCCACAAUGCAUUCCCUUAGGCCCAAAGAUGGUGAAGCAUCAUGUAGUCGACGUUCACAUAACACCACUAAGGGAAUCACAACAUACAUAUCAUCAAAAUAUCAAACGAAUAUCAAAUUCACAUGAUGACUUGCAACAUGACUUCUCCCGUGGCCUCAAGAACAAGGGCAACUACUCAAAAAUAAUAUCCAUGCUCAAGAUCAGAGGGAUAUUAAAUAGCAUAAUGGAUCUGAACAUAUAAUCUUCCACCAAAUAAACCAUACAUCAUCAGCCACAAGAUGUAAUCAACACUACUAGUCACCCACAGGUACCAAUUAGAGGUUCCGGUACAAAGAUUGAACACAAGAGAUGAACUAGGGUAUUGAGAUGAGAUGGUGUUGUUGAAGAUGCUGAUGAAGACUGUCCUCCCAAAGAUGGGAGGGUUGUUGGUGAUGACGAUGGCUUCAAUUUCCCCCUUGGGGAGGGAAGUUCCUCCGGCGGAAUCGCUCCGCUAGAGGGAAAAAGUGCUCCUGCCCAAGUUUCGCCUCAAAACGGUGGAGCUCCCUCCCUAAAGUCCUCUCCUUACUUUUUCUAGGUCAAAAAGAUCUUAUGUACCAGAAGAUGGGCAUCAGAGGUGGUCCGAGGGGCCCACUACCCCCCUGGCGCGCCCUGGUGCCUUGUGGCCACCUAGCAGCCCCCUAUGGUAGUUCUUUUCUCCAGUAUUUAUUAUAUUUUCCAAAAUAAUUCUCCGUAAAAUUUCAGAUCAUUUGGAGGUGUGCAGAAUAGGUAUCUCUAGCAUAGCUUUUUUAGGUCCAGAAUUCCAGGUGUCGGAAUCUCCCUCUUUGUGUAAACCUUGCAUAUUAUGAGAGAAAUGCAUUAGAAUUACUCCAUAAAGUGUUAUAAAGAAUAAAAACACUAUAAAGAACAGUAAGAAAACAUGAUGCAAAACGGAUGUAUCAAUAUGGGACACUUCCGCUAAAUGACCAUGUUGUAUAUCUCCUCCCAGAGCCCACUUUGGUCUUCAUAGCCACUAGCAGAUCCACCAGAUAGCCAUAGAUCUCAUCGAUUUCCAACCUUGGUCUGAAGCACAUUUUUGAACACACGAUGCAUAAUAUCAUAAACCUUCUCCAAAUCCUUGGACUCACCAAGCACACCACGCCCUCGAAUGUAUAGGGGGCAAGCUUCUCCUUAGCCAUGGAGGUGGGACGGUUGUGAGGACGGAUGCCACCAUUCCCGGUGAGACCAUACCAUCAUACCCAAGAGCAUUGCAGAAAGCUCUCCAACGAAUGUGAAAGGACUCAUCACGGCACAUGAAGGACAGAGUACGAGCCUCAUCAUUGCUGAAAUGGACGGUGUCAUAGAACUGAUGAAUAAGUUGCACAUCAAAACCAUAGUUGAUAGACAUGAGCUUGAUCAAGUCAAACUCCUCGCAUAGUUGUGACGCCCCCGAUUCAAUCGUACACUAAUCAUGCAAGCAAAUGUGUACGAUCAAGAUCGGGGACUCACGGGAAGAUAUCACAACACAACUCUACAAAUAAAAUAAGUCAUACAAGCAUCAUAAUACAAGCCAGGGGCCUCGAGGGCUCGAAUACAAGUGCUCGAUCAUAGACAAGUCAGCGGAAGCAACAAUAUCUGAGUACAGACAUAAGUUAAACAAGUUUGCCUUAAGAAGGCUAGCACAAACUGGGAUACAGAUCGAAAGAGGCGCAGGCCUCCUGCCUGGGAUCCUCCUAACUACUCCUGGUCGUCGUCGUCAGCCUGCACGUAGUAGUAGGCACCUCCAGUGUAGUAGUCGUCGUCGACGGUGGCGUCUGGCUCCUGGACUCCAGCAUCUGGUUGCGACAACCAGAAAGAAAGGAAAGGGGGAAAAGAUGGGAGAAAAGCAACCGUGAGUACUCAUCCAAAGUACUCGCAAGCAAGGAGCUACACUACAUAUGCAUGGGGAUAUGUGUAAAGGGCCAUAUCGGUGGACUGAACUGCAGUAUGCCAGAAUAAAAGGGGGAUAGCUAAUCCCGUCGAAGACUACGCUUCUGGCAACCUCCGUCUUGCAGCAUGUAGGAGAGAGUAGAUUGAAGUCCUCCAAGUAGCAUCUCCAAGUAGCAUCUCCAAAUAGCAUCUCCAAGUAGCAUCUCCAGAUAGCAUCUCCAAGUAGCAACGCAUAGCACAAUCCUACCCGGCGAUCCUCUCCUCGUCGCCCUGUAGAAAAGCGAUCACCGGGUUGUCUAUGGAACUUGGAAGGGUGUGUUUUAUUAAGUAUCCGGUUCUAGUUGUCAUAAGGUCAAGGUACAACUCCAAGUCGUCCUGUUACCGAAGAUCACGGCUAUUCGAAUAGAUUAACUUCCCUGCAGGGGUGCACCACAUAGCCCAACACGCUUGAUCCCAUUUGGCCGGACACACUUUCCUGGGUCAUGCCCGGCCGCGGAAGAUCAACACGUCGCAGCCCCACCUAGGCAAAACAGAGAGGCCAGCACGCCGGUCUAAACCUAAGCGCACAGGGGUCUGGGCCCAUCGCCCAUAGCACACCUGCACGUUGCGAGGGCGGCCGGAAGCAGAACUAGCCCCCUUAAUACAAGAGCAGGCUUACGUUCCAAUCCGGCGCGCGCCGCUCCGUUGCUGACGUCUGAAGUGCUUCGGCUGAUACCACGACGCCGGGAUACCCAUAACUACUCCCGCGUAGAUGGUUAGUGCGUAUAGGCUCGUAGCCGACUCAGAUCAAAUACCAAGAUCUCGUUAAGCGUGUUAAGUAUCCGCGAACGCCGAACAGGGCCAGGCCCACCUCUCUCCUAGGUGGUCUCAACCUGCCCUGUCGCUCCGCCACAAAGUAACCGUCGGGGACCAUCGGGAACCCAGGCCCACCUCUACCGGGAUGGAGCCACCUGUCCUUUCAGCCCCCAACUCCGAACAGUAUCACAGGUAAUGUAACAGUGUAAAGUAUAUAGUAUAUGCCCGUGAUCACCUCCCGAAGUGAUCACAGCCCAGUAGUAUGGCAUGGCAGACGGACAAGAGUGUAGGGUCACUGAUGGAACACUAGCAUCCUAUACUAAGCAUUUAGGAUUGCGGGUAAGGUAUCAAUGACUGUAGCAGCAAUGACAGGCUAUGCAUCAGAAUAGGAUUAACGGAAAGCAGUAACAUGCUACACUACUCUAAUGCAAGCAGUAUAGAGAAGAGUAGGUGAUAUCUGGUGAUCAAAGGGGGGGCUUGCCUGGUUGCUCUGGCAAUAGAGAGGGGUCGUCAACUCCGUAGUCGAACUGGCAGCAGCAACAUCGGUCUCGUAGUCUACCGGAGAGAAGAGGGGGGAAGAAAUAAUGAAUACAGAGCAAACAAAGCAUCACAAAAUAUAACAAGGCAAUACGCGGUGUUCGGUGUGCCCUAACGCGGUAGUAGGUGAUACCGACGAAGGGGGAAGACAUCCGGGAAAGUAUUCCCGGUGUUCCGUGUUUUCGGGCAGAGGAACGGAGGGGGAAAGUUGCGAGUUUGAUAUGUUAGGGGUGUGUGGUGGACGAACGGGCUGCGUAUCCGGAAUCGUCUCGUCGUUCUGAGCAACUUUUGUGUUGAAAAUAUUUUAAUCCGAGUUACGGAUUAAAAGAUAUGAUUUUCUAAAGAUUUUAUGAAUUUUCUGGAAUUUAUUUAAUUAUUUAACUCUAACAUUAUCCAGAAUAGUGUAUGCUGACGUCAGCAUGACGUCAGCAUGGCGUCAGCAGUCAACAGGGGUGUUGACUGGUCAAUCUGACGUGUGGGACCCACUGGUCAUAGACUAUCUAGGCUAAUCACUGUUUAACUAAUCUAACUACUGUUUAAUUAAACUAAUUAGUUAAUUAGGUUAAUCUAAUUAUGAUUAAUUAACUUAAUUAAUUCCUUAAUUAAUUAAUUAAUUUAAUUAUUAUUUAUUUAUUUAAUAUAUAUUUUUUUAAAUUCUUUUUUUUUAUAAAACCGUUCUGGGCGUGGGGCCCCCUGUCAUAGGCCAAGGCCCCUAACGGGCAUACGGGCAGGCUGGUGCGGGCGAAGCCGCACCCCUGCCCGAUAGCAAGGCGAGGCNNNNNNNNNNNNNNNNNNNNNNNNNNNNNNNNNNNNNNNNNNNNNNNNNNNNNNNNNNNNNNNNNNNNNNNNNNNNNNNNNNNNNNNNNNNNNNNNNNNNNNNNNNNNNNNNNNNNNNNNNNNNNNNNNNNNNNNNNNNNNNNNNNNNNNNNNNNNNNNNNNNNNNNNNNNNNNNNNNNNNNNNNNNNNNNNNNNNNNNNNNNNNNNNNNNNNNNNNNNNNNNNNNNNNNNNNNNNNNNNNNNNNNNNNNNNNNNNNNNNNNNNNNNNNNNNNNNNNNNNNNNNNNNNNNNNNNNNNNNNNNNNNNNNNNNNNNNNNNNNNNNNNNNNNNNNNNNNNNNNNNNNNNNNNNNNNNNNNNNNNNNNNNNNNNNNNNNNNNNNNNNNNNNNNNNNNNNNNNNNNNNNNNNNNNNNNNNNNNNNNNNNNNNNNNNNNNNNNNNNNNNNNNNNNNNNNNNNNNNNNNNNNNNNNNNNNNNNNNNNNNNNNNNNNNNNNNNNNNNNNNNNNNNNNNNNNNNNNNNNNNNNNNNNNNNNNNNNNNNNNNNNNNNNNNNNNNNNNNNNNNNNNNNNNNNNNNNNNNNNNNNNNNNNNNNNNNNNNNNNNNNNNNNNNNNNNNNNNNNNNNNNNNNNNNNNNNNNNNNNNNNNNNNNNNNNNNNNNNNNNNNNNNNNNNNNNNNNNNNNNNNNNNNNNNNNNNNNNNNNNNNNNNNNNNNNNNNNNNNNNNNNNNNNNNNNNNNNNNNNNNNNNNNNNNNNNNNNNNNNNNNNNNNNNNNNNNNNNNNNNNNNNNNNNNNNNNNNNNNNNNNNNNNNNNNNNNNNNNNNNNNNNNNNNNNNNNNNNNNNNNNNNNNNNNNNNNNNNNNNNNNNNNNNNNNNNNNNNNNNNNNNNNNNNNNNNNNNNNNNNNNNNNNNNNGGCGCGAGUACGGGGAGUGGGGGGGUGUCGGUGCCUAGGGUUUCGGCACCAGGGGGUUAAGGGAGUGGGGUGGGCCGGCCGGUUGGGCCUUUGCCCAGUUGGGCUGGUGGCCUGCUGGGCCGAAGCCCAGUGAUGGGGGGUUUGCUUUUCUAUUUUUUUUGUUUUUACUUAUUUUCUUUAAUGUUUUCAUUUAAAGUUUCUUUUAUUUUAGUUUCAUAAAAUACCUAGUCAGCACCUAAAUUAGUAUUACUAAUUAGUCCACUGCCACAAUUAUUUUGGCACACUACUAAUUUAGUUUUAUUAUUAUAACUUUAUAAAAGGCAUCUAAUUAAUUGUUUUUGCUGUCAUUUCUAUUACUUUAGUGCAUUUAAAUAUUUUAUUAAAAGAUAAUUUAUCCACCAAUAUUUACUAAGGAUUACUAGACACAUUAGGAACAAUUUAGUUUCGACUUUUGAAAACUUUAAUUGUUUAACUUAAAUUCAAAUUUGAAUAUGAAUCGUUUCGAACUAACGCGAGAUUAUCCACAGUAACCGAGGUGUCAUGGCAUCAUUAGCGGGGAUUACUGUAGCUUAAUUACCCGGGCGUCACAAUAGUAGCAAGGCCUCAUCGAAGUAAUCCAUGUUGCUUCUCAAGUGAUCAAGGUCAAUGGUCCACUGCUUGGGGUACCGGUUCUUGUGAUGCUCAAAAAGAGCAUGCACAAUCCUCAUUUGCAUCUCAUUCUUGAACUGAAUGAUGGUCCACCAAGGAACAACGAGGACCUCAUAGGGAUUCUAAAUGUGGAAUUUUCCCCAGUCCGGUUGCUUCCAUCUGUGCAUAGGCGAGGCCACACAUUGCUUGGCAGUCGAUGACUUCUCUCGACGGGUCGGCUUGUGGGAAUCACCACUUCCUUUUCUUCCAUAGUGCCAUCAGUGCGCUUGCACCUACGAGAUCGCUUCUUAGUCUUCUGACGAGGAGCAGAGAGAGAACCAGAGUUACCUGCACACACACGGGAAGCAUACAAGAUAACUCGGAAAAGAUGAGAUGAUUGCACACAAGAAAGGAGGAAUAGAUUGCUUUUGAAUUAGAGAAAACAAAAUAGCACUAUGAGGUUCAGAAAUGCCGGUUGUACUGGUCCUUCAACCGGUGGUACCACCGAUGUGGUUAUACCACCCAUGAUGAGCGGUUGUACCAUCGUCUAUGGGCAGUUCGACCCGUGGAAGAGUAGGUACAAGCAAGAUUCGGAUCUAAUAGCAAUAUUUCAACUUAUAAAUAUGCACAAACAAUAUAUAGUAGAAUAGCUCUUUCACCAAAUAGUUUAGCUAAAAACGUGGGAUAUCAAGUAAUGCCCUAACAAUGUUGGAUUCAAAGAUUGAAACUAUAGGAGAAGGAAGAAUGUGGCAUUAGCGACAUCCAUGGGAAGAGAUCGGGGAGGAGGAGGACACCACGGAGCAAAUCCAAGAGAGACCCACAGAUUUGGGGCACCGAAGGGCACUCCAGGGCGAGGGAGACGGCAACCGGCAGCUAGGGCAGUAGAAGAGGACGGGCAUGAAGGGGAAAAAGAGAUGCCCCUUCGACCCGAUCCCUUAAAUACCCCCUAGACCAUGAAGCAGUUGUACCACCCCCUGGUACUACCCUGGGUUUACAAACCGCGCGUGUGUGUGUUGAUGAAGCCAAUUGGGUUAAGUCAGAUGACUUGACAUGAUGAUCAAGUUGGAUUGGUGUCCAACUCUGCUUAUAUUGAUACCUACAACUUGUUCAUAGGGAUAUUUGUACCCUCAUGAUGCAUACUUUACAGGUUGAUAGAUCAUGUCAUCGCACCCAAAACUAGCUUUCUGCAAACUACCUACUUAGAGCUAUAUCAUUGCAUUAUUGUGCCUUGUUCCAAUCAUGGGUUGCUUGCGAGUACAUUCAAAGUACUCAUUGGCUUGCCACUGGUUAUUUAAUUGGCCAGGCAUGGAAGAACAGGGGUUCAAAGAAGAAUUCUUUGGAGAUGAACAUGCGAACUAGGACGUUCCCCAGUCAGAAUGCCCGUAGGGUUAAGGCAGAUGGCAUGGGUUCUACUUAUCGACGAAGAUUUCCGCUACUUAAGUUUAUUUGGUAUUCGGCCCUUGUGGCUUUAUCUAUGUAAGACUUGACCAUAAUGGUCAUAAUUUGUGAAAGACGGUAUGUAUGGAUGUAAGACUCUUGUUAUUCAGCUUCUGUGUGUUCAGUGAGCAUUGAUCUCUGGGAUCACUGUACACAUGCAUUCAGUGAUCAUGACUCAUGAUUCGGGGUCCCCAUAGAGCUGGUAUCAGAGCUAUCUUGACUGUAGGAAGCCUUAGUUAGUAUGGGCGUUAGUUAGGAUAAAACCCGUUUUGCAAAACCCUCUAUACUCCUCUUCUUUUCUAUGCUUACCAAACCUAAGAUAUAUUGACCUCUCCCAUUCAACCUUUGUAGAUGGCUGUUGUACCCGAAGACUUCCUGACCACCGGAUUUCCCGUGCUUCUCAAGGAUAGCCUCAGGAAGUGCCAGUUUCACCGAGCCCCCAUUUUCACCUACCAUGAGCAUUGGAUCAAUGACACCGAGACGGAGUAUCAUGUGGAAGUGAUCGUGAAGGCUAAUGACUCUCCAACAAGCUGGUUCUUCGAGGGACCCCAGAUGGCAACACUGGUUCUUGCCUUCAAGACGGCAACCCUGAAGGCACUCACCCGCCUCCGAGACCUUCUCCCCGAGAUGGCGGACGAGUUGGCAACCCGCUUCUUGCCUUAUCGGAAGGAGGGUGAGGACGAGAGUAGUGCACCAGCUCCACCAUUGGAGGAAGGACAUCCACUCCGAUUCCAGACCUACUUCAGCCUUUGUGCCGAUAGCUUGGCAAAACACUUGGCCUCGGAAUCAAUGGAGCUCCGAAAGGAACUUCAUGAGACCAAGGCACUUCUUCGCCAAGCACAAGGGAAGACAGAUAGGAUCAAGAAAGAAGGUGCUCCCCCUGGAUAGCCCGCAAUCGCCUACCGAGGCGGAAGACCCCCGAAGAAUGGAGGACCCCCACGGCAACACCGCAUGAGCGCAAGGGACUAUUGCAAGCUCUUCGCACCACCGGCAAAGCAACGUCGUGUUGAGCUCCUCCACUCCCCCACUCCUUCGAGUGAAGGGGGAAGUCAGCAUGUUGAUGAUGAGGAGGAAGACCCAGAAGAUCCAGACUACGCGACCGAGCAUUCCACCACUUAGGCAUCAUCCGAACCCGGAUAUGCUAGUUCGUAACCCCUAUGGUAGGAUAGGUCGUGUAUCUCCUAUGUGAAGUCGAGUCCUUGUAAUGGUUCAUAUGAAACCAUGUAGUGUUGUGUUUGCUUUUGAUGUGUUUGAUGGAUGUCGUACUUUCCUUCAGGAACUUGUAAACGACUACAUCACCCAUUUGGAUUUUAAUGAAUAUGUUUUGCCCCCUUUCGGGCCCCUACAUAACAUCAACUUAUGUCAUACCGACCCCCUUACUAGGCAUCCUAUCUAUAUUGCCUUCCCUCAUCUUCCCCAAUUAUGAGACCUUGACCGCUCCAACAGGAUGCCUGUUGUAACCCGUACUGGUGCCUCUACCCAGCAGCAAGAAGCCGGAGGGUCCACCCAAGGAGAAGCCAGCCAGGACCAAACCCAAGGACAAGAUCCACCACUGCCACCACCUCCAAACAUGGACAUGGCGCAGCUUCUCCAAGCCUUCUGAGAGGAACGCCAAGCCAACACUAUAGCCCUCCAGAUGAUUGCUCAGGCUGUCAAUCGCCAGCUGGUGGGGAACGGCAAUGGACGUUCCAUGUUGGCGGAGUUCAAGAAGCAUGCACCACCCACCUGCAUCGAGACUGCUGAACCCCUAGAUGUAGACGACUGGGUCCGCACCAUUGAGGAUCUGCUGGAACUAGUCGACUGCACUGAAGACUGUGAGAAGGUGGCAUAUGCUGCUCACUGCCUCUGGGGAACUACCAGAGCUUGGUGGGAUGGAUUUAAGGUCAUGCAUGCUGGGCAAAACAUCACUUGGAAUGACUUCAAGGCAGAAUUCCGCAAGGCCCACAUUCCUUCCGGAAUCAUGGCCAUCAGGAAGCGUGAGUUCCGAGCCUUGAAGCAAGGAAGUAGCACUAUCAAGGAGUACAUGCAGAAGUUUAGUGUUCUGUCAAGGUAUGCUCCUGAAGAUGUCAGCACUGAUGCUGCCAAAAGAGAGCGCUUCAUGGAAGGCCUUAACCAGACUCUGUAGUACUCGCUUGUUGUGUGUGACUGCCCAACCUUUCCUGACUUGGUGAACAAGGCACUCAUGCUUGAGGACAAGCGACGUGCUUUGGAUGAUACCCGUAAGCGCAAGAUGAUCAGCAAGGGCAGCUCCAGCAACCAGAAGCCUCGCCCGUGGUAGCCAGCCCCGGUCAGGCCAACCUAUCAGCAGCCAAGAGCCCCUGCACCCCGCACCAACUAUCAGCCUCAGCAGUAUGCCAACCCAGGCCAGCUUUCAACAACCCCAAUAACAAUGCCUGAUGAGGACAUCAAUACAAUUGUUACACCCACAGCCCCUGCUGCUAUACAUACUGGACCAAUUACUAGAGCUCGUGCACGCCAACUAAAUUACCAGGUACUUUCGUUUCUUGGUAAUGAUUCUAAUGUUCAUGAGAAUAUGAUGCUGCCUAAAUUGGAUACAUUUGUUUUGCUUACAAAUGAAGGGCCUAGCUUGGAGAAGGAUGAACAUUGGAGCAAGAACAAGCAUGGAGAUGAUGGCAUGCGCAAGGGGAACAAGAACGGAGUUACAAGUGAUGAUUUCAGGACUUUGAAGCCACCAUAAUGGGUGCAUGAAGCCUUGGACGAAAUAUACAAGAUGCCACUUCAUAAAUUUCAUCCCGAGGCUAUUUUAGGUGUUGCGUCACCUUAUUAUUGGGCUAGGCCCAUGUAAUUUCGAAAUACAUAAGUAUAGGCUAUUUUUAGAGUCCGUAUGUGUGGGGAAACAAGAGAUAGGGUUGAUUUCGGACCCCUCCACCAAGGGCCAUGAAAUUCCCCCCUCUUCCUCCAUAUAUACAACCCUUAGGGCAUCGUUUAGACUUUGGGUUUUGUUUAGAUUAAAAGUUCGCCAUAGCUGCAACUUCGCGUACUUCGUUUGUGUUCAACGACCAGACAAAGGCGUCACAGAACCCCACCUUGAUCAAUAAAGCUUUCAUCUUAUAUUCGCAAUAUCCAGAUUGCAAUCUCAGUUUCUUGCUUGUUCUUCGUUUGCUCGCAGGAAACAGACCCUCGUGGUCAGGUUGAUCGUGCUCCGGCGUGGUCAAUAACCUCUCGGAGUUGGUUUAGCGAUUGCUAAGGCGCGACGUCCUCGCACGUUCGUAGUCGGAUCGUCAAAGUCGACUGCCACCAAAGCGAUAUCCAUCAUCUCAUCGAAAGACGGGACACCUUUGCCUCUAUCAAGUGGUAUCAAAUUUCCAGGUUGCUCGGUGAGAUUUUACAGUUUUUCAUAGUUUAGAUCGAGUCUGUUCUUCAUACCUAUAGUCCACGAAAAAUCCACAAAAAAAAUUAGGGUUAGUUCAUCAUAUCCGAACCAAUCUGAGCCUUUGCAUAAUCUUUUUAGGGUUUUGCUUUGUUGAAUUUGCGGUUGCAUCGUCGGUCUAGUUGCUGGUCUUAGAGUCUAGUCUUUUAGAGUUUCAAGUUCUGGUCAUAAGUUGUCACGCCGCCGCCGCACCAUCAUCAUCACCCCUGCCAUCUACCACCACCGCUUAUCCGCCACCGAUUCGAAUCUGUAUCCAUAUACCACCACAGCUGUCAUAUACCACCACCGCUGCCAUCUACCACCAUAUAUCCACCACCAAUCCGAGUUCUUGUCAUAUUAGGUUUGUUUUCGAGAUCCAUCUAGUUUCCGAUUCAUGUUUCCUUGCUGGAGUAGGUUUCGGGAAAAAAAAGAGUCGGGAAACCACACUCCGUUUAGGCCCAAAAUUUUUCAAAAACGCAUUUUUCGAAAAAAUUUCUGGCUAUCCUAUUUUUAGGUGUUUCUGAGUGUUUUGAGACAGGUGCCAUUAUAGGAAGUUUUUUUUGACCCGUUUCCAGUUUUUGGGUCCGGGCAGUCGAAAAAAAAAAUUGGUCGAAAUUUUUUUCGUGCCCAUCCUGUCAGUUUGACCUAGGAAGAGUUUUGAGACACUCGCCACUAUAGUGAUUUUUCGCAAAAAUAAUAAUAAAAAAAAGCAGCGCAAAAAAAAGAGCGCAAAAAAAAGAGCGAAAAAAAAAUAUUUCAGAGUGUGCUUUUCCCUUGUUUACGUGCCGCGCCGUGAUUUUGUUGGUGUUCUAGGCUCGCGUCUCUAGCACAGUCUAGCCUAGGACCAGCACAGUACCGUCGUUGAGCGUUUAUUCAACUUUGCAUCUCUGAAUUGAUUAUUGCUGACCUUUUUUGCUACCAUACUAUAAGCCUUCCCAGCUCCACAUACAUCUACGUCGUGUGUUUGACUCUCCCUGGUAAUCGCUCUAUCCAAGCUUUGAGAGUUUUUGACUACAACGGUUGCCGAUCACCGCCUGCUGCUGGGUAAGAACUGGUAAGAAUUUGAGAUUUGCUUGACGGAUUUGUGAUACACCACCACCACUUCUUAGUAGUCUGUAGGAUCAUAUUCUUGUGUGUUUCUAUUGCUGCUAACCAUGCCAGGAUCACAAGCCGACGAGAUUGACUGGGAGAACUUAUCGAACAAGGAGCUUCAUGAUAAGUUUCAGCAAAUGAUGACUAAACAGGUGCAAGAUGUGCUGAACAAUUUUGAAGAGGCCAUGGAGAAGAUUACUGGCCUUGAGAAGAUGUUCGAAACAAAGCUCGAUAACAGAUUUAAUGAACUGCUUGCGCGUCUUCCACCACCGGCUGCACCUGUCGCACCUCUGCAACAACAACAACUAUGCCCCCUUCCGAAUCAGUAUGGACGAGCACAGCGUGUUCCUAUUGAGCCAGGACAAAAUUCUGGUGCCGCUGCUACUGCUAUUGGUGCUUCUUUGGCUCCUGCUACUGCUGCUGCUAGUACCCAGGAGGAUGAUGAUUAUGUGGGAGAUUAUGAGGAUGAGGUUGAUCAAAAUCCGAACUACGUGCAGCCACCAGCACCACCACCACCAGGUCGACCUCAGGUAUAUAUUCGUAAUGGUAGGCCUGCACCACCACCUCAGGUACGAGAUGAUGUCCAUAUUCCUAAACUGAAAUUGAAUAUUCCACCAUUUGAGGGUAGAUAUGUUCCUGAUAUAUAUCUUACUUGGGAGUUAGAAACUGAACAAUGAUUUACAUGUUUACAAUAUCCUAAGGAGAGACGAGUUGCUGCUGCUGUUUGUGCUUUCACUAGUUUUGCAUGUGUAUGGUGGUCUGAACAUUGUAGAUUAUAUCCUAUUCCAACUACUUGGGCUGCUUUGAAAACUGCUAGGCGUACGCGUUGGGUUCCACCAUAUUAUCAAUGUGAGUUGCUUCAAAAAUUGCAGCGUUUAAGACAAGGGAAAAAUUCUAUAGAAGAAUAUUAUCAGGAAUUACAAACUGGCAUGAUUAGAUGUGGUAUUGUUGAGGAGAAUGAAGCUAUUCUUGCACGUUUUCUGGGUGUAUUAAAUAGAGAGAUUCAGACCAUUCUAGACUAUAAGGAGUAUACUAAUAUCACUCGUUUAUUCCAUCUUGCUUGUAAAGCUGAACGUGAAGUGCAGGAUCGACAAGCAUUGGGGCGAACUAACUUUUCUGCAGGCCGACCUUCAUCAUGGACACCGCGUGCAUCUUCUACUUCAACUGCAUCAGCACCUCAAUUAGGUGCCUCCUCCAGUCGUGAUACAAGAAAACAGGCACAACCACCAUUAUCUGCCAAGAGCGCACCUGCUGGGCCUGCACGGAGUUCUUCUUCUUCCAUGGCAUCAACAGGGCACACAAGUGAUAUUAUUUGUCGUCGUUGUAAGGGAGGAGGUCAUUAUGCGAGAGAAUGCAAAUCUCCGCGUGUGAUGAUUGCUACCGCAGAUGGUGGAUAUGAGUCCGCUAGUGACUGUGAUGAGGAGACUUUGGCUCUUUUUACACGUGAAGAACAUGGUGGAGAUGAUUCUGAUCAUGAGACGCAAUACAUGGCUCCUGAAGAUGCUGACAGGUAUGAAUGUUUAGUUGCUCAACGUGUUUUGAGUGUGCAGGUCACACAAGCUGAGCAAAAUCAGAGGCACAAUUUGUUCCAUACCAAGGGAGUUGUGAAGGAACGUUUUGUGCGCGUCAUCAUAGACGGAGGUAGUUGCAACAACUUGGCUAGCAUGGAGAUGGUGGAGAAGCUUUCUCUCACCACAAGACCACAUCCACAUCCUUACUACAUCCAAUGGUUCAACAACAGCGGCAAGGUUAAGGUAACACGUACUGUUCGUGUGCAUUUUAGUAUCUCUACAUAUGCUGAUUAUGUUGAUUGUGAUGUGGUACCUAUCCAAGCAUGUUCCUUAUUACUUGGUAGACCAUGGCAAUUUGAUAAAAAUUCUGUACACCAUGGUAGAAACAAUCACUAUACUCUUGUUCAUAAGGAUAAAAAUAUUACUCUGCUUCCUAUGACUCCUGAUUCCAUUUUGAAAGAUGAUAUUAAUAGAGCUAAUAAAGCAAAACAGGAGAAGAAUAAGAGUGAAAAUCAGAUUGUGGCAAAAGAAUUUGAGCAACAAAUGAAGCCUAAUAAUAAACCAUCUAGUGUUGCUUCUGAAAUUAAAUUGAAAAGUGCAUGUUUAUUUGCCACCAAAUCUGAUAUUGAUGAGCUAGAUUUCAGCAAAUGUGUUUGCUAUGCUUUUGUGUGCAAAGAGGCAUUAUUUUCAUUCGAGGUCGUGCCUUCCUCUUUGCCUCCUGCUGUCACUAACAUUUUGCAGGAGUUCGCUGACGUUUUUCCACAAGACGUGCCACCGGGAUUACCGCCUAUUCGAGGGAUUAAGCAUCAGAUUGACUUAAUUCCCGGUGCUUCACUGCCAAACCGUGCACCAUACCGUACCAAUCCAGAGGAGACGAAGGAGAUUAUGCAUCAAGUACAAGAGCUUCUCGACAAAGGUUAUAUACGCGAAUCCCUUAGUCCUUGUGCUGUUCCUAUUAUUCUAGUGCCGAAAAAGGAUGGUACAUCACGUAUGUGUGUUGAUUGUAGAGGCAUUAAUAAUAUUACUAUUCAUUAUCGUCAUCCUAUUCCUAGGCUAGAUGAUAUGCUUGAUGAAUUGAGUGGCUCUACAAUAUUCUCCAAAGUUGAUUUGCGUAGUGGCUACCAUCAAAUUCAUAUGAAAUUGGGAGAUGAAUGGAAAACAGCAUUUAAAACUAAGUUUGGAUUAUAUGAGUGGUUAGUCAUGCCUUUUGGGUUAACUAAUGCACCUAGUACUUUCAUGAGAUUAAUGAACGAAGUUUUACGUGCUUUCAUUGGACGAUUUGUGGUAGUUUACUUUGAUGACAUAUUGAUUUAUAGCAGAUCUUUGGAAGAACAUUUGGAACAUUUACGUGCUGUUUUUAUUGCACUACGUGAUGCACGUUUGUUUGGUAACCUUGGGAAGUGCACCUUUUGCACCAACCGAGUAUCUUUUCUUGGCUAGGUUGUUACUCCACAGGGAAUUGAAGUUGAUAAAGCCAAGAUUGAAGCUAUUGAGAGUUGGCCGCAGCCCAAAACGGUCACACAAGUGAGGAGUUUUCUUGGCCUCACUGGAUUCUAUAGGCGUUUUGUGAGAGAUUUCAGCACCAUUGCUGCACCUCUCAAUGAGCUUACAAAGAAAGAUGUGCCUUUUCUUUGGGGUACCGCACAGGAAGAAGCCUUCACGGUAUUGAAAGGUAAGUUGACACAUGCUCCUUUACUCCAACUUCCUGAUUUUAAUAAGACUUUUGAGCUUGAAUGUGAUGCUAGUGGAAUUGGAUUAGGAGGUGUGUUAUUACAAGAUGGCAAACCUGUUGCAUACUUUUCUGAAAAAUUGAGUGGGCCUAGUCUGAAUUAUUCUACUUAUGAUAAAGAAUUAUAUGCUCUUGUUCGGACUUUAGAAACAUGGCAACAUUAUUUAUGGCCCAAAGAAUUUGUUAUACAUUCUGAUCAUGAAUCUUUGAAACAUAUUAAAAGUCAAGCUAAACUGAAUCGUAGACAUGCUAAAUGGGUUGAAUUCAUUGAGACUUUCCCUUAUGUCAUUAAACACAAGAAGGGAAAAGAAAAUGUUAUUGCUGAUGCAUUGUCUCGUCGCUAUACUAUGCUUUCACAACUUGACUUCAAAAUAUUUGGUUUGGAGACCAUCAAAGAUCAAUAUGUGCAUGAUGCUGAUUUUAAAGAUGUAAUGCAGAAUUGUAAAGAAGGAAGAAUGUGGAACAAGUUUGUUGUUAACGAUGGAUUUGUGUUUCGUGCUAACAAGCUAUGCAUUCCAGCUAGCUCCGUUCGUCUUUUGUUGUUGUAGGAGGCGCAUGGAGGAGGAUUAAUGGGACACUUUGGUGUGAAGAAGACGGAGGACGUACUUGCUACACAUUUCUUUUGGCCAAAGAUGAGACGGGAUGUUGAGCGUUUUAUUGCUCGCUGCACUACAUGUCAAAAAGCUAAGUCACGACUCAAUCCUCAUGGUUUAUAUAUGCCUUUGCCUGUACCUAGUGUUCCUUGGGAGGAUAUAUCUAUGGACUUUGUUUUAGGUUUACCUCGAACAAAGAAGGGGAGGGAUAGCAUAUUUGUUGUCGUGGAUAGAUUCUCGAAAAUGGCACACUUUAUACCAUGUCAUAAAAGCGAUGAUGUUGUUAAUGUUGCUGAUUUGUUCUUUCGUGAAAUUAUUCGCUUGCAUGGUGUGCCAAAUACUAUUGUUUCAGAUCGUGAUACUAAAUUUCUUAGCCACUUUGGGAGAUGUUUAUGGGCUAAGUUGGGGACUAAACUGCUUUUUAGUACUACUUGUCACCCCCAAACUGAUGGACAAACUGAAGUAGUCAAUAGAACGUUGUCUACUAUGCUUAGGGCUGUUUUGAAGAAUAAUAAGAAAAUGUGGGAGGAAUGCUUGCCUCAUAUUGAAUUUGCUUAUAAUCGUUCAUUGCAUUCUACUACUAAGAUGUGCCCUUUUGAAGUUGUGUGUGGUUUCCUACCUCGUGCACCUAUUGAUUUGUUGCCUCUUCCAUCUUCGGAGAAGGUUAAUUUUGAUGCUAAACAACGUGCUGAAUUGAUUUUAAAAAUGCAUGAGUUAACUAAGGAAAACAUUGAGCGUAUGAAUGCUAAAUAUAAACUUGCUGGAGAUAAGGGUAGAAAACAUGUUGUGUUUGCACCUGGAGAUCUUGUUUGGUUACAUUUGCGUAAGGAUAGAUUUCCUGAUUUGCGCAAAUCAAAGCUAAUGCCACGUGCUGAUGGUCCCUUUAAGGUGUUAGAGAAAAUAAAUGAUAAUGCAUAUAAACUUGAGCUGCCUGCAGAUUUUAGGGUUAGUCCCACUUUUAACAUUGCAGAUUUGAAGCCUUAUUUGGGUGAGGAAGAUGGACUUCCGUCGAGGACGACUUCAUUUCAAGAAGGGGAGGAUGAUGAGGACAUCAAUACAAUUGUUACACCCAUAGCCCCUGCUGCUAUACAUACUGGACCAAUUACUAGAGCUCGUGCACGCCAACUAAAUUACCAGGUACUUUCGUUUCUUGGUAAUGAUUCUAAUGUUCAUGAGAAUAUGAUGCUGCCUAAAUUGGAUACAUUUGUUUUGCUUACAAAUGAAGGGCCUAGCUUGGAGAAGGAUGAACAUUGGAGCAAGAACAAGCAUGGAGAUGAUGGCAUGCGCAAGGGGAACAAGAACGGAGUUACAAGUGAUGAUUUCAGGACUUUGAAGCCACCAUAAUGGGUGCAUGAAGCCUUGGACGAAAUAUACAAGAUGCCACUUCAUAAAUUUCGUCCUGAGGCUAUUUUAGGUGCUGCGUCACCUUAUUAUUGGGCCAGGCCCAUGUAAUUUCGAAAUACAUAAGUAUAGGCUAUUUUUAGAGUCCGUAUGUGUGGGGAAACAAGAGAUAGGGUUGAUUUCGGAUCCCUCCACCAAGGGCCACGAAAUUCCCCCCCCUCUUCCUCCAUAUAUACAGCCCUUAGGGCAUCGUUUAGACUUUGGGUUUUGUUUAGAUUAAAAGUUCGCCAUAGCUGCAACUUCGCGUACUUCGUUUGUGUUCAACGACCAGACAAAGGCGUCACAGAACCCCACCUUGAUCAAUAAAGCUUUCAUCUUAUAUUCGCAAUAUCCAGAUUGCAAUCUUAGUUUCUUGCUUGUUCUUCGUUUGCUCGCAGGAAACAGACCCUCGUGGUCAGGUUGAUCGUGCUCCGGCGUGGUCAAUAACCUCUCGGAGUUGGUUUAGCGAUUGCUAAGGCGCGACGUCCUCGCACGUUCGUAGUCGGAUCGUCAAAGUCGACUUCCACCAAAGCGAUAUCCAUCAUCUCAUCGAAAGAUCGGGACCCUCGCCUCUAUCAUAUUCGCUUGCAUGGUGUGCCAAAUACUAUUGUUUCAGAUCGUGAUACUAAAUUUCUUAGCCACUUUUGGAGAUGUUUAUGGGCUAAGUUGGGGACUAAACUGCUUUUUAGUACUACUUGUCACCCCCAAACUGAUGGACAAACUGAAGUAGUCAAUAGAACGUUGUCUACUAUGCUUAGGGCUGUUUUGAAGAAUAAUAAGAAAAUGUGGGAGGAAUGCUUGCCUCAUAUUGAAUUUGCUUAUAAUCGUUCAUUGCAUUCUACUACUAAGAUGUGCCCUUUUGAAGUUGUGUAUGGUUUCCUACCUCGUGCACCUAUUGAUUUGUUGCCUCUUCCAUCUUCGGAGAAGGUUAAUUUUGAUGCUAAACAACGUGCUGAAUUGAUUUUAAAAAUGCAUGAGUUAACUAAGGAAAACAUUGAGCGUAUGAAUGCUAAAUAUAAACUUGCUGGAGAUAAGGGUAGAAAACAUGUUGUGUUUGCACCUGGAGAUCUUGUUUGGUUAAAUUUGCGUAAGGAUAGAUUUCCUGAUUUGCGCAAAUCAAAGUUAAUGCCACGUGCUGAUGGUCCCUUUAAGGUGUUAGAGAAAAUAAAUGAUAAUGCAUAUAAACUUGAGCUGCCUGCAGAUUUUGGGGUUAGUCCCACUUUUAACAUUGCAGAUUUGAAGCCUUAUUUGGGUGAGGAAGAUGAACUUCCGUCGAGGACGACUUCAUUUCAAGAAGGGGAGGAUGAUGAGGACAUCAAUACAAUUGUUACACCCACAGCCCCUGCUGCUAUACAUACUGGACCAAUUACUAGAGCUCGUGCACGCCAACUAAAUUACCAGGUACUUUCGUUUCUUGGUAAUGAUUCUAAUGUUCAUGAGAAUAUGAUGCUGCCUAAAUUGGAUACAUUUGGUUUGCUUACAAAUGAAGGGCCUAGCUUGGAGAAGGAUGAACAUUGGAGCAAGAACAAGCAUGAACAUGAUGGCAUGCGCAAGGGGAACAAGAACGGAGUUACAAGUGAUGAUUUCAGGACUUUGAAGCCACCAUAAUGGGUGCAUGAAGCCUUGGACGAAAUAUACAAGAUGCCACUUCAUAAAUUUCGUCCCGAGGCUAUUUUAGGUGCUGCGUCACCUUAUUAUUGGGCCAGGCCCAUGUAAUUUCGAAAUACAUAAGUAUAGGCUAUUUUUAGAGUCCGUGUGUGUGGGGAAACAAGAGAUAGGGUUGAUUUCGGACCCCUCCACCAAGGGCCACGAAAUUCCCCCCUCUUCCUCCAUAUAUACAACCCUUAGGGCAUCGUUUAGACUUUGGGUUUUGUUUAGAUUAAAAGUUCGCCAUAGCUGCAACUUCGCGUACUUCGUUUGUGUUCAACGAUCAGACAAAGGCGUCACAGAACCCCACCUUGAUCAAUAAAGCUUUCAUCUUAUAUUCGCAAUAUCCAGAUUGCAAUCUCAGUUUCUUGCUUGUUCUUCGUUUGCUCGCAGGAAACAGACCCUCGUGGCCAGGUUGAUCGUGCUCCGGCGUGGUCAAUAACCUCUCGGAGUUGGUUUAGCGAUUGCUAAGGCGCGACGUCCUCGCACGUUUGUAGUCGGAUCGUCAAAGUCAACUGCCACCAAAGCGAUAUCCAUCAUCUCAUCGAAAGACGGGACACCUUUGCCUCUAUCAAUAAAUUUCGUCCCGAGGCUAUUAUAGGUGCUGCGUCACCUUAUUAUUGGGUCAGGCCCAUGUAAUUUCGAAAUACAUAAGUAUAGGCUAUUUUUAGAGUCCGUAUGUGUGGGGAAUCAAGAGAUAGGGUUGAUUUCGGACCCCUCCACCAAGAGUCACGAAAUUCCCCCCUCUUCCUCCAUAUAUACAGCCCUUAGGGCAUAGUUUAGACUUUGGGUUUUGUUUAGAUAAAAAGUUCGCCAUAGCUGCAACUUCGCAUACUUCGUUUGUGUUCAACGACCAGACAAAGGCGUCACAGAACCCCACCUUGAUCAAUAAAGCUUUCAUCUUAUAUUCGCAAUAUCCAGAUUGCAAUCUUAGUUUCUUGCUUGUUCUUCGUUUGCUCGCAGGAAACAGACCCUCGUGGUCAGGUUGAUCGUGCUCCGGCGUGGUCAAUAACCUCUCGGAGUUGGUUUAGCAAUUGCUAAGGCGCGACGUCCUCGCACGUUCGUAGUCGGAUCGUCAAAGUCGACUUCCACCAAAGCGAUAUCCAUCAUCUCAUCGAAAGACGGGACACCUUUGCCUCUAUCAAAGAUCAAGGCAGGCAAAGCCCAGGGUUCUCAGAAGAUGAGAAAGGAGUUGUGUGGUUCGGGAAUCGCAUUUGCGUACCCAACAAAGUUGAGCUCAAGAACUUGAUCUUGAAAGAAGCUCAUGACACUCCAUGUUGCAUCCAUCCUGGAGGAACCAAGAUGUAUCAAGACCUUAAGGCAAAAUUUUGGUGGCAUGGCAUGAAGAGAGAAAAGGCUACUUUUGUCGCUAAGUGUGACAUAUGCCAGAGAGUCAAGGCUGAGCAUCAACGACCCGCUGGAUUGUUGCAACCUCUCAAGGUUCCUGAAUGGAAGUGGGACAAGGUUGGAAUGGACUUCAUCACCAGGUUACCUAAGUCAAGCAAAGGGCAUGAUUCCAUCUGGGUCAUUGUCGAUCACUUGACCAAAGUAGCCCAUUUCAUUCCAGUCAAGACCACCUAUGAUGGAAUCUAGCUAGCCGGCCUCUACAUCAACCAGAUCGUAAGCCUCCAUGGAGUUCCUAAGGAGAUUGUGUCUGACCGAGGUACCCAGUUUACCUCAAGGUUCUGGAAAAGGUUCCAAGAAGCCUUGGGGACCAAACUAUCAUUCAGUACCGCUUUCCACCCCCAGACCGGAGGACAGCCAGAACGAGUUAACCAGAUACUUGAACACAUGCUUCGUGCAUGUGUGAUAGCAUAUGGAGCCAAGUGGUAAGAUUGCCUGCCCUUUGCCGAGUUCUCCUACAACAACAGUUAUCAGUCAAGCCUCCAGAUGGCACCAUUUGAGGUGUUGAACGGACGCAAGUGUCGCACACCCCUCAAUUGGUCACAAACCGGAGAAGGGCUAGUCUUUUGACCAGAUGUUCUCCGUGAGGUGGAAGAGCAAGUUCAGCUAGUCAGAGAGCGACUGAAGACCGCCAAGUCAGGAUAGAAGAGUUUGCUGAUACUCGUCGCCGACAAGUAGACUUCCAAGUCGGAGACCAUGUAUACCUUUGAGUAACUCCUCUUAAGGGAACCAAGUGUUUCCACAUUAAGGGAAAGCUCGCACCAAGAUUUAUCGGCCCCUUCGAGAUCACCGCACGACGCGGGGAAGUUGCAUACCAGUUGGAAAUACCACCUGAACUAUCCGAUGUGCACAACGUGUUCCACGUGUCACAACUCCAGAGGUGUCUCCAAGUUCCAGAUAGGCCCGAUCUCUACAAGGACGUCGAUCACCAAGCCAUUGAGCUUCAGCCUGAUUUGACCUACUGUGAGAGGCCCAUCUGCAUUUUGGAUGAGGCUGAAUGACGCACUCGAAGCCGCACCAUCAAGUACUUCAAGGUGCAGUGGAGCAACCACACUGAAGUAGAAGCAACCUGGGAACGCGAAGACUACCUUAGAUCCGAGUUUCCAGAUCUCUUUAGAGCCUAGUUUGGGAAUCUCGGGGACGAGAUUCUCAUAAGGGGGUAGGUCUGUCACACCCUGCAUUUUGUAACAUGUCAUUUGCAGUAUUAAAUCAUGAAAAAUUUGGACCAACAAUUUUUUUUUGCAUUAUUUGGCUUUUUAUUUGGAGUUGGUUUUCUCUCUCUGAUUUUCAAGUGUUCUUUAAAGUCAACACAACUCCAACUUCUAUACUUCAUCUCCUUGCCCCAAAAUUCUUCCCAAUGAUCAUGCCAUGUGUAUAGUACAACAUAGUAUUUUCUUAAAAAAAUAAUUUGGCAAAUAGUAUUUUCCAAAAAUAAUUUUCCAAAAACCCCUGAAUUGAGGUUUGCACUACAAGUACUUGAUUUGGGGUAUGAAAAAUAAUUCAAAGAGUAUAUUUGAAACCUAUUAGAUAUAGGACUCCCAUAAACCACAAAAAUAUAAUUUUAAAAGUAAUUUUUCCUAUUUUAUUUAAAGGCUUUUUCUUUAGGCCAUAAAUGGUCUUUAAUAGGUUAAAAUUAUUUAGAAGCGUCAAAAGAAUUUGAGAAAAAUCAGGGAAACUCAGUGGACAUAUAUUUUCCAUAUAUACGAGUUUCAACACAUGGUCAUGUUAAAAAUAUUGGGCAAAAUCCUCCAAAACCAUUUUUGUCCAUUUCAAGUAUUUGAAAUAUUUCUACAAGAAAUAUUUUCCAAUAACUCGAGGAAAAUUCUAGCAAGUCACAUAUGCAUAAUAUGAUGACCUUGCAAAGUUUCAGCUCAAUCCAAACUAUUUUGGUUCACCAAAGUGCCCCAAAACCAUCUCUGUCCAGAUUCAAGUUUGAACAACUUUACAUUGCCAACUUAUUCCAAAUGCCCCUAAACUCUGUGGUCAUCCUCAAAAGCCCAAAUGAUGACACUACACCAAGUGGUGCAUCAAGCGGAUUGGUUUUGCAUGACUAGAUCUUGGUGAAUGCAUUUUUGUUGAUUUCUAGGGUUUACAAAAGUUGCAUUGGCAACUUUGCCCAAAUGAGCUCAAAAUUGGUGGAAGGCCCUAAUUAUAUGUGCCAUUUCACCUUGUGGAGUCUUAUGCCAAUUGGAGUUCAUUUGCUUACCCAAACAAGCAACAAACACCUUCUGCCACAUUUCCAAAAACACCAUUCUGACCCCUUCCACUAAUCUCCAUGGGCUCAAAGUUUUACCAUAGCCCCUCCUAGUCCCCUUGCACCUCCAGUAACAAUGUCAAAUCCACAUCUCAAUUAUUGGAGGGGUAAAACCUCACUUCCUCUCUCUGGAUAGCCCAUUUCCCUCUCUAUCAACCCCACUCCUCUCCUACUGGCUCUCUAGAGCACCCAAUGCUCCUCCCUCUUCUUUACUUCCCCCUAGGGCAGCCAGGCCACAGUGGCCGUGCCCACAAGGCAUAUAAAAUUCCAUGGCAUAUGCCAUUUGCACGCUCCAGAGCGCGCUACAGUGCGGCCAGGCACUGUAGCCGCCCCCUGCCAACCACCUCCGACCACCUCGGGCCUCCCCAGCACGCUCGACGAUGUGCCUUGGCGUUCGAGACACGGCAGCUCGUUGCGCCCUCCUUCCUCUCUCUCUCUCUCCUGCCCCUGCUCGCACGCGCACCAGCCGCCCGAGAGCUCAAGUGAGCGGCCUCACACGCGCGGGUCCUCUGCCCUCCCCCUGCUCUCUCUCUCUCUCUUCACUCCCCUCGCCCUAGACCAACCCCACAAGCACCCCCGAUACCUUGCUGCGAGCCCCCGUGACCCGUAGGGACGGCAAUGACCUCGCCGAUGCACUGGUCCACGGUGGACCAUCGCUCGCCUAUAUAAGGCCUCCCCGAAGCCUCCUCUCCUCACCACUCACCCCCUGCAGCUCCAAACCAACCCCCUACACCCCCAGUUCAUCUCCAGGAGCGCCUGAGCUCGAGAUCGAGCUCGAGCUCCGCCGCCUCGGGUCGCCAUCGAUCUCGCGGUACAUACCUCCUCCGCCCCCAUUCUUUCCCGAUCUGGAGCCGCCUCACCUCGCUGACCCCUUUCCCUCUCCUUUCUGAGUUGUUUUCAGCCGGAGACUGCCAGUGCGACCACCUCCCGGCGCGUCGCCGCCCUGCCUCCUUGUCACCGACAAACCAAGCAGCUCCGGCGACGUCGACCACCUCCUCUCGAACAGCGACUCGAUGCUGAGUCCAGUCGUGCCAUCAGCUCACCCCGCCGUGCCUAGAAACGUCACCGGUGAGCUCGCCGGCCCUCUACCGCGGGGUUAGGGAUGACAGGCGGGCCCCGCCUGUCAGCCUCUCCUCUCCAUUGCCCCUGUCUCGCUCGCUGACGCCUGGGCCCCACCCGUCAGGUUUAAACCUGGCACGCGCGACUGUUCUCUCUGGCUGGGCUUGCUGCAUUGCGACUGUUCUGGCCCAGCAGACACAGUGCCCCUUCUCCUUUUUCUUUUCUGUCAAACUUGUAAAAAUUCCACAGGAUUAAAUUUUAAUCCAAAUGCAAUAAUUCCAGUUCCUAAAAUCUUGUAAAAAUCCCACCUAUUUAAUGGUAUAACUUUCAUUCAUUCCAACCAACUUUUAGGUACCGUUCAUAUUCAAAUUCUAAUUUGAAUAUAUUUAAGCCCCUCUGAAAAUCCAUUUCAUCUAUUCUGCUACUCCAAGUCCAAAACUAGGAGUUUUCCCCUUCUUAGUUUUCACCCUAGUAUUUAACAAAAAUGAGUUGACAUUUUUCUGAGCACUUUGGUUUUUCUAAUUUAUUAUUGCCUUAUUUUCUCGUUAUUAUUUUGCGAUGAUAGAUUGAGUUGCUGACGAAGGAGUUGGACCAAAAGACUUUGAACACCCAGAAGACUUUGCUGAGCCAGGCAAGCAGCCCUUUCACCAUGUCUAUGAAACCCCCUUUUACGCAUGUCAUAUAGCACUUCAUUAUUGUUGCAUCGGAAUCAUGAUGAGAUGGUAGCCACUUCGGUGGGUUGCCUUCGUUUCCUCGUUGAUAAUUGCAUUGUGCAUGACCCUACCCUUCUAUGAGGGUUAUGCGAGUGGGUGUAGUUAGGAUGCUAAGAAGCUGCUACGCAAAUGGGAUGGGUAUAUGCAUCAUGAAGGAAACCAAGUUGUUUUCAAAGGCUUUUCAAAAAAACCAUUGGGUGCCACUUAUGCCCGAGGGAGAUAAUGAGUUGGUUAACCACUUGAUGACGAAGUGGUGUACCGAGGCAAGUGUGUGUGUUGUUUUCGAAAGCGGAUUAGAUUUAAGAUUUGUCGACUGUCCCAACCUUACAUGCACAACCAAUCUACCCUUAUAUGGGAAAGGGCAUUAUUGAUUACCUAGGCCGAUACUAGAUUGGAGCCCGCAUUACUAGUGACGGGAGAGUCAUUGUUGCGCUCUCUCGUGACGGGGUCGUGCUAGGUAGGGCAGCCAUGACUGUUUUUACAGGGCACCGGACACACCGUUAGUACCCCGUGCUUGUGGUAUGUGAUGAAUAUGGGAGCGAGGCUCCACAAUUUUAAGAUGUGAAAUGUUGGUCACAGGGGUUACUACCAAUCGAGUUGACUCUAUGUUAGUGUUGACUAGGGGAAGAUAGUGAUCGGGUGCUUACCCCGGGUACUUGAGGUACCGCGGGUCGUGGAUGAGACGGAAGUUCCCCGGAUCUUGUGGGUAAAGUGUGCAACCUCUGCAGAGUGUAAAACUAUUCGAAUAGCCGUGUCCAUGGUCAAGGACAGUUGGGCGGUGCUGCUUAAACUACGUCCAGAGUUUCACAAACCGCGUGUGUGUGUGUCUUGAUGAAGCCAAUUGGGUUAAGUCAGAUGACUUGACACAAUGAUCAAGUUGGAUUGGUGUCCAACUCUGCUUAUGUUGAUAUCUGCAACUUGUUCAUACAGAUAUCUGUACCCUCAUGAUGCAUACUUUACAGGUUGAUAGAUCAUGUCAUUGCACCCAAAAUUAGCUUUCUGCAAACUACCUACUUAGUGCUAUAUCAUUGCAUUAUUGUGCCUUGUUCCAAUCAUGGGUUGGUUGCGAGUACAUUCAAAGUACUCAUUGGCUUGCCACUGGUUAUUUAAUUGGCCAGGCAUGGAAGAACAGUAGUUCAAACAGGAGUUCUUUGGAGAUGAACAUGCGAACUAGGACGUUCCCCAGUCAGAAUGCCUGUAGGGUUAAGGCAGAUGGCAUGGGUUCUACUUAUCGAUAAAGAUUUCCGCUGCUUAAGUUUAUUUGGUAUUCGGCCCUUGUUACUUUAUCUAUGUAAGACUUGACCAUAAUGGUCAUAAUUUGUGUAAGACGGUAUGUAUGGAUGUAAGACUCCUGUUAUUCAGCUUCUGUGUGUUCAGUGAGCAUUGAUCUCAGGGAUCACUAUACACGUGCAUUCGGUGAUCACGACUCAUGAGUCAGGUUCCAUGCAGGCAUCCAUCCUUGGAGGGGAGAAGGGAGACGAUCUCCCCAAGCAUGGCAUCCGGGAGAUGGCUGAUGUGGUCCGCCGGAGAUUCUAUGAGUUCCUCAAAUCCAGGGGGCGUGGCCGCUUCUGGCCACACUACCGGGUCCAAGAUCUACAACCGGCUGUGUUGCUGGUCGGAGCCUCAUCUUGGUACAUACCAAUCUGACAAAUAAUGGCAGAAACAUACAUGUAGGACAUUCAAAAUCAAUUCUCAAGAUCUGGAAGAAAAAAAGGCACAAACAUAUAUGAAGGACAUUCAAAAUCAAUUCUCAAAAUCUGGACACAAAUUAUUAGCACGCACGCUAACCCUACUCGGAUCAUUAACAAAAAUCUUUUGUACAGAACAAACAAUAAAUCACUACCCCUAUACGGAUACCAUUCAAACAAUCAAUACACCACAUGCAUCUAACGGAUCUUAAUUACUCUGAUUUCAUGGUCUGGCAGAACAUAACCCUAGGAUUUGUAUUCCAAAAAAUUAGAGUGGAUGGGGAGUAACCAAAGAAAACACAUGAUAUGUUUGCCGCACAAAUGGGUAUAGAUGACUAGCCGAUUUUUCGUCGAACUCGCAGUCGUUGCCAGAGUUGCUGUUGACCUCCGACUCCGGCUGGGGGGGGGGCACGACGGCGCCGACGAAGUCAAGGUCAUGCUAAUGCCCGCGUGAAACCUCAUCGGCGGCGACGACAACCUCUGUGGCCAACUUAACGCAUUGCGCGGGUGCUUCACCCGCCCCAAUGUCGCCACUCCCACCGAUGGUGCGCUUCGGUGGCAUCCUCAUACGCUAUAUAGUCCAUACGUUGGUGACCACUGUGGACCAAGGGUGCGGCGGCCUAUUAUGGCUAGCGGCUCGGAUGCGCCAUUAACACAGACCAGUGGGAGCGAGGAAGGCAGCGGUCAAAGGCUGUCUCACCUCCCUGUGAGCCUACGCAGUGGACUUCUGGCAUUCCUACCAUCAUUUCGCAUAGCUACUCGCACGCCCCUCGGUGACACUGCGUAGCGAAAACGCCUCCCGUCAAUUCACACACCUGCACGCACACCUCCUAGUCUGCCUGCGCAGUGGACUACUCGCAUGCAUCCCAUCAACUCAUGCCUACUAGCAUGGCACACGGAGCGCGUGGCGUCACGUAUAUAUUUUUGUUUUUUGAUGAUUCAUUCUUCCACUUUACUACUUAAUCGAAGUAUGGCACGGUCUAAGUUACACGGUCUGAAUAAAUAAAGAUAUUGGUUACCAGUUAUUAACAAUCUCUCGUUUGUAAAAAGAUUAUAUCAAAACUUGUCUCAAAUUUGACGAAAAAAUACAAUAUCAUAGUAUACUGGUGUCGAUAUAUGACACCACGAUAAGUUUCAUGAAUUUCAACUAAGUUUUGGAUUUACUAUAUUUUAAAAAUCAAUAUUCUCAAUGUUUUGAAAUCUCUUUCAUGGGGAAACAUGCACCCAGGGACACACACGAUUUUGCAAUCCGUUUUGGUUCACAUGUAGCUCAAAUUUGAUUUUUGCACAUUAAAUCCCCUGGAAAUCAAUCAAUGUACAAAACGGGUCGAAUGAUCUAUAUUUUUUUCAAACUUUAACACGACACUCCCUUGGUCACAUGUUCACUGCAUAAAAAGUUUGACAUGCCUCAGAGUGGCGGUGGUGGUGCGGGAUGUGUGUGUCUGUGUGUGGGGGGCGGCAGUACACUACGAGUCGUGAUCCUCCAUGAUGUGGGAUUAUUGAUCAUUUUGUGAGUCAUAUAUGCCACAUCAAAGUCGUGAAUUGGUUAUUUACAACAUUACACAACCCUUUCAUACAUACAUGUUCGGGCCACAUGCAUGCAUUGGUGGUCCUCUCGGACACUCCCUCAUGUGGUUAUCAACGACGUGCCCAUUUGUUAGCCCGCAAAGGUUUUAGUUUCCAUCGACAGCGAGAGGCAUUUGCCCAAUGGUGGAUUCAUCUUGGCAUGUGUGUUACGGUGUGGAUCAUGGUGAGAUUCCAUAUCAAAGUUUGGGCACGUGCGUACACAUGAGUCCCUCCCACCGGCUCGAAGUGGGGGGGGGGCUAUGAUUCGCGAACCUCUAUGUAUUGCGUUUCCGGUUUGUGAAGCAUGUGCCACAUCAAAGUUGUGCAUAUGGUAUUAAAACAUCACACAACACACGGGCACAUGCAUGCAGUGGUUGUCCUAUCACACUCGCUCGCAUGCGACUCUCUCUAUGGGCCCGCAAGGUCAUCGUCGAUCAGUUGAACGUACAGCGAGAGAGAGAGAGAGAGAGAGAGAGAGAGAGAGAGAUAGAUAGAUAGAUAGAUAGAGAGAGAGAGAGAGAGAGAGAGAUAGAGGUUAAUUUGACCAACAAGGAUGGUUCUUUUUUGGUUUGUGUUACGUAUAUGCAUGGUAGGAGUAUGUAGUACAUGUCAAAGAGGGGGCAACAUGUAUACUCUAUACAUAUGUGUAAUAACCUCACUCCAUGUCAGAACUUUCUGAUUCCCGAGGCAGGUGCCACAUCAAAGUUGUGCAUUGGUAUUCAAACAUCACGCAAUACCAUGCGGGCAGUGGUUGCCCUAUACUCACUCGCGUGGGGCACUUCCAUCUGUGGGUCCGCGAGGUUGUCCUCCAUCACCUUGACACAAUGAGAGAGGUUAAUUUGACCAUCAAGGAAUGAUUCUUUUUGGAUUGUGCUAUACAGUAGAAGUAUAUAUAUACCACACGUCGAACGGGGGCGUAGCACAUACCACGCAUCAUGAACCUCGCUCUUCGUGGGGACUUUUCGAUUUUCGAGGUAUAUAUAUAUGGUGCCACAUCAAAGUUGUGCAUUGUGUAUUCAAACAUCACACAAACACCUCUUUGGGCCACAUGCAGAUGGUAGUACAUAGUCCUAUAUUGGAUGCUCACUCGCAUGUGAUGCACGCUUCGUUCCUGUGGGCCCGCGAGGUCGUCGUCCACCACUUUGACCCAACAAGAGAGAGAUACGUUUGACAAUCACGGAGGAUUAAUUCUUUUAGGGCUAUGUUACGGUUGGAGUAUAUAGUAUGUGUCGAAGGGGGGAUGGGACCAGCAUAUACUAGGUGUCACAUGAACCUCACUCUGUGUGGGGACUUUGCGGUUUUUGAGGCAAAUGCCACAUCAAAGUUGUGCAUUAUGUAUUCAAAACAUCACAACCACACACCUCUCCAUAUAUAUGUUUUGGUACACAUGCAAGAAAUGGUGGUUGUCCUCUGGCACUCACUCACGCGGUUAUCGGCGACGCUUCCAUUUGUCGACCCGCUUGGUCCAUCACUUUCACCGACAGCGAGAGAGGUUAAUUAAUUUGACUUAGGAGGGGAUUAAUUUUUUGUUUAUCUCAUGAUAUAGGUCAUGAUGUGAGAUUACAUAUAUAAUAGCACAUAUGUACACAUGAAUCCAUCCCGCUGGAUUGAGGGGGGGGGGGCGAGCACACGACACGUCAUGAACCUCUUGCUUUGUGGGGACCUGCACGAUUUUCAACACAUGCACCACAUCAAUGUUGUGAAUUGGGUAUUCAACACAUAUGCAUGCAUCACGCACCUCCAUAAAUAUGUAUGGGACACAUGCAUGCAAUGGUUGGCUUUGGACACUCUCACUCGCUUGGUUAUCGGCAGCAAGCAUAUAUAUAUUCAUGGGCCCGCGUGGACGUCCAUCAUUUCGACCGACAAUGAGAAAGGUUACCAGGGUGGAUUCUUCUUAGUUGGUUCGUAUUACCAUACAGUAGGUCGAUCAUUCCAGGUCUAAUUAAGUUCGAGCGCAUGCUACGCGUCAUGAACCCUCGCUCACCGUGGGGAUUUUACGGUUCCAAAGCAUGGUGCCACAUCAAAUUUAGCAUUGGGUAUUCAAACACAACACACAACACACACCACUUCCAUAUACAUAAUUGGGCCACAUGCAUAGAGUGGGUUUUGUCUUCAGACAGUAAUCCCUCACGAGGUUAUCUUCGACAAGCUAGCCCAUUUUUGCGGGGCCAUGUGGAUGUCCAUCACUUUGACCAACAACGAGCGAGAGAGGUUAUACGAACAAGUUGGAUUCUGCUUGGUCCGUGUUAUAGUACAUCUUGGUGAGAUGCCCUCCCCCCACUUAAUGUGUGUGUGUGGGGGGGGAGGAGCUACUUCACACUACCUGCAACCUCUGUGGGGUUGGGGAAGUCCGGUUAAUUUGCGAGGCAUACGUGCCACAUCAAAGUCGUGAAUGGUAGUUAAAUAUCACACCACACCCUUUCAUACAUAUAGUAGGGCCAGGCGCAGGUGGUUCGUAUGUGGUAUCACCCAUCUUACGCCACAAGCACACAUUUGUGGGUCGGCAUACGGUCCACCUUUGUCCGGAAGCGAAAGGGGAAGUUUGACCAUGAUGGACUCCUAUAGGUUUUGUGUUACGGUAGGGUGAGAUUUUAGACCUAGCUAUUUGGGGACAUGCAUUCGUAGCUCGGAUUCCCUUACUGCCAACACGAAGUGGGGUUCAUAGGGGGUGGCUGACUAGUGAUACUGUGCGCUUUGUGCGACAGGUGCCACAUCAAAUUUGUGCAUUGGGUAUUUGAACAUCAAACCACCCUUUUCAUACAUAUAUUUGGUCCACAUGCAAGUGCGUUUGUGUUCUAACCCUUUCUCGCGUUAUUCUUUUUGCCAAAUUUAUAAACAACAGACGAGUUGAAUGGAGCAACCGUCUGCGAUUGGGGACAUAACAGACAUGGUUCGCUUAGACUAUCCUUGUGCCACGCCCGUGCCCCUGUCACUCACAUUAGAACAGUAGAUUGGGCUCCACGACGCUUGCCUCCCACUCUAGAAAAUAUCUACUACCUCGCAAUCUCAAAAAUAUCUACCACCUGGAAGGUUUUUAUGUUUGAUAGCACACGAUUAGUAUGUGCGGACCAUGUGCGAUGUCUAUUACUCCAACUCUAUUUCAAUCCCUUGAUUCAAAUUUUUAGUAGCCCCGGCAUUUUACUCCCGCCUCUGCAUCCCUCGCAAUCUCAAAAAUAUCUACUCGCCCUUGAUUCAAAUGUUUAGUAGCCCCGGCUUGUUACUCCCGCCUCUGCAUCCCAAUCUCAAAAAUAUCUGCUCUCCCUUGAUCCAAAUUUUCAGUAGCCCGGCAUUUUACUCCCGCCUCUGCAUCCCUCGCAAUAUCAAAAUAUCUGCUCGCCCUUGAUCCAAAUUUUCAGUAGCCUAGUAUUUUACUCCCGCCUAGUAAAAAUUUUAGUGGCCGCAGUAUUUCCUCAAACAUCACCUUGCCCCCCUCCACACACACCCCAAAACCUCCGCUCAUACAGACACACACCACCCUUCCCUUGCUCGAAACCAUUGGUAGGUCGCCGCCAUCGCCAUCGCCGCCGCCUCCAUCCUCAACCUCUGCAUGUGUGCCGCGGAGCUCGAGGAGCCAAUGGCCCAAAAGAGGUUUAUCGCAGCAUCUUCGCCUGACGUAAAGAGGUGGUCCCCGAGGUGUCCCCGUCGUCCUCUAUGGGCUCUUUAUCAAGCCGCCAUCGUCGGUCGCCCGAUCCGCCUGCCGUCGCGCCCCUAUGCCUGUUCAAGGACUUUCCUGUCCUCCGUCGGGCCCAGCCGCCGAUGAGGUCCUACCACGGGGUGCGGUAGCAGUCGUGGGGAACAUGGGUCGCCAAGAUUACAAAUCGAGAGACCCACACCCGCCAGUGGAUCAGUAGCUUCGACAUGGCUGAGCUUGCGGCCAUGGAGUAUGACCGCUGGCAGGUCCGCUACCACGGCGCAGCGACUAGGCUCAAUUUCCCCUUCGACACACGUCCGGUCGACCUCGUCCCAUCGGAGCCAAGGGUGGUGAGCUUGGCUAUGGCGCAGGAGGACCGCGAGGCAUGGGAGCGCCUCAAGGACAAGGCCGCCUACAAGGCCUACAUGCAAGAGCUCCGCCGACAGCACCCAGAGCUUGUGGAGGCGGAGCGGAUGAUCUUUGUCAGCACGGAGGGCGGCAAGGUUAUCGUUCUCUCCUCUGAUGAUGAGGUCAAAGGCAGCGAGGACAGCGACAUGGAGGGUAUCGAGGUGGCCGACGAGGAUGAGGAGAUCGACGUCGAUGAGUGGAGGAGUGUCUACUCCAACGACCCCGACAACGGCACCGGUCCGGACCUGGCUCGCGGCACACCGUACCUGACUUGGAAGGAUUGGCUCGACCUCCACUUCGACUAAACGUAGUUUAGUUUAGUUUAAAUUUUUGUUCUAUGUUCGGUUAUGCAAAACUAUCUAUGUUUAUGUUCGAAUGCAUGCUACUUUCGGAUGAACCUGCUUUGAACUUGAUCAAAUUUAAGUUACAACAUUAAGUUUAGGGGAUCGACUAGAAAAGGCCAAAAAUUGCUGGAGUAUAUAUAUACUCACUAAGGGUUUUACUCCGUUAACUUUUAGGGGAUCGUCUAGAGAUGGCCUUAUGCCUUGUUUAUUUCAGUUAUUCACAAUGUGAUGCUCUAUAUGUGCAACUAUUUGCCGUGCAGUUCAAUUUCAUCAAUAACAGUUUCAACAAUAUCACUAAGAAUUAUGAUAUUUGGUUGUUGUUAAGGAUGUUGCAGUUAACAUGCCUUUCCGUAUUUUUUAACAAUAACUAGUGUACUCUAGACCUGCUGAUGAGGACAUCAAUACCAUUGACCACCCCUGCUGCUAUACAUACUGGACCAAUUACUAGAGCUCGCGCAUGCUAAUUAAAUUACCAGGUACUUUCAUUUCUUGGUAACGAUUCUAAUGUUCACGAGAAAAUGAUGCUGCCUAAAUUGGAUACAUUUGUUUUGCUUACAAAUGAAGGGCCUAGCUUGGACAAGAAAGAGGAACCUUGGAGCAAGUUCAAGCAUGGAGAUGAUGGCGUGCGCAAGGGGAACAAGAACGGAGUUACAAUUAAUGAUUCCAGGACUUUGAAGCCACCAUAAUGAGUGCAUGAAGCCUUGGGCGAAAUAUACAAGAUGCCACUUGAUGAGGACAUCAAUACCAUUGUUACACCCACAGCCCCUACUGUUACAUAUACUGGACCAAUUACUAGAGCUCGCGCACGCCAAUUAAAUUACCAGGUACUUUCGUUUCUUGGUAAUGAUUCCAAUGUUCAUGAGAUUAUGAUGCUGCCUAAAUUGGAUACAUUUGUUUUGCUUACAAAUGAAGGGCCUAGCUUGGAGAAGGAUGAACAUUGGAGCAAGAACACGCAUGGAGUUGAUGGCAUGCGCAAGGGGAUCAAGAACGGAGUUACAAGUGAUAAUUUCAGGACUUUGAAGCCGCCAUAAGGAGUGCAUGAAGCCUUGGACGAAAUAUACAAGAUGCCACUUCAUAAUAUUCGUUCAUAGGCUAUUCUAGGUGCCGCGUCACCUUAUUAAUGGGGCCAGGCCCAUGUAAUUUCGAAAUACUUAAGUAUAGGCUAUUUUUAGAGUCCGUAUGUGUGGGGAAACAAGAGUUAGGGUUGGUUUCGGACCCCACCCUCAAGGGCCACGAAAUUCCCCCCUCUUCCUCCAUAUAUACAGCCCUUAGGGCGUCGUUUAGACUUCGGGUUUUGUUUAGAUUAAAAGUUCGCCAUAGCUGCAACUUCGCGUACUUCGUUUGUGUCCAACGACCAGACCAAGACGUCACAGAACCCCACCUUGAUCAAUAAAGCUUUCAUCUUAUAUUCGCAAUAUCCCAAUUGCAAUCUCAGUUUCUUGCUUGUUCUUCGUUUGCUCGCAGGAAACAAACCCUCGUGGUUAGGUUGAUCGUGCUCCGGCAUGGUCGAUAACCCUCGGAAGUUGGUUUAGUGAUUGCUAAGGCGCGACGUCUCGCACGUUCUGGUAGAGGCAAAGGUGUCCCGUCUUUUGAUGAGAUGAUGGAUAUCGCUUUGGUGGAAGUCAACUUUGACGAUCCGACUACGAACGUGCGAGGACGUCGCGNNNNNNNNNNNNNNNNNNNNNNNNNNNNNNNNNNNNNNNNNNNNNNNNNNNNNNNNNNNNNNNNNNNNNNNNNNNNNNNNNNNNNNNNNNNNNNNNNNNNNNNNNNNNNNNNNNNNNNNNNNNNNNNNNNNNNNNNNNNNNNNNNNNNNNNNNNNNNNNNNNNNNNNNNNNNNNNNNNNNNNNNNNNNNNNNNNNNNNNNNNNNNNNNNNNNNNNNNNNNNNNNNNNNNNNNNNNNNNNNNNNNNNNNNNNNNNNNNNNNNNNNNNNNNNNNNNNNNNNNNNNNNNNNNNNNNNNNNNNNNNNNNNNNNNNNNNNNNNNNNNNNNNNNNNNNNNNNNNNNNNNNNNNNNNNNNNNNNNNNNNNNNNNNNNNNNNNNNNNNNNNNNNNNNNNNNNNNNNNNNNNNNNNNNNNNNNNNNNNNNNNNNNNNNNNNNNNNNNNNNNNNNNNNNNNNNNNNNNNNNNNNNNNNNNNNNNNNNNNNNNNNNNNNNNNNNNNNNNNNUCUUUCGAUGAGAUGAUGGAUAUCGCUUUGGUGGAAGUCAACUUUGACGAUCCGACUACGAACGUGCGAGGACGUCGCGCCUUAGCAAUCGCUAAACCAACUCCGAGAGGUUAUUGACCACGCCGGAGCACGAUCAACCUGACCACGAGGGUCUGUUUCCUGCGAGCAAACGAAGAACAAGCAAGAAACUAAGAUUGCAAUCUGGAUAUUGCGAAUAUAAGAUGAAAGCUUUAUUGAGCAAGGUGGGGUUCUGUGACGCCUUUGUCUGGUCGUUGAACACAAACGAAGUACGCGAAGUUGCAGCUAUGGCGAACUUUUAAUCUAAACAAACCCCAAAGUCUAAACGGUGCCCUAAGGGCUGUAUAUAUGGAGGAAGAGAGGGGGAAUUUCGUGGCCCUUGGUGGAGGGGUCCGAAAUCAACCCUAUCUCUUGUUUCCCCACACAUAGGGACUCUAAAAAUAGCCUAUACUUAUGUAUUUCGAAAUUACAUGGGCCUGGCCCAAUAAAAAGGUGACGCAGCACCUAUAAUAGCCUCGGGACGAAAUUUAUGAAGUGGCAUCUUGUAUAUUUCGUCCAUGGCUUCAUGCACCCAUUAUGGUGGCUUCAAAGUCCUGAAAUCAUCACUUGUAACUCCGUUCUUGUUCCCCUUGCGCAUGGCAUCAUCUCCAUGCUUGUUCUUGCUCCAAUGUUCAUCCUUCUCCAAGCUAGGCCCUUCAUUUGUAAGCAAAACAAAUGUAUCCAAUUUAGGCAGCAUCAUAUUCUCAUGAACAUUAGAAUCAUUACCAAGAAACGAAAGUACCUGAUAAUUUAAUUGGCGUGCGCGAGCUCUAGUAAUUGGUCCCGUAUAUGUAGCAGUAGGGGCUGUGGGUGUAACAAUGGUAUUGAUGUCCUCAUCAUCCUCCCCUUCUUGAAAUGAAGUCGUCCUCGACGAAAACUCAUCUUCCUCACCCAAAUAAGGCUUCAAAUCUGCAAUGUUAAAAGUGGGACUAACCCCAAAAUCUGCAGGCAGCUCAAGUUUAUAUGCAUUAUCAUUUAUUUUCUCUAACACCUUAAAGGGACCAUCAGCACGUGGCAUUAGCUUUGAUUUGUGCAAAUCAGGAAAUCUAUCCUUACGCAAAUGUAACCAAACAAGAUCUCCAGGUGCAAACACAACAUGUUUUCUACCCUUAUCUCCAGCAAGUUUAUAUUUAGCAUUCAUACGCUCAAUGUUUUCCUUAGUUAACUCAUGCAUUUUUAAAAUCAAUUCAGCACGUUCUUUAGCAUCAAAAUUAACCUUCUCCGAAGAUGGAAGAGGCAACAAAUCAAUAGGUGCACGAGGUAGGAAACCAUACACAACUUCAAAAGGGCACAUCUUAGUAGUAGAAUGCAAUGAACGAUUAUAAGCAAAUUCAAUAUGAGGCAAGCAUUCCUCCCACAUUUUCUUAUUAUUCUUCAAAACAGCCCUAAGCAUAGUAGACAACGUUCUAUUGACUACUUCAGUUUGUCCAUCAGUUUGGGGGUGACAAGUAGUACUAAAAAGCAGUUUAGUCCCCAACUUAGCCCAUAAACAUCUCCAAAAGUGGCUAAGAAAUUUAGUAUCACGAUCUGAAACAAUAGUAUUUGGCACACCAUGCAAGCGAAUAAUUUCAUGAAAGAACAAAUCAGCAACAUUAACAGCAUCAUCGCUUUUAUGACAUGCUAUAAAGUGUGCCAUUUUCUAGAAUCUAUCCACGACAACAAAUAUGCUAUCCCUCCCCUUCUUUGUUCGAGGUAAACCUAAAACAAAGUCCAUAGAUAUAUCCUCCCAAGGAACACUAGGUAGAGGCAAAGGCAUAUAUAAACCAUGAGGAUUGAGUCGUGACUUAGCUUUUUGACAUGUAGUGCAUCGAGCAAUAAAACGCUCAACAUCCCGUCUCAUCUUUGGCCAAAAGAAAUGUGUAGCAAGUACGUCCUCCGUCUUCUUCACGCCAAAGUGUCCCAUUAAUCCUCCUCCAUGCGCCUCCUGCAACAACAAAAGACGAACGGAGCUAGCUGGAAUGCAUAGCUUGUUAGCACGAAACACAAAUCCAUCGUUAACGACGAACUUGUUCCACAUUCUUCCUUCUUUACAAUUCUGCAUUACAUCUUUAAAAUCAGCAUCAUGCACAUAUUGAUCUUUGAUGGUCUCCAAACCAAAUAUUUUGAAGUCAAGUUGUGAAAGCAUAGUAUAGCGGCGAGACAAUGCAUCAGCAAUAACAUUUUCUUUUCCCUUCUUGUGUUUAAUGACAUAAGGAAAAGUCUCAAUGAAUUCAACCCAUUUAGCAUGUCUAUGAUUCAGUUUAGCUUGACUUUUAAUAUGUUUCAAAGAUUCAUGAUCAGAAUCUAUAACAAAUUCUUUGGGCCAUAAAUAAUGUUGCCAUGUUUCUAAAGUCCGAACAAGAGCAUAUAAUUCUUUAUCAUAAGUAGAAUAAUUCAGACUAGGCCCACUCAAUUUUUCAGAAAAGUAUGCAACAGGUUUGCCAUCUUGUAAUAACACACCGCCUAAUCCAAUUCCACUAGCAUCACAUUCAAGCUCAAAAGUCUUAUUAAAAUCAGGAAGUUGGAGUAAAGGAGCAUGUGUCAACUUAUCUUUCAAUACCGAGAAGGCUUCUUCUUGUGCGGUACCCCAAAGAAAAGGCACAUCUUUCUUUGUAAGCUCAUUGAGAGGUGCAGCAAUGGUGCUGAAAUCUCUCACAAAACGCCUAUAGAAUCCAGUAAGGCCAAGAAAACUCCUCACUUGUGUGACCGUUUUGGGCUGCGGCCAACUCUCAAUAGCUUCAAUCUUGGCUUUAUCAACUUCAAUUCCCUGUGGAGUAACAACAUAGCCAAGAAAAGAUACUCGGUCGGUGCAAAAGGUGCACUUCCCAAGGUUACCAAACAAACGUGCAUCACGUAGAGCAAUAGAAACAGCACGUAAAUGUUCCAAAUGUUCUUCCAAAGAUCUGCUAUAAAUCAAUAUGUCAUCAAAGUAAACUACCACAAAUCGUCCAAUGAAAGCACGUAAAACUUCGUUCAUUAAUCUCAUGAAAGUACUAGGUGCAUUAGUUAACCCAAAAGGCAUGACUAACCACUCAUAUAAUCCAAACUUAGUUUUGAAUGCUGUUUUCCAUUCAUCUCCCAAUUUCAUACGAAUUUUAUGGUAUCCACUACGCAAAUCAACUUUGGAGAAUAUUGUAGAGCCACUCAAUUCAUCAAGCAUAUCAUCUAGCCUAGCAAUAGGAUGAUGAUAACGAAUAGUAAUAUUAUUAAUGCCUCUACAAUCAACACACAUACGUGAUGUACCAUCCUUUUUCGGCACUAGAAUAAUAGGAACAGCACAAGGACUAAGGGAUUCGCGUAUAUAACCUUUGUCGAGAAGCUCUUGUACUUGACGCAUAAUCUCCUUCGUCUCCUCUGGAUUGGUACGGUAUGGUGCACGGUUUGGCAGUGAAGCACCGGGAAUUAGGUCAAUCUGAUGCUCAAUCCCUCGAAUAGGCGGCAAUCCCGGUGGUACGUCUUGUGGAAAGACGUCAGCGAACUCCUGCAAAAUGUUAGUGACAGCAGGAGGCAAAGAGGAAGGCACGUCCUCGAAUGAAAAUAAUGCCUCUUUGCACACAAAAGCAUAGCAAACAGAUUUGCUGAAAUCUACCUCAUCAAUAUCAGAUUUGGUGGCAAAUAAACAUGCACUUUUCAAUUUAAUUUCAGAAGCAACACUAGAUGGUUUAUUAUUAGGCUUCAUUUGUUGCUCAAAUUCUUUUGCCACAAUCUGAUUUUCACUCUUAUUCGUCUCCUGUUUUGCUUUAUUAGCUCUAUUAAUAUCAUCUUUCAAAAUGGAAUCAGGAGUCAUAGGAAGCAAAGUAAUAUUUUUAUCCUUAUGAACAAGAGUAUAGUGAUUGUUUCUACCAUGGUGUACAGAAUUUUUAUCAAAUUGCCAUGGUCUACCAAGUAAUAAGGAACAUGCUUGCAUAGGUACCACAUCACAAUCAACAUAAUCAGCAUAUGUAGAGAUACUAAAAUGCACACGAACAGUACGUGUUACCUUAACCUUGCCGCUGUUGUUGAACCAUUGGAUGUAGUAAGGAUGUGGAUGUGGUCUUGUGGUGAGAGAAAGCUUCUCCACCAUCUCCAUGCUAGCCAAGUUGUUGCAGCUCCCUCCGUCUAUGAUGACGCGCACAGAACAUUCCUUCACAACUCCCUUGGUAUGGAACAAAUUGUGCCUCUGAUUUUGCUCAGCUUGUGUGAUCUGCACUCUCAAAACACGUUGAGCAACUAAACAUUCAUACCUGUUAGCGUCUUCAGGAGCCAUGUAUUGCGUCUCAUGAUCAGAAUCAUCUCCACCAUGUUCUUCACGUGUAAUAAGAGCCAAAGUCUCCUCAUCAUAGUCACUAGCAGACUCAUAUCCACCAUCCGCGGUAGCAAUCAUCACACGCGGAGAUUUGCAUUCUCUCGCAUAAUGACCUCCUCCCUUACAACGACGACAAAUAAUAUCACUUGUGUGCCCUGUUGAUGCCAUGGAAGAAGAAGAACGCUGUGCAGGCCCCGCAGGUGCGCUCUUGGCAGAUAAUGGUGGUUGUGCCUGUUUUCUUGUAUCACGGCUGGAGGUGGCACCGGAUGGAGGUGCUGGUGCAGUUGAAGUAGAAGAUGCACGUGGUGUCCAUGAUGAAGGUCGGCCUGCAGAAAAGUUAGUUCGCCCCAAUGCUUGUCGAUCUUGCACUUCACGUUCAGCUUUACAAGCAAGAUGGAAUAAACGAGUGAUAUUAGUAUACUCCUUAUAGUCUAGAAUGGUCUGAAUCUCUCUAUUUAAUCCACCCAGAAAAUGUGCAAGCAUAGCUUCAUUCUCCUCAACAAUACCACAUCUAAUCAUGCCAGUUUGUAAUUCCUGAUAAUAUUCUUCUACAGAAUUUUUCCCUUGUCUUAAACGCUGCAAUUUUUGAAGCAAUUCACGUUGAUAAUAUGGUGGAACCCAACGCGUACGCAUAGCAGUUUUCAAAGCAGCCCAAGUAGUUGGAAUAGGAUAUAAUCUACAAUGUUCAGACCACCAUACACAUGCAAAACUAGUGAAAGCACAAACAGCAGCAGCAACUCGUCUCUCCUCAGGAUAUUGUAAACAUGUAAAUCGUUGUUCAGUUUCUAACUCCCAAGUAAGAUAUAUAUCAGGAACAUAUCUACCCUCAAAUGGUGGAAUAUUCAAUUUCAAUUUAGGAAUAUGGACAUCAUCUCGUACCUGAGGUGGUGGUGCAGGCCUACCGUUACGAAUAUAUACCUGAGGUCGACCUGCUGGUGGUGGUACAGGUGGCUGCACGUAGUGCUGAUUUUGAUCAACCUCAUCCUCAUAAUCUCCCACAUAAUCAUCCUCCUCCGCAUCAGCAGCAGGAGCCACAGAAGUAUCAACAGCAGCACCAACAGUUUGGCCAAACGCAAGAGGAACACGGCUUGCUCGGCGGAGGUCUGUUUCGCGAUGUGGAGGUAGUCGUUGUUGUUGUUGUUGGAGAGGUGCGUUAGGUGCAGCGGGUGGUGGUGGUGGAAGACGCGCGAGCAAUUCAUUAAACUUGUUAUCGAGCUUUGUUUCCAACGUCUUCUCAAGGCCAGUGAUCUUCUCCAUGGCCUCUUCAAAAUUGUUCAGCACAUCUUGCACCUGUUCAGUCAUCAUUUGCUGAAACUUAUCAUGAAGCUCCUUGUUCGAUAAAUUCUCCCAGUCAAUCUCGUCGGCUUGUGAUCCUGGCAUGGUUAGCAGCAAUAGAAACACACAAGAAUAUGAUCCUACAGACUACGAACAAGUGGUGGUGGUGGGUGUCACAAAUCCGUCAAGCAAAACUCAAAUUCUUACCAGUUCUUACCCAGCAACAGGCGGUGAUCGGCAACCGUUGUAGUCAAAAACUCUCAAAGCUUGGAUAGAGCGAUUACCAGGGAGAGUCAAACGCACGACGUAGAUGUAUGUGGAGCUGGGAAGGCUUAUAAUAUGGUAGCAAAAAGGGUCAGCAAUAAUCAAUUCAGAGAUGCAAAGUUGAAUAAACGCUCAACGACGGUACUGUGCUGGUCCUAGGCUAGACUGUGCUAGAGACGCGAGCCUAGAACACCAACAAAAUCACGGCGCGGCACGUAAACAAGGGAGGAGCACACUCUGAAUUUUUUUUCUCUUUUUUUUUGCACUUAUUGCUCCGCAACAAUUUUUUUUCGAAAAAGUCUACAAAUGGUCUAAAAACUGCCUAGCCAGAAUUUUCCAGACUUAGUUUUUUUUUUUGAAAUUGGAACUAUUUUUCUUCUGCGGAUGGCUCGGAAGUUGGGGAGUCCUUCUCUGUCACGACUCGGAGUGUCGCGUGAUCUGGAAAUCAAGAACAAUGCAACAAUUACUAGACUCGGCCUAGGACUGGUGGCGGAGAUGAAUCUGGUGGAACUCGGACUGGUGGCGGAGAUGCAUCUGGUGGAACACGGACAGGUGGCGGAUAUAUGUUGUAGGUGAACUCGGAUUGGCGUGAUGGCGGCGGAUAUGUGGUGGCGUAUAUGGAUUUGGAUUGGCGGUGAAUAUGUGGUGGUGGUAUAUGGCAACAGCGACGAUGAUGAUGCGGUGGUGAUAUAUGGCAGCGGCGACGUGACAACCUGUGAACAGAACUCGAAACUCUAAAAGACUAGACGCUAAGACCAGCAACUGGACACGACGAUGCAACUGCAAAUUCAACAAAGCAAAUACAGAAAAGAUUAUGCAAGGCUCAGAUUGGUUCGGAUGUGAUGCUAGUGGAAUUGGAUUAGUGAUAGAGGCAAAGGUGUCCCGUCUUUCGAUGAGAUGAUGGAUAUCGCUUUGGUGGAAGUCGACUUUGACGAUCCGACUACGAACGUGCGAGGACGUCGCGCCUUAGCAAUCGCUAAACCAACUCCGAGAGGUUAUUGACCACGCCGGAGCACGAUCAACCUGACCACGAGGGUCUGUUUCCGGCGAGCAAACGAAGAACAAGCAAGAAACUAAGAUUGCAAUCUGGAUAUUGCGAAUAUAAGAUGAAAGCUUUAUUGAUCAAGGUGGGGUUCUGUGACGCCUUUGUCUGGUCGUUGAACACAAACGAAGUACGCGAAGUUGCAGCUAUGGCGAACUUUUAAUCUAAACAAAACCCAAAGUCUAAACGGUGCCCUAAGGGCUGUAUAUAUGGAGGAAGAGAGGGGGAAUUUUGUGGCCCUUGGUGGAGGGGUCCGAAAUCAACCCUAUCUCUUGUUUCCCCACACAUACGGACUCUAAAAAUAGCCUAUACUUAUGUAUUUCGAAAUUACAUGGGCCUGGCCCAAUAAAAAGGUGACGCAGCACCUAUAAUAGCCUCUGGACGAAAUUUAUGAAGUGACAUCUUGUAUAUUUCGUCCAAGGCUUCAUGCACUCGUUAUGGAGGCUUCAAUGACUUGAAAUCAUCACUUGUAACUUUGUUCUUGUUCCCCUUGCGCAUGCCAUCAUCUCCGUGCUUGUUCUUGCUCCAAUGUUCAUCCUUCUCCAAGCUAGGCCCUUCAUUUGUAAGCAAAACAAAUGUAUCCAAUUUAGGCAGCAUCAUAUUCUCAUGAACAUUAGAAUCAUUACCAAGAAACGAAAGUACCUGGUAAUUUAGUUGGCGUGCGCGACCUCUAGUAAUUGGUCCAGUAUGUAUAGCAGCAGGGGCUGUGGGUGUAACAAUGGUAUUGAUGUCCUCAUCAUCCUCCCCUUCUUGAAAUGAAGUCGUCCUCGACGGAAGCUCAUCUUCCUCACCCAAAUAAGGCUUCAAAUCUGCAAUGUUAAAAGUGGGACUAACCCCAAAAUCUGCAGGCAGCUCAAGUUUAUAUGGAUUAUCAUUUAUUUUCUCUAACACCUUAAAGGGACCAUCAGCCCGUGGCAUGAGCUUUGAUUUGCGCAAAUCAGGAAAUCUAUCCUUACGCAAAUGUAACCAAACAAGAUCUCCAGGUGCAAACACAACAUGUUUUCUACCCUUAUCUCCAGCAAGUUUAUAUUUGGCAUUCAUACGCUCAAUGUUUUCCUUAGUUAACUCAUGCAUUUUUUAAAUCAAUUCAGCACGUUGUUUAGCAUCAAAAUUAACCUUCUCCGAAGAUGGAAGAGGCAACAAAUCAAUAGGUGCACGAGGUAGGAAACCAUACACAACUUCAAAAGGGCACAUCUUAGUAGUAGAAUACAAUGAACGAUUAUAAGCAAAUUCAAUAUGAGGCAAGCAUUCCUCCCACAUUUUCUUAUUAGUCUUCAAAACAGCCCUAAGCAUAGUAGACAAUGUUCUAUUGACUACUUGAGUUUGGCCAUCAGUUUGGGGGUGACAAGUAGUACUAAAAAGCAGUUUAGUCCCCAACUUAGCCCAUAAACAUCUCCAAAAGUGGCUAAGAAAUUUAGUAUCACGAUCUGAAACAAUAGUAUUUGGCACACCAUGCAAGCGAAUAAUUUCACGAAAGAACAAAUCAGCAAUAUUAACAGCAUCAUCGCUUUUAUGACAUGGUAUAAAGUCUGCCAUUUUCGAGAAUCUAUCCACGACAACAAAUAUGCUAUCCCUCCCCUUCUUUGUUCGAGGUAAACCUAAAACAAAGUCCAUAGAUAUAUCCUCCCAAGGAACACUAGGUACAGGCAAAGGCAUAUAUAAACCAUGAGGAUUGAGUCGUGAUGAUAGAGGCGGGGGUGUCCCGAUCUUUCGAUGAGAUGAUAACUAUCGAUUUGGUGGAGACGACUUUGACGAUUCGACUACAAACGUGCACGACGUUGCGCCUUAGCAAUCGCUAAACCAACUCCGAGAGGUUAUUGAUCACGCCGGAGCACAAUCAACCUGACCACGAAGGUCUAUUCCUGCAAGCAAUCGAAGAACAAGCAAGAAUAUGAUAAAAGCAAUCUGAAUAUUGCGAGUAUAUAUGAAGUAUUGAUAAAGGUGGGGAUCCGUAAGCGGUCUUGGUCUGGUCGUUGGACACAAACGAAGUACACGAAGUUGCAAUGGCUAACUUUUAACUAAACAAAUCCCAAGGAAAAAGCUACUAGAUGGAUCUACUUAUAUAGGAGCAAGGGGUGGAGGCCAAGGAGGUGGGAGGACGUCCCAAGGCAGCCUAAAACUAAAUCUAGGUCGUACAAGGCCAAUGGACCCAAGUGGAGGUGAUGUAACACCUUUGGACUUGUAGUUUGACUCGGAUUCUGCUGCAGCAUCAGAUUGUUUCGUCCACAACUCAACGCUCCGGACGAAUUUGAAGGUGAUUCCAAUUGGGUUGUAAAGUGCACGAAAUCUAGUUUCCAACAAAAAAAGAAUCACCCAAUUCGGAGUCCGUAUGAAAAACUUGUGUGCGUUUUGAGUCAGGUAUGUCUGUGCAGUCCGAAUCUGAAUCCAGAACGUGAGAGACUUGGACUUUAUCUUCUCUUGGGCCAAAAGUGACGUGAGAGAACUUUUUGGACAGCAAAUAAACAUCUCUUUCUUCCUUAUCUUCAUAUGUGGAUUGUACAAAUGUCCCAUACACCUGCAAUUAGACAAAACACAAAAGUGUGUGAAGUAUUUUUGUUCUGGAUAACAUAAAUAGAUUAUUGAAUAGUUUGCACUAGAAAUCACCUGACAAAUAUGCAUAUAUGCAAUAUUUUUGGUCAUAUCCAAGGUAGUCAUGUCCUCAUCAUCCUCCCCUUCUUGAAAAUAAAGCCGUCCUCAGCGUUGCUUAAUCUGAAAUGUGGCUAACAAAAGAGACAAGGUGUACAUGUUGUAUAUGUAUAUGUCAUCCAUUUUUACUUCCCUUGAUUUUUGCAUAGAUGACACAUGAAUAUAUGAGUAACUUGCAUAGUUCAUAAAAUCUAAAGCCAAAAAAUUAGCACAAGAAGUAGAAGGCAUGAAAAUAUUGCAACUCAGUUUGCACAUAUAAGUGAAGCUCUUAUUCAUUUCAAAAGAUUGACAAUGUUCAUCAUUAAACCAUCCCAACAUUGGUGAAUAAACCUUACUUGCAUCAAAUUUACAUGCUACAACAUGCUUAAAUAAGCAAACAUGCAAUAAGUCAUUCAACACAGAAUCAUCACCAAGAUUAGAGGUCAUAUCAAAAUGAUUAAACAUUGGUUCUUUUGCAUCAAUAGUUAAUUCAAUGGGUGCACUCAAAAUUGUUGGUAUUUCAGUUGUUUGAUCACAUGGCAAAGUCAAAUUAUCAACGUAGUCCUCUAAAAUAGGUGGUGUGAUCAAAGUAGUGGGUAGCUCAUCAGAUGUUGCAUUCAAAUUGACAAGGCAUUCAUCAUUCUCAUGUAGAGAUGGAAGAUCAGUACCUUUGUCAUUACCUCUUAUGAUCAACUCACAUGAUGUAGCCACUCUCGGGGGCGAUGUGUCACAUGGUGGAGGUGAUGUAGUCUUCACAACAACGGAUGUGGUUGUCAUAGUAUGCCUAGUAGUUGAAGGAACAAUCAUAUCAACUCUUGGAAUGUGCACCGUGCGCUUGUUCUCCUCGUGGCCAACACGUCGUUUUAUUUCCUGUUCAGCUUUACAAGCAAGAUGAAACAAAUGGUCCAUAGGAUAACACUCUUCAUGAAUUAGUAUCUCUUGAAUAUCACGGUUUAAUCCUCCCCAAAAUCUAUCCAUAAAAUCAUCUUCACUUUCUUCUAAAGAGGAAUGCAACAAGGUAGUUUGUAAAUCAUCAUAAUAUUUUGUUACAGUUUCACUACCUUGUUUUAAGUGUUGCAACUUCUUAAUCAUGUCACGAGUAUAAUAAGCAGGGACGAAAGUAUGUCGCAUGGCAAGUUUCAAAUCAUCCCAAGUAGUAUGUAUAUAAUCAGGGUGUAACCGACAAUAUUCACUCCACCAAACCAAAGCAUAACCAGUGAAAGAACCAACCGCAACCUUAACCUUUUUAUGUUCAUCGAAAUUAUGGGAAGCAAAUAUAUUUUUUAUGUCGAACUCCCAUUCAAUAUAUAAAGCAGGUUUAAAACGGCCAUUAAAUGGUGGUAUAGAUACAUUAACCUGAUCAUGUGCAUUUGGAUGUUUGUGCACCUCUCGUGACGGUUGUGGUAUUUGCAAAGGUGGUGGCACGUCUCCCGCGAUCGACAAAGCCCAUGAAUUGACUCUGGAUCCUGUCAUGAUUAGUAGAACAAGAAACAAAACCCAAAAAUAAUGUUCGUAUAACUACUAGGAUGUGGUGGUAAAACGCUCACAGUAAAGCAAAUAUCAAUGUCUUACAAGUUCUUACCAUGCAGCAGGCGGUGAUCGGCAACCAGCGGUGUCAAGUAACUUCGAAUAUUGAGUAAAGCGAUUGCCAGGGGAGCGUACGUAUACACGGUGUAGAAAUAUGUGGAGCUGGGUUGGCUAUAUGAUAGAGGCAGAGGUGUCCCGUCUUUCGAUGAGAUGAUGGAUUUCGCUUUGGUGGAAGUCGACUUUGACGAUCCGACUACGAACGUGCGAGGAUGUCGCGCCUUAGCAAUCGCUAAACCAACUCCGAGAGGUUAUUGACCACGCCGGAGCACGAUCAACCUGACCACGAGGGUCUGUUUCCUGCGAGCAAACGAAGAACAAGCAAGAAACUGAGAUUGCAAUCUGGAUAUUGCGAAUAUAAGAUGAAAGCUUUAUUGAUCAAGGUGGGGUUCUGUGACGCCUUUGUCUGGUCGUUGAACACAAACGAAGUACGCGAAGUUGCAGCUAUGGCGAACUUUUAAUCUAAACAAAACCCAAAGUCUAAACGAUGCCCUAAGGGCUGUAUAUAUGGAGGAAGAGGGGGGAAUUUCGUGGCCCUUGGUGGAGGGGUCCGAAAUCAACCCUAUCUCUUGUUUCCCCACACAUACGUACUCUAAAAAUAGCCUAUACUUAUGUAUUUCGAAAUUACAUGGGCCUGGCCCAAUAAUAAGGUGACGCAGCACCUAAAAUAGCCUCGGGACAAAAUUUAUGAAGUGGCAUCUUGUAUAUUUCGUCCAAGGCUUCAUGCACCCAUUAUGGUGGCUUCAAAGUCCUGAAAUCAUCACUUGUAACUCCGUUCUUGUUCCCCUUGCGCAUGCCAUCGUCUCCAUGCUUGUUCUUGCUCCAAUGUUCAUCCUUCUCCAAGCUAGGCCCUUCAUUUGUAAGCAAAACAAAUGUAUCCAAUUUAGGCAGCAUCAUAUUCUCAUGAACAUUAGAAUCAUUACCAAGAAAUGAAAGUACCUGGUAAUUUAGUUGGCGUGCACGAGCUCUAGUAAUUGGUCCAGUAUGUAUAGCAGCAGGGGCUGUGGGUGUAACAAUUGUAUUGAUGUCCUCAUCAUUCGGAGUCCGUAUGAAAAACUUGUGUGCGUUUUGAGUCAGGUAUGUCUGUGCAGUCCGAAUCUGAAUCCAGAACGUGAGAGACUUGGACUCUAUCUUCUCUUGGGCCAAAAGUGACGUGAAAGAACUUUUUGGACAGCAAAUAAACAUCUCUUUCUUCCUUAUCUUCAUAUGUGGAUUGUACAAAUGUCCCAUACACCUGCAAUUAGACAAAACACAAAAGUGUGUGAAGUAUUUUUGUUCUGGAUAACAUAAAUAGAUUAUUGAAUAGUUUGCACUAGAAAUCACCUGACAAAUAUGCAUAUAUGCAAUAUUUUUGGUCAUAUCCAAGGUAGUCAUGUCCUCAUCAUCCUCCCCUUCUUGAAAAUAAAGCCGUCCUCGGCGUUGCUUAAUCUGAAAUGUGGCUAACAAAAGAGACAAGGUGUACAUGUUGUAUAUGUAUAUGUCAUCCAUUUUUACUUCCCUUGAUUUUUGCAUAUAUGACACAUGAAUAGAUGAGUAACUUGCAUAGUUCAUAAAAUCUAAAGCCAAAAAAUUAGCACAAGAAGUAGAAGGCACGAAAAUAUUGCAACUCAGUUUGCACAUAUAAGUGAAGCUCUUAUUCAUUUCAAAAGAUUGACAAUGUUCAUCAUUAAACCAUCCCAACAUUGGUGAAUAAACCUUACUUGCAUCAAAUUUACAUGCUACAACAUGCUUAAAUAAGCAAACAUGCAAUAAGUCAUUCAACACAGAAUCAUCACCAAGAUUACAGGUCAUAUCAAAAUGAUUAAACAUUGGUUCUUUUGCAUCAAUAGUUAAUUCAAUGGGUGCACUCAAAAUUGUUGGUAUUUCAGUUGUUUGAUCACAUGGCAAAGUCAAAUUAUCAACGUAGUCCUCUAAAAUAGGUGGUGUGAUCAAAGUAGUGGGUAGCUCAUCAGAUGGUGCAUUCAAAUUGACAAGGCAUUCAUCAUUCUCAUGUAGAGAUGGAAGAUCAGUACCUUUGUCAUUACCUCUUAUGAUCAACUCAGAUGAUGUAGCCACUCUUGGGGGCGAUGUCUCACAUGGUGGACGCGAUGUAGUCCUGAUAACAACGGAUGUGGUUGUCAUAGUAUGCCUAGUAGUUGAAGGAACAAUCAUAUCAACUCUUGGAAUGUGCACCGUGCGCUUGUUCUCCUCGUGGCCAACACGUCGUUUUAUUUCCUGUUCAGCUUUACAAGCAAGAUGAAACAAAUGGUCCAUAGGAUAACACUCUUCAUGAAUUAGUAUCUCUUGAAUAUCACGGUUUAAUCCUCCCCAAAAUCUAUCCAUAAAAUCAUCUUCACUUUCUUCUAAAGAGGAAUGCAACAAGGUAGUUUGUAAAUCAUCAUAAUAUUUUGUUACAGUUUCACUACCUUGUUUUAAGUGUUGCAACUUCUUAAUCAUGUCACGAGUAUAAUAAGCAGGGACGAAAGUAUGUCGCAUGGCAAGUUUCAAAUCAUCCCAAGUAGUAUGUAUAUAAUCAGGGUGUAACCGACAAUAUUCACUCCACCAAACCAAAGCAUAACCAGUGAAAGAACCAACCGCAACCUUAACCUUUUUAUGUUCAUCGAAAUUAUGGGAAGCAAAUAUAUUUUUUAUGUCGAACUCCCAUUCAAUAUAUAAAGCAGGUUUAAAACGGCCAUUAAAUGGUGGUAUAGAUACAUUAACCUGAUCAUGUGCAUUUGGAUAUUUGUGCACCUCUCGUGACGGUUGUGGUAUUUGCAAAGGUGGUGGCACGUCUCCCGCGAUCGACGAAGGCCAUGAAUUGACUCUGGAUCCUGUCAUGAUUAGUAGAACAAGAAACAAAACCCAAAAAUAAUGUUCCUAUAACUACUAGGAUGUGGUGGUAAAACGCUCACAGUAAAACAAAUAUCAAUGUCUUACAAGUUCUUACCAUGCAGCAGGCGGUGAUCGGCAACCAGCGGUGUCAAGUAACUCCGAAUAUUGAGUAAAGCGAUUGCCAGGGGAGCAUACGUAUACACGGUGUAGAAAUAUGUGGAGCUGGGUUGGCUAUAUAUGGUAGCAAAAGAUUAGCAAUAAUCAAUUCAAAGAUGCAUUGUUGAAUAAACGCUCAACGACGGUACUGUGCUGGUCCUAGGCUAGACCGGACUAGAGACGCGAGCCUAAAACACUAAUAAGGUCACGGCGUAGCACAACUAGCACCAAUGAAGGAUACUAAGUAGCUCUUGACAGCAAGAUAUAAGUGAAGAUCACAACGGCAGUGAAGAUAAUGAUGAAAAACAACUGCCAAGCAGGAUAUAUAACAACUCUCUCUUCAACUUUCCUCUUGAAAAGUUUGCUACUAACUCAAGCUUUCCAAUGCAAAAAGAAUCACUCAAUUCUGAAUUGAUAUGAGGAGUCAAAGAAUUUUAAAACUGGCCUGAAAAAUUGGAACAAGUUGUGUUCACGAACUUCGGAGAGCAAAAAGACCUAUUUCGAAGACGAUUUUGAGGUGUCAAAUAUUGAACUAGCUUCUGCAACUAUUUACAUGCGGCUCGUCGCUAGCUUCAAUUUGAGUACUCACGGAGCCAAAACGGACUUCAUAUGAGGAAGAUACACCUGUUUUACUGAACAGUGCGCAAAACAGAUUCUAAUCCGAAUUCAGGUACGAGAUUGAUUCUAGAUAGAUCCGAUUUUUUUCUUCUUCUCUCUUUUUUCCUCACGCUUUUUUUUUCUUUUUCUUCUCUCUCUUUUUCUUUUUUUUUCUUUCCUUUUUUUCUCUCUUUUUUCUCUCUUUUUUUUCUCCCUCUUUCCAAGACAAACUAGAUAAGAUGCAGAUUGGAUCAGGCAAAGAUGUGAAUGACCUCAACUAUGAUUAUGACAAUGAACAGCGCGUAACACGUGGUGGAAAUUAAUAGAUGGGAUGGUGGACAGCGGAAGGGAUAAUGAUGCAGCGGCGGCGUGACUAAUGUGAACAGAACUCGAAACUCUAAAGGAACUAGACACUAAGACCAGCAACUAACACGACGAUGCAACCGAUAAUUCAACUAUGCAAGCAACGAAUAGAAAAUUGCAAAGGCUCAGACUGGCUUGGAUAAAGGAUGAACAGAUCUAACUUUUUUUUGUGGCUUUUUCAUGAACUAUAGGUAUGAAUGACAGAUGCGAUCUAAACUAUGAAAAACUGUAAAAUCUCACCGAGCAACCUGAAAACUGAUACCACUUGAUAGAGGCGGGGGUGUCCCGAUCUUUCGAUGAGAUGAUAACUAUCGAUUUGGUGGAGACGACUUUGACGAUUCGACUACAAACGUGCACGACGUUGCGCCUUAGCAAUCGCUAAACCAACUCCGAGAGGUUAUUGAUCACGCCGGAGCACAAUCAACCUGACCACGAAGGUCUAUUCCUGCAAGCAAUCGAAGAACAAGCAAGAAUAUGAUAAAAGCAAUCUGAAUAUUGCGAGUAUAUAUGAAGUAUUGAUAAAGGUGGGGAUCCGUAAGCGGUCUUGGUCUGGUCGUUGGACACAAACGAAGUACACGAAGUUGCAAUGGCUAACUUUUAACUAAACAAAUCCCAAGGAAAAAGCUACUAGAUGGAUCUACUUAUAUAGGAGCAAGGGGUGGAGGCCAAGGAGGUGGGAGGACGUCCCAAGGCAGCCUAAAACUAAAUCUAGGUCGUACAAGGCCAAAGGGCCCAAGUGGAGGUGAUGUAACACCUUUGGACUUGUAGUUUGACUCGGAUUCUGCUGCAGCAUCAGAUUGUUUCGUCCACAACUCAACGCUCCAGACGAAUUUGAAGGUGAUUCCAAUUGGGUUGUAAAGUGCACGAAAUCUAGUUUCCAACAAAAAAAGAAUCACCCAAUUCGGAGUCCGUAUGAAAAACUUGUGUGCGUUUUGAGUCAGGUAUGUCUGUGUAGUCCGAAUCUGAAUCCAGAACGUGAGAGACUUGGACUCUAUCUUCUCUUGGGCCAAAAGUGACGUGAGAGAACUUUUUGGACAGCAAAUAAACAUCUCUUUCUUCCUUAUCUUCAUAUGUGGAUUGUACAAAUGUCCCAUACACUUGCAAUUAGACAAAACACAAAAGUGUGUGAAGUAUUUUUGUUCUGGAUAACAUAAAUAGAUUAUUGAAUAGUUUGCACUAGAAAUCACCUGACAAAUAUGCAUAUAUGCAAUAUUUUUGGUCAUAUCCAAGGUAGUCAUGUCCUCAUCACGUGACUUGGCUUUUUGACAUGUAGUGCAGCGAGCAAUAAAAUGCUCAACAUCCCGUCUCAUCUUUGGCCAAAAGAAAUGUGUAGCAAGUACGUCCUCCGUCUUCUUCACGCCAAAGUGUCCCAUUAAUCCUCCUCCAUGCGCCUCCUGCAACAACAAAAGACGAACGGAGCUAGCUGGAAUGCAUAGCUUGUUAGCACGAAACACAAAUCCAUCGUUAACGACAAACUUGUUCCACAUUCUUCCUUCUUUACAAUUCUGCAUUACAUCUUUAAAAUCAGCAUCAUGCACAUAUUGAUCUUUGAUGGUCUCCAAACCAAAUAUUUUGAAGUCAAGUUGUGAAAGCAUAGUAUAGCGACGAGACAAUGCAUCAGCAAUAACAUUUUCUUUUCCCUUCUUGUGUUUAAUGACAUAAGGGAAAGUCUCAAUAAAUUCAACCCAUUUAGCAUGUCUACGAUUCAGUUUAGCUUGACUUUUAAUAUGUUUCACAGAUUCAUGAUCAGAAUGUAUAACAAAUUCUUUGGGCCAUAAAUAAUGUUGCCAUGUUUCUAAAGUCCGAACAAGAGCAUAUAAUUCUUUAUCGUAAGUAGAAUAAUUCAGACUAGGCCCACUCAAUUUUUCAGAAAAGUAUGCAACAGGUUUGCCAUCUUGUAAUAACACACCUCCUAAUCCAAUUCCACUAGCAUCACAAUCAAGCUCAAAAGUCUUAUUAAAAUCAGGAAGUUGGAGUAAAGGAGCAUGUGUCAACUUAUCUUUCAAUACCGAGAAGGCUUCUUCCUGUGCGGUACCCCAAAGAAAAGGCACAUCUUUCUUUGUAAGCUCAUUGAGAGGUGCAGCAAUAGUGCUGAAAUCUCUCACAAAACGCCUAUAGAAUCCAGCGAGGCCAAGAAAACUCCUCACUUGUGUGACCGUUUUGGGCUGCGGCCAACUCUCAAUAGCUUCAAUCUUGGCUGUAUCAACUUCAAUUCCCUGUGGAGUAACAACAUAGCCAAGAAAAGAUACUCGGUCGGUGCAAAAGGUGCACUUCCCAAGGUUACCAAACAAACGUGCAUCACGUAGAGCAAUAAAAACAGCACAUAAAUGUUCCAAAUGUUCUUCCAAAGAUCUGCUAUAAAUCAGUAUAUCAUCAAAAUAGACUACCACAAAUCGUCCAAUGAAAGCACGUAAAACUUCGUUCAUUAGUCUCAUGAAAGUACUAGGCGCAUUAGUUAACCCAAAAGGCAUGACUAACCACUCAUAUAAUCCAAACUUAGUUUUAAAUGCUGUUUUCCCUUCAUCCCCCAAUUUCAUACGAAUUUGAUGGUAUCCACUAUGCAAAUCAACUUUGGAGAAUAUUGUAGAGCCACUCAAUUCAUCAAGCAUAUCAUCUAGCCUAGGAAUAGGAUGGCGAUAACGAAUAGUAAUAUUAUUAAUGCCUCUACAAUCAACACACAUACGCGAUGUACCAUCCUUUUUCGGCACUAGAAUAAUAGGAACAGCACAAGGACUAAGGGAUUCGCGUAUAUAACCUUUGUCGAGAAGCUCUUGUACUUGACGCAUAAUCUCCUUCGUCUCCUCUGGAUUGGUACGGUAUGGCGCACGGUUUGGCAGUGAAGCACCGGGAAUUAAGUCGAUCUGAUGCACAAUCCCUCGAAUAGGUGGUAAUCCCGGUGGCACGUCUUGUGGAAAGACGUCAGCGAACUCCUGUAAAAUGUUAGUGAUAGCAGGAGGCAAAGAGGAAGGCACGUCCUCGAAUGAAAAUAAUGCCUCUUUGCACACAAAAGCAUAGCAAACAGAUUUGCUGAAAUCUAGCUCAUCAAUAUCAGAUUUGGUGGCAAAUAAACAUGCACUUUUCAAUUUAAUUUCAGAAGCAACACUAGAUGGUUUAUUAUUAGGCUUCAUUUGUUGCUCAAAUUCUUUUGCCACAAUCUGAUUUUCACUCUUAGUCUUCUCUUGUUUUGCUUUAUUAGCUCUAUUAAUAUCAUCUUUCAAAAUAGAAUCAGGAGUCAUAGGAAGCAAAGUAAUAUUUUUAUCCUUAUGAACAAGAGUAUACUAAUUGUUUCUACCAUGGUGUACAGAAUUUUUAUCAAAUUGCCAUGGUCUACCAAGUAAUAAGGAACAUGCUUGCAUAGGUACCACAUCACAAUCAACAUAAUCAACAUAUGUAGAUAUACUAAAAUGCACACGAACAGUACGUGUUACCUUAACCUUGUCGCUGUUGUUGAACCAUUGGAUGUAGUAAGGAUGUGGAUGUGGUCUUGUGGUGAGAGAAAGCUUCUCCACCAUCUCCAUGCUAGCCAAGUUGUUGCAGCUCCCUCCAUCUAUGAUGACGCGCACAGAACGUUCUUUCACAACUCCCUUGGUAUGGAACAAAUUGUGCCUCUGAUUUUGCUCAGCUUGUGUGACCUGCACACUCAAAACACGUUGAGCAACUAAACAUUCAUACCUGUCAACGUCUUCAGGAGCCAUGUAUUGCGUCUCAUGAUCAGAAUCAUCUCCACCAUGUUCUUCACGUGUAAUAAGAGCCAAAGUCUCCUCAUCAUAGUCACUAGCAGACUCAUAUCCACCAUCCGCGGUAGCAAUCAUCACACGCGGAGUUUUGCAUUCUCUCGCAUAAUGACCUCCUCCCUUACAACGACGAAAAAUAAUAUCACUUGUGUGCCCUGUUGAUGCUAUGGAAGAAGAAGAACACUGUGUAGGCCCCGCAGGUGCGCUCUUGGCAGAUAAUGGUGGUUGUGCAUGUUUUCUUGUAUCACGGCAGGAGGUGGCACCUGAUGGAGGUGCUGGUGCAGUUGAAGUAGAAGAUGCACGUGGUGUCCAUGAUGAAGGUCGGCCUGCAGAAAAGUUAGUUCGCCCCAAUGCUUGUCGAUCCUGCACUUCACGUUCAGCUUUACAAGCAAGAUGGAAUAAACGAGUGAUAUUAGUAUACUCCUUAUAGUCUAGAAUGGUCUGAAUCUCUCUAUUUAAUCCACCCAGAAAACGUGCAAGCAUAGCUUCAUUCUCCUCAACAAUACCACAUCUAAUCAUGCCAGUUUGUAAUUCCUGAUAAUAUUCUUCUACAGAAUUUUUCCCUUGUCUUAAACGCUGCAAUUUUUGAAGCAAUUUCGGUUGAUAAUAAGGUGGAACCCAACGCGUACGCAUAGCAGUUUUCAAAGCAGCCCAAGUAGUUGGAAUAGGAUAUAAUCUACAAUGUUCAGACCACCAUACACAUGCAAAACUAGUGAAAGCACAAACAGCAGCAGCAACUCGUCUCUCCUCAGGAUAUUGUAAACAUGUAAAUCGUUGUUCAGUUUCUAACUCCAAAGUAAGAUAUAUAUCAGGAACAUAUCUACCCUCAAAUGGUGGAAUAUUCAAUUUCAGUUUAGGAAUAUGGACAUCAUCUCGUACCUGAGGUGGUGGUGCAGGCCUACCAUUACGAAUAUAUACCUGAGGUCGACCUGCUGGUGGUGGUGCAGGUGGCUGCACGUAGUGCUGAUUUUGAUCACCUCAUCUUCAUAAUCUCCCACAUAAUCAUCCUCCUCCGCAUCAGCAGCAGGAGCCACAGAAGUAUCAACAGCAGCACCAACAGUUUGGCCAAACGCAAGAGGAACACGGCUCGCUCGGUGAAGGUCUGUUUCGCGACGUGGAGGUAGUCGUUGUUGUUGUUGUUGUUGGAGAGAUGCGUUAGGUGCAGCGGGUGGUGGUGGUGGAAGACGCGCGAGCAAUUCAUUAAACUUGUUAUCGAGCUUUGUUUCGAACGUCUUCUCCAUGCCAUCUAUCUUCUCCAUGGCCUCUUCAAAUCUGUUUAGCACAUCUUGCACCUAUCCACUCAUCAUUUGCUGAAAUUUAUCAUGCAAAUCCUUGUUCGUCAUGUUCUCCCAGUCAGUCUCGUCGGCUUGUGAUCCUGGCAUGGUUAGCAGCAAUAGAAACACACAAGAAUAUGAUCCUACAGACUACUAACAAGAGGUGGUGGUGGGUGUCACAAAUCCGUCAAGCAAAUCUCAAAUUCUUACCAGUUCUUACCCAGCAGCAGGCGGUGAUCGGCAACCGUUGUAGUCAAAAACUCUCAAAGCUUGGAUAGAGCGAUUACCAGGGAGAGUCAAACGCACGACGUAGAUGUAUGUGGAGCUGGGAAGGCUUAUAAUAUGGUAGCAAAAAGGGUCAGCAAUAAUCAAUUCAGAGAUGCAAAGUUGAAUAAACGCUCAACGACGGUACUGUGCUGGUCCUAGGCUAGACCGUGCUAGAGACGCGAGCCUAGAACACUAACAAAAUCACGGCGCUGCACGUAAACAAGGGAAAAGCACACUCUGGAAUAUAUUUUUUUUCGCUCUUUUUUUUGUGCUGUUUUUUUUUUGCGCUGCUAUUUUUUUUGGCGAAAAAUCACUAUAAUGGCGAGUGUCUCAAAACUCUUCCCAGGUCAAACUGACAGGAUGGGCACGAAAUUUUUUCGACCAAUUUUUUUUUUUCGACUGCCUCGACCCAAAAACUGGAAACGGGUCAAAAAAAACUUUCUAUAACGGCGACUGUCUCAAUACGCUUAGAAACACCUAAAAUUAGGAUAGCCAGAAAAUUUUUUGUCAAGUGCGUUUUCCGAAAAUUUUGGGCCUAAACGGAGCGUGGUUUCCGGACUCUUUUUUUUUCUUUUUUUUUGCCGAAACCUACUCCGACAAGGAAACACGAAUCGGAAACUAGAUGGAUCUCGAAAACAAACCUAAUAUGACAAGAACUCGGAUUGGAGGUGGAUAUAUGGUGGUAGAUGGCAGCGGUGGUGGUAUAUGACAGCGGUGGUGGUAUAUGGAUACGGAUUCGAAGCGGUGGCGGAUAAGCGGUGGUGGUAGAUGGCAGGGGCGAUGAUGAUGGUGCGGCGGCGGCGUGACAACUUAUGACCAGAACUCGAAACUCUAAAAGACUAGACUCUAAGACCAGCAACUAGACACGACGAUGCAACCGCAAAUUCAACAAAGCAAAACCCUAAAAAGAUUAUGCAAAGGCUCAGAUUGGUUCGGAUAUGAUGAACUAACCCUAAUUUUUUUUUGGCUUUUUCGUGGACUGUAGGUAUGAAAAACAGACUCGAUCUAAACUACAAAAAACUGUAAAAUCUCACCGAGCAACCUGGAAAUCUGAUACCACUUGAUAGAGGCAAAGGUGUCCCGUCUUUCGAUGAGAUGAUGGAUAUCGCUUUGGUGAAAGUCGACUUUGACGAUCCGACUACGAACGUGCGAGGACGUCGCGCCUUAGCAAUCGCUAAACCAACUCCGAGAGCUCGCGCACAGCCCCUGCUGCUAUACAUACUGGACCAACUACUAGAGCUCGCGCACGCCAACUAAAUUACCAAGUACUUUCGUUUCUUGGUAAUGAUUCUAAUGUUCAUGAGAAUAUGAUGCUGCCUAAAUUGGAUACAUUUGUUUUGCUUACAAAUGAAGGGCCUAGCUUGGAGAAGGAUGAACAUUGGAGCAAGAACAAGCAUGGAGAUGAUGGCAUGCGCAAGGGGAACAAGAACAGAGUUACAAGUGAUGAUUUCAGGUCUUUGAAGCCUCCAUAACGAGUGCAUGAAGCCUUGGACGAAAUAUACAAGAUGUCACUUCAUAAAUUUCGUCCAGAGGCUAUUAUAGGUGUUGCGUCAUCUUUUUAUUGGGCCAGGCCCAUGUAAUUUCGAAAUACAUAAGUAUAGGCUAUUUUUAGAGUCCAUAUGUGUGGGGAGACAAGAGAUAGGGUUGAUUUCGGACCCCUCCACCAAGGGCCACGAAAUUCCCCCUCUCUUCCUCCAUAUAUACAGCCCUUAGGGCACCGUUUAGACUUUGGGUUUUGUUUAGAUUAAAAGUUCGCCAUAGCUGCAACUUCGCGUACUUCGUUUGUGUUCAACGACCAGACAAAGGCGUCACAGAACCCCACCUUGAUCAAUAAAGCUUUCAUCUUAUAUUCGCAAUAUCCAGAUUGCAAUCUUAGUUUCUUGCUUGUUCUUCGUUUGCUCGCAGGAAACAGACCCUCGUGGUCAGGUUGAUCGUGCUCCGGCGUGGUCAAUAACCUCUCGGAGUUGGUUUGGCGAUUGCUAAGGCGCGACGUCCUCGCACGUUCGUAGUCGGAUCGUCAAAGUCGACUUCCACCAAAGCGAUAUCCAUCAUCUCAUCGAAAGAUGGGACACCUUUGCCUCUAUCACCGGGUGAGAGAGAGGGCAACGAGGGAGAGAAGGGAAGGAGAAGGCCGGAAGGGAGGCAGGGGCGCGCAGGGUCCUGCUGCAGGUGGUCGCCGGCUAUGAGGGGGUUGGUCUAGUUAGAAAUUCGAGGAGGAUUUUUGGAUUUGGGGAGGAUCCCAAGGUAUGAGAUGCUGGCGGCGGUGGGAUGGGACAAGGGUCCUAAUUUUUAGGGUUUGUCCAAAUAGACUAUGAUAGAGGCGAGGGUCCCGAUCCUUCGAUGAGAUGAUAACUAUCGAUUUGGUGGAGACGACUUUGACGAUCCGACUACAAACGUGCACGACGUUGCGCCUUAGCAAUCGCUAAACCAACUCCGGGAGGUUAUUGACCACGUUGGAGCACGAUCAACCUGACCAUGAAGGUCUAUUCCUGCAAGCAAUCGAAGAACAAGCAAGAAUAUGAUUAAGCAAUCUGAAUAUUGCGAGUAUGGAUGAAGUAUUGAUAAAAGUGGGGUUUCAUAAGUGGUCUUGGUCUGGUCGUUGGACACAAACGAAGUACACGAAGUUGCAGCGAUGGCUGACUUUUAACUAAAUAAAACCCAAGUCUAAACGAAGCCUUAAGGGCUAUAUAUAUAGGGAAAAGAGAGGGGAUUUUGUCCACCCUUGGCAAGGUGGGACUAAAACACCUCCUAAGUCGUUUCCCCUAUAAUAUGGACUCUAAAAAUAGAUUACAUGGGCCUGGCCUAAAAUAAGGUGGCGCGACACCGAUAAUAAGCUAUGGAGGAAAUUUAUGAAAGGCCAUCUUGUAUAUUUCGUCCAUCUUCUUGUAUGUCAUCAUGGUGGCUUCAAAGUCCAGAAAUCUCCACUUGAACCUCCGUUCUUGUUCUCUUUGCACGCACCUUCAUCUCCGUGCUUGAUCAUGCUCCAAUGUUCAUCCUCAUUGUCCGUGUUAGGCCCUUCAAUUGCAAGCAACACAAAUGUAUCUAAGUUAGGCAGCAUCAUAUUCUCAUGAACACUAGAAACAUUACCAAGAAACGAAAGUACCUGAUAAUUUAAUUGGCGUAUCUGAGCUCUAGCAACUGUUCCAAGAGGUAAAACAACUGGGGAUAUGGGUGUAACUGUGGUAGCCAUGUCCUCAUCAUCCUCCCCUUCUUGAAAAAAAAGCUGUCCUCGGCGUUGCUUAAUCUGAAAUAUGGCUAACAAUAGAGACAAGGUGUACACGUUGUAUAUGUAUAUGUCAUCCAUUUUAACUGAUCUCAGUUGUGGCACAUGUGACACAGUUAUACAAGAGCACCCUUCAAAAGUCGUGAAAAAUAAAGCCAAUAUAUUAUCACAAGAAGUCAAAGGCAUGAAAAUAUUGCAACUCAGUUUGCACAUAUAAGUGAAGCUCUUAUUCAUAAUAAAAGAUUGGCAAUGCUCAUCAUUAAACCAUCCCAACCUUGAUGAACCACCACCAAGAUUAGAGGUCAUAUCAAAAUGAUUAAACAUUGGCACAACUAUUUUCAAACGUAUUUGAUCCAAAUCUGAUCUUUUCACUGAUUCACAUGGUUCUUUUGCAUCAAUUGUUAAUUCAAUGGGUUCACGCAAAAUUGUUUGAUCACAUGGCAAAGUCAAAUCAUGAACAUAUUCCUCUAAAAUAGCUGGUGUGAUCAAAGUAGUGGGUAGCUCAUUGCAUGGUUCAUUUAAAUUGACAAGGCAUUCAUCAUACUCAUGUGGAGGUGGAAGAUCGGUACCUUUGUCAUUACCUCUUAUGAUCAACAAAGAUGAUGUAGGCACUCUAGGUGGCGACAUGUCACAUGGUGGAGGUGAUGUAGUGCUCUCAACAAUGGAUGUUGUUGCCAUAGGAGACGCAGUGGUGGAAGGAACAACCGUCGCAACUCAUGGGAUUUGCACCUUCCGCUUGUUUAUCUUGUGGGCAACACGUCUUGUUAUCUCCUGUUCAGCUUUGCAAGCAAGAUGAAACAAACGGUCCAUAGGAUAACAUGUUUCAUGAAUUAGUAUCUCCUGAAUGUCACGGUUUAAUCCUCCCCAAAAUCUAUCCAUAAAUUAUUCUUCACUUUCUUCUAAAGAGGAAUGCAACAAGGUAGUUUGUAAAUCAUCAUAAUAUUUCAUUACAGUGUCACUACCUUGUUUUAAAUGUUGCAACUUUUUAAUCAUGUCACGAGUAUAAUAAGCGGGGACGAAUGUAUGUCGCAUGGCAAGUUUCAAAUCAUCCCAAGUAAUAGGUAUAUAAUCAGGGUGUAACUGAUGAGGACAUGACUACCUUGGAUAUGACCAAAAAUAUUGCAUAUAUGCAUAUUUGUCAGGUGAUUUCUAGUGCAAACUAUUCAAUAAUCUAUUUAUGUUAUCCAGAACAAAAAUACUUCACACACUUUUGUGUUUUGUGUAAUUGCAGGUGUAUGGGACAUUUGUACAAUCCACAUAUGAAGAUAAGGAAGAAAGAGAUGUUUAUUUUCUCUCCAAAAAGUUCUCUCACGUCACUUUUGGCCCAAGAGAAGAUAGAGUCCAAGUCUCUCACGUUCUGGAUUCAGAUUCGGACUGCACAGACACACCUGACUCAAAACGCACACAAGUUUUUCAUACGGACUCCGAAUUGGGUGAUUCUUUUUUUGUUGGAAACUAGAUUUCGUGCACUUUCCAACCCAAUUGGAAUCCCCUUCAAAUUCGUCCGGAGCGUUGAGUUGUGUACGAAACAAUCUGAUGCUGCAGCAGAAUCCGAGUCAAACUACAAGUCCAAAGGUGUUACAUCACCUCCACUUGGGCCCAUUGGCCUUGUACGACCUAGAUUUAGUUUUAGGCUGCCUUGGGACGUCCUCCCACCUCCUUGGCCGCCACCCCUUGCUCCUAUAUAAGUAGAUCCAUCUAGUAGCUUUUCCUUGGGAUUUGUUUAGUUAAAAGUUAGCCAUUGCAACUUCGUGUAUUUCGUUUGUGUCCAACGACCAGACCAAGACCGCUUCUGGAUCCCCACCAUUAUCAAUACUUCAUAUUUAUUUGCAAUAUUCAGAUUGCUUUAUCAUAUUCUUGCUCGUUCUUCGAUUGCUUGCAGGAAUAGACCUUCGUGGUCAGGCUGACCGUGCUUGCAGCAUCGUCAGUAACCUCAGGAGAUUGGUUUAGCGAUUGCUAAGGCGCAACGUCGUGCACGUUUGUAGUCGGAUCGUCAAAGUCGUCUCCACCAAAUCGAUAGUUAUCAUCUCAUCGAAAGAUCGGGACCCUCGCCUCUAUCAAGUGGUAUCAGUUUUCAGGUUGCUCGGUGAGAAUUUCCAGUUUUCCUAGAUUAGAUUUAUUUUCUUACCUAUUGUCCAAGAAAAAGCCACAAAAAAGAGUUAGAUCUAUUCAUCCUUGGUCCAAGCCAAUCUGAGCCUUUGCAAUUUUCUUUUCAUUGCUUGCAUAGUUGAAUUAUCGGUUGCAUCGUCGUGUCGAGUUGCUGGUCUUAGUGUCUAGUUCGUUUAGAGUUUCGAGUUCUGUUCACAUUAGUCACGCCACCGCUGCAUCAUUAUCUCUUCCGCUGUCCACCACCCAUCCAUCAAUUUCCACCACGUGCUACCCAUCAUUCAUUGUCAUAAUAAUAGUUGAGAUCGUUCACAUCUUCACUUGAUCCAAUCUGCAUCUUAUCUAGUUUGUUUUGGAAAGAGGGAGAAAAAAAGAGAAAAAAAAGGAGAGAAAAAAAAGGAGAAAAAAAAAGUCAGAAAAAAAAAGGAGAGAAAGAAAAAAAAAGUGUGAGGAAAAAAAAGAGAAGAAAAAAAAACAAAAAAAUCGGCACAAACUUUUUUCAGAGGAAAGUUGGAGACAAAGUUGUUGAUAUAUCCUGCUUGGCUGUUGUUUCACCUCAUUAUCUUUACUGCCGCUGUGAUCUUCACUUAUAUCUUGCUGUCCAGAGCUACUUAGUAUCCUUCAUUGAUGCUAGUUGUGCUACGCCGUGACCUCAUUAGUGUUCUAGGCUCGCGUCUCUAGUCCGGUCUAGCCUAGGACCAGCACAGUACCGUCGUUGAGCGUUUAUUCAACAUUGCAUCUUUGAAUUGAUUAUUGCUAAUCUUUUGCUACCAUAUAUAGCCAACCCAGCUCCACAUAUUUCUACACCGUGUAUACGUACGCUCCCCUGGCAAUCGCUUUACUCAAUAUUCGGAGUUACUUGACACCGCUGGUUGCCGAUCACCGCCUGCUGCAUGGUAAGAACUUGUAAGACAUUGAUAUUUGCUUUACUGUGAGCGUUUUACCACCACAUCCUAGUAGUUAUAGGAACAUUAUUUUUGGGUUUUGUUUCUUGUUCUACUAAUCAUGACAGGAUCCAGAAUCAAUUCAUGGGCUUUGUCGAUCGCGGGAGACGUGCCACAACCUUUGCAAAUACCACAACCGUCACGAGAGGUGCACAAACAUCCAAAUGCACAUGAUCAGGUUAAUGUAUCUAUACCACCAUUUAAUGGCCGUUUUAAACCUGCUUUAUAUAUUGAAUGGGAGUUCGACAUAAAAAAUAUAUUUGCUUCCCAUAAUUUCAAUGAACAUAAAAAGGUUAAGGUUGCGGUUGGUUCUUUCACUGGUUAUGCUUUGGUUUGGUGGAGUGAAUAUUGUCGGUUACACCCUGAUUAUAUACCUACUACUUGGGAUGAUUUGAAACUUGCCAUGCGACAUACUUUCGUCCCUGCUUAUUAUACUCGUGACAUGAUUAAGAAGUUGCAACACUUAAAACAAGGUAGUGAAACUGUAACAAAAUAUUAUGAUGAUUUACAAACUACCUUGUUGCAUUCCUCUUUAGAAGAAAGUGAAGAUGAUUUUAUGGAUAGAUUUUGGGGAGGAUUAAACCGUGAUAUUCAAGAGAUACUAAUUCAUGAAGAGUGUUAUCCUAUGGACCAUUUGUUUCAUCUUGCUUGCAAAGCUGAACAGGAAAUAAAACGACGUGUUGGCCACGAGGAGAACAAGCGCACGGUGCACAUUUCAAGAGUUGAUAUGAUUGUUCCUUCAACUACUAGGCAUACUAUGACAACCACAUCCGUUGUUGUCAGGACUACAUCACCUCCACCAUGUGACCCAUCGCCCUCGAGAGUGACUACAUCAUCUGAGUUGAUCAUAAGAGGUAAUGACAAAUGUACUGAUCUUCCAUCUCUACAUGAGAAUGAUGAAUGCCUUGUCAAUUUGAAUGCACCAUCUGAUGAGCUACCCACUACUUUGAUCACACCACCUAUUUUAGAGGACUACGUUCAUAAUUUGACUUUGCCAUGUGAUCAAACAACUGAAAUACCAACAAUUUUGAGUGCACCCAUCGAAUUAACUAUUGAUGCAAAAGAACCAAUGUUUAAUCAUUUUGAUAUGACCUCUAAUCUUGGUGAUGAUUCUGUGUUGAAUGACUUAUUGCAUGUUUGCUUAUUUAAGCAUGUUGCAGCAUGUAAAUUUGAUGCAAGCAAGGUUUAUUCACCAAUGUUGGGAUGGUUUAAUGAUGAACAUUGUCAAUCUUUUGAAAUGAAUAAGAGCUUCACUUAUAUGUGCAAACUGAGUUGCAAUAUUUUCAUGCCUUCUACUUCUUGUGCUAAUCUUUUGGCUUUAGAUUUUAUGAACUAUGCAAGUUACUCAUCUAUUCAUGUGUCAUAUAUGCAAAAAUCAAGGGAAGUAAAAAUGGAUGACAUAUACAUAUACAACAUGUACACCUUGUCUCUUUUGUUAGCCACAUUUCAGAUUAAGCAACGCCGAGGACGGCUUUAUUUUCAAGAAGGGGAGGAUGAUGAGGACAUGACUACCUUGUAUAUGACCAAAAAUAUUGCAUAUAUGCAUAUUUGUCAGGUGAUUUCUAGUGCAAACUAUUCAAUAAUCUAUUUAUGUUAUCCAGAACAAAAAUACUUCACACACUUUUGUGUUUUGUCUAAUUGCAGGUGUAUGGGACAUUUGUACAAUCCACAUAUGAAGAUAAGGAAGAAAGAGAUGUUUAUUUUCUCUCCAAAAAGUUCUCUCACGUCACUUUUGGCCCAAGAGAAGAUAGAGUCCAAGUCUCUCACGUUCUGGAUUCAGAUUCGGACUGCACAGACACACCUGACUCAAAACGCACACAAGUUUUUCAUACGGACUCCGAAUUGGGUGAUUCUUUUUUUGUUGGAAACUAGAUUUCGUGCACUUUCCAACUCAAUUGGAAUCACCUUCAAAUUCGUCCGGAGCGUUGAGUUGUGUACGAAACAAUCUGAUGAUGCAGCAGAAUCCGAGUCAAACUACAAGUCCAAAGGUGUUACAUCACCUCCACUUGGGCCCAUUGGCCUUGUACGACCUAUAUUUAGUUUUAGGCUGCCUUGGGACGUCCUCCCACCUCCUUGGCCGCCACCCCUUGCUCCUAUAUAAGUAGAUCCAUCUAGUAGCUUUUCCUUGGGAUUUGUUUAGUUAAAAGUUAGCCAUUGCAACUUCGUGUACUUCGUUUGUGUCCAACGACCAGACCAAGACCGCUUCUGGAUCCCCACCAUUAUCAAUACUUCAUAUUUAUUUGCAAUAUUCAGAUUGCUUUAUCAUAUUCUUGCUCGUUCUUUGAUUGCUUGCAGGAAUAGACCUUCGUGGUCAGGCUGACCGUGCUUCCAGCAUCGUCAGUAACCUCAGGAGAUUGGUUUAGCGAUUGCUAAGGCGCAACGUCGUGCACGUUUGUAGUCGGAUCGUCAAAGUCGUCUCCACCAAAUCGAUAGUUAUCAUCUCAUCGAAAGAUCGGGACCCUCGCCUCUAUCAGUAACCGACAAUAUUCACUCCACCAAACUAAAGCAUAACCAGUGAAAGAACCAACCGCAACCUUAACUUUUUUAUGUUCAUCAAAAUUAUGGGAAGCAAAUAUAAUAUUUAUGUCGAACUCCCAUUCAAUAUAUAAAGCAGGUCUAAAACGGCCAUUAAAUGAUGGUAUAGAAACAUUAACCUGAUCAUGUGCAUUUGGAUGUUUAUGCACCUCUCGUGAUCGUUGUGGAAUUUGCAUAGGUGGUGGCACGUCUCCCGCGAUCGACAAAGCCCAUGGAUGGACUCUAGAUCCUGUCAUGAUUAGUAGAAACAAGAAACAAAAUCCAAAAAUAAUGUUCCUAUAACUACUAGGAUGUGGUAGUAAAACGCUCACAGGAAAGCAAAUAUCAAUGUCUUACAAUGUCUUACCAUGCAGCAGGCGGUGAUCGGCAACCAGCGGUGUCAAGUAACUCCAAAAGUUGGGUAAAGCGAUUGCUAGGUGAACGUAUGGAUAGACGGUGUAGAAAUAUGUGGAGCUGGGUUGGCUUUAUAUAUGUGGGAAAAAAUGCUACAACCACGUUAAUUAGUGCAAGCUGAAAAUUCUUUCAAAGUGGUCGAGUGCUGAUCCUAGGCUAGACCGUGCUAGAGACGCGAGCCUAAGACACAAAUGAAAUUCACGUGCCCUGGCAACCAAGUACUCAAGUUGCAACAAAAAAAAUAUGAGCAACGUAGCAACAAGCCAAACGAGCAAUACUACAAGUAUGUAUGAUAUCUGCAAAUAUUUGGUAUGCGGCUAAUCUCUCUUUUCUUUUGUUUCUGCCUCAAUGUCUUUCUCCCUCACGUGCAACUUCUUUUUUUUUGCCCGAUAAACAAUUUCCAAGUACUACCGAACAAACGUGAUUGCUCUUCUUUUUUUUCACUAUCCAGUUCCUUUUCUUUUUCUUCCUAUUCUCCGAUUUUCUUUUUGAAUCCUUCCAAAAGAUGAGCACGCAGCACAUUAAUGUCUCCUAUCCCAAAACUUCCAAAGAAAACAUCCACGUUAUCCCCUUCCUUUAUUGGCUGAUCUCUUCUCUUUAUUGGCUGAUCCCUUUUCUCGUUGUGUUGGCCGAUCUGUUUUUUUUUUUGACUUUCCAAUUAGUAGGCACAACUCACGUCCUUCCUUCCUUCCUUCUUUCCCUUUUUUUUAAAGAAAAUUGCCCCAAAAACGGCCACCAACCAAACCGAUUGGCACUUGCCUUUUUUUAAUCUUUUCCUUAUCUCUUUUGGCAACGUCCAAAAAUAAUUCCUCACAAUAAAUGCCGAUUCCAAAACCUGCACCACCACGUUACUUCUCUCUCUCUCUCUCCUGCUGUUUUUUUCUAUCUUCCAAACUCUGACUCUUUUUUUUCGUUGGAUUAGUCAAUAAAAAAAUCCACCAACGUGAAUUGCUAGGACUCCAAACCGAAUAGGUUUUAUUAUUUGUUCUUUCUUUUCAAGAAACGUCCAAAAUAUGGAAACCUCGAACCGAAUCUGUACUCUUUAAUUCCUCCCCUCCUGUUUCUUUUUGGCUGAUCAAAAUUUGUGGGACUUGUUUCCACGCAUAUCUAACAACCAAAGUAAACUUUCUCUAUGUUCCUUUUAUUCCACCAACCUCUCUUUUCUCUCUCUCUCUCUCUCUCUCUCUCUCUCUCUCUCUCUCUCUCUCUUUGCAGCGAUCUCCACGGAUCCAAACUAGUACUAUGAUUCGGUCAGCCAAAAGAAGGAUUCAAUCAGAUCUGCACUUUCCUUUCUUUGCCUUCAAUGAUUAGGAAACUUUCCAAGAACUACGCUGCUAUUUUUAUUUCUCAAAUCUGCACAAGAUUACCACGUGAUGCCUUUACUUGGAAACGAAAUCUUUUUUUUAACUCCAACAUUGGUUGCUCGUUAUCUUCUUUGAUUUUUCUUCUCCUUCUCACUCUCCAACAAAAAUCCAAACGUCCAAUACUUGGAAACAGACCAGCACGUCCUCCUUUGCUUUCUUUCUCCUUAUUUACCACAACAAACAGGGAUUUAUGGACACAGAUCGGCGCUUGCCUUUUCUUUCACGGAUGAUCCCUUCUUUCCUUAAAACCAGCCACGUACUGUUUCCAAACGAACUUGCCUUUUUUUGGGCGACCAAAUCUUGCCACGAAUCUGCUAGUAGCUCGGUUUCCAACUAAAGCAAUCCCAACGAGGCAACAACACGAAUUUCCUUCCAACCUAGAAAACAGAUCAACGCUGGACUCUCCUUUCCUUUUUUUAGCGAUUCUUUUCGUUUGCUUAACAAACCAGGAAACUUUCCAAGUAAUACCACGUCCUCCUUUUCUUCUUUUAUUUUCGCCCUUUGUAUUUCCUGGCCGAACCAAUCUCUUUCCUUCUUCUCUCACCUCAAAACGCUCACUUUCCUUAUAUACGUUUUCUUCAUUCCUGUUUUUUUCUUUCCUCCAAUUUUUUUUCUGAUUUUUGUAACUCCACGAUCACAAGGACUUUUCCCUUCGAUCCAAACCUUCUGAAUGUUUUUUUUGCAAAGGAUGGAAAGAACAAUGGCGGCUGCAAGACAAUAACAGAUGAUAGCGACAACAAUAAAAGUGUGUGGACGGUCGUGAUGGCGACGAGCAAAAGAUUCUGUAGUGGAAGAUGACAACAAGGUGAAUGAUGGUGUUUGCGGAAGCGACGUGAACAAAACGUGCUCAGAACUCGAAACUCUAAAAUACUAGACCUAAACCAGCAACUCGACACACGAUGCAACCGAAAAUUCAACAAUGCAAAAACUAAGUGAUAAUAGCAAAAGGCUCAGACUGUCUGGGACACGGAUGAACUAAUCUAACUCUUUUUUGGUGGCUUUUUCUUGGACUCUAGGUACGAAGAACAUAUGCAAUCUAGACUAUGAAAAACUGGAAAUCUCACCGAGCAACCUGAAAACUGAUACCACUUGAUAGACGCGAGGGUCCCGAUCCUUCGAUGAGAUGAUAACUAUCGAUUUGGUGGAGACGACUUUGACGAUCCGACUACAAACGUGCACGACGUUGCGCCUUAGCAAUCGCUAAACCAACUCCGGGAGGUUAUUGACCACGUUGGAGCACGAUCAACCUGACCAUGAAGGUCUAUUCCUGCAAGCAAUCGAAGAACAAGCAAGAAUAUGAUUAAGCAAUCUGAAUAUUGCGAGUAUGGAUGAAGUAUUGAUAAAAGUGGGGUUUCAUAAGCGGUCUUGGUCUGGUCGUUGGACACAAACGAAGUACACGAAGUUGCAGCGAUGGCUGACUUUUAACUAAAUAAAACCCAAGUCUAAACGAAGCCUUAAGGGCUAUAUAUAUAGGGAAAAGAGAGGGGAUUUUGUCCACCCUUGGCAAGGUGGGACUAAAACACCUCCUAAGUCGUUUCCCCUAUAAUAUGGACUCUAAAAAUAGAUUACAUGGGCCUGGCCUAAAAUAAGGUGGCGCGACACCAAUAAUAAGCUAUGGAGGAAAUUUAUGAAAGGCCAUCUUGUAUAUUUCGUCCAUCUUCUUGUAUGUCAUCAUGGUGGCUUCAAAGUCCGGAAAUCUCCACUUGAACCUCCAUUCUUGUUCUCUUUGCACGCACCUUCAUCUCCGUGCUUGACCAUGCUCCAAUGUUCAUCCUUCUUGUUCGUGCUAGGCCCUUCAAUUGCAAGCAACACAAAUGUAUCUAAGUUAGGCAGCAUCAUAUUCUCAUGAACACUAGAAACAUUACCAAGAAACGAAAGUACCUGAUAAUUUAAUUGGCGUAUCUGAGCUCUAGCAACUGUUCCAAGAGGUAAAACAACAGGGGAUAUGGGUGUAACUGUGGUAGCCAUGUCCUCAUCAGACUAGGAGUGGAGUAUAUAUAUACCUCACAGACUAGGUUAGGGGCUACCUCGUCCCUACGAUCGCAAUCGGACGAUCGCGGAUAAAAUAGCUAGGGAGUCCAAAAAGGAAAACAGUGACAUUUUGUAGAUGUUUGGGGAUGAUCCAGACUCAACGGUGACGACUGCUCGGGUCGGGUCCGGGACAACUUCCGGACGUGCGCGAGGGGUUCGAUGCACUGUGCAGAGAGUGAUGAGGACAUGACUACCUUGGAUAUGACCAAAAAUAUUGCAUAUAUGCAUAUUUGUCAGGUGAUUUCUAGUGCAAACUAUUUAAUAAUCUAUUUAUGUUAUCCAGAACAAAAAUACUUCACACACUUUUGUGUUUUGUCUAAUUGCAGGUGUAUGAGACAUUUGUACAAUCCACAUAUGAAGAUAAGGAAGAAAGAGAUGUUUAUUUGCUGUCCAAAAAGUUCUCUCACGUCACUUUUGGCCCAAGAGAAGAUAGAGUCCAAGUCUCUCACGUUCUGGAUUCAGAUUUGGACUGCACAGACACACCUGACUCAAAACGCACACAAGUUUUUCAUACGGACUCCGAAUUGGGUGAUUCUUUUUUUGUUGGAAACUAGAUUUAGUGCACUUUCCAACCCAAUUGGAAUCACCUUCAAAUUCGUCCGGAGCGUUGAGUUGUGGACGAAACAAUCUGAUACUGCAGCAGAAUCCGAGUCAAACUACAAGUCCAAAGGUGUUACAUCACCUCCACUUGGGCCCAUUGGCCUUGUACGACCUAGAUUUAGUUUUAGGCUGCCUUGGGACGUCCUCCCACCUCCUUGGCCGCCACCCCUUGCUCCUAUAUAAGUAGAUCCAUCUAGUAGCUUUUCCUUGGGAUUUGUUUAGUUAAAAGUUAGCCAUUGCAACUUCGUGUACUUUGUUUGUGUCCAACGACCAGACCAAGACCGCUUACGGAUACCCACCUUUAUCAAUACUUCAUAUAUACUCGCAAUAUUCAGAUUGCUUUUAUCAUAUUCUUGCUUGUUCUUCGAUUGCUUGCAGGAAUAGACCUUCGUGGUCAGGUUGAUUGUGCUUCGGCGUGGUCAAUAACCUCUCGGAGUUGGUUUAGCGAUUGUUAAGGCACAACGUCGUGCACGUUUGUAGUCGGAUCGUCAAAGUCGUCUCCACCAAAUCGAUAGUUAUCAUCUCAACGAAAGAUCGGGACACCCCGCUUCUAUCAAGUGGUAUCAGUUUUCAGGUUGCUCGGUGAGAAUUUCCAGUUUUCCUAGAUUAGAUUUAUUUUCUUACCUAUUGUCCAAGAAAAAGCCACAAAAAAGAGUUAGAUCUAUUCAUCCUUGGUCCAAGCCAGUCUGAGCCUUUGCAAUUUUCUUUUCAUUGCUUGCAUAGUUGAAUUAUCGGUUGCAUCGUCGUGUCGAGUUGCUGGUCUUAGUGUCUAGGUCGUUUAGAGUUUCGAGUUCUGUUCACAUUUGUCACGCCACCGCUGCAUCGUUAUCCCUUCCGCUGUCCACCAUCCAUCCAUCAGUUUCCACCACGUGCUACCCACCGUUCAUUGUCAUAAUCAUAGUUGAGAUCAUUCACAUCUUCGCUUGAUCCAAUCUGCAUCUUAUCUAGUUUGUUUGGAACGAGAGAGAGAGAAAAAAGAAGGAGAAAAAGAAAGACGGAGAAAAAAAAGAGAGAAAAAAAAGAGAGAAAAAAAAGUAAAAAAAAGGUCAGAGAGAGAAGAAAAAGAAAAAAAAAGUGAGAAAAAAAGAGGGAAGAAAAAAAAAUUGGAUAUAUCUAGAAUCAAUCUCGUACCUGAAUUCGGAUUGGAAUCUGUUUUGCGCACUGUUCAGUAAAACAGGUGUAUCUUCCUCAUACGAAGUCCGUUUUGGUUCUGUGAGUACUCAAAUUGAAGCUAGCGUGAUGAGGACAUGACUACCUUGGAUAUGACCAAAAAUAUUGCAUAUAUGCAUAUUUGUCAGGUGAUUUCUAGUGCAAACUAUUCAAUAAUCUAUUUAUGUUAUCCAGAACAAAAAUACUUCACACACUUUUGUGUUUUGUCUAAUUGCAGGUGUAUGGGACAUUUGUACAAUCCACAUAUGAAGAUAAGGAAGAAAGAGAUGUUUAUUUGCUGUCCAAAAAGUUCUCUCACGUCACUUUUGGCCCAAGAGAAGAUAGAGUCCAAGUCUCUCACGUUCUGGAUUCAGAUUCGGACUGCACAGACAUACCUGACUCAAAACACACACAAGUUUUUCAUACGGACUCCGAAUUGGGUGAUUCUUUUUUUAUUGGAAACUAGAUUUCGUGCACUUUUCAACCCAAUUGGAAUCACCUUCAAAUUCGUCCGGCGCGUUGAGUUGUGGACGAAACAAUCUGAUGCUGCAGCAGAAUCCGAGUCAAACUACAAGUCCAAAGGUGUUACAUCACCUCCACUUGGGCCCAUUGGCCUUGUACGACCUAGAUUUAGUUUUAGGCUGCCUUGGGACGUCCUCCCACCUCCUUGGCCGCCACCCCUUGAUCCUAUAUAAGUAGAUCCAUCUAGUAGCUUUUCCUGGGGAUUUGUUUAGUUAAAAGUUAGCCAGUGCAACUUCGUGUACUUCGUUUGUGUCCAACGACCAGACCAAGACCGCUUACGGAUCCCCACCAUUAUCAAUACUUCAUAUAUAUUCGCAAUAUUCAGAUUGCUUUAUCAUAUUCUUGCUCGUUCUUCGAUUGCUUGCAGGAAUAGACCUUCGUGGUCAGGUUGAUCAUGCUCCAGCGUGGUCAAUAACCUCUCGGAGUUGGUUUAGCGAUUGCUAAGGCGCAACGUCGUGCACGUUUGUAGUCGGAUCGUCAAAGUCGUCUCCACCAAAUCGGUAGUAUCAUCUCAUCGAAAGAUCGGGACACCUCGCCUCUAUCAAGUGGUAUCAGUUUUCAGGUUGCUCGGUGAGAUUUUACAGUUUUUCAUAGUUUAGAUCGCAUCUGUCAUUCAUACCUACAGUCCAUGAAAAAGCCACAAAAAAAGUUAGAUCUGUUCAUCCUUUAUCCAAGCCAGUCUGAGCCUUUGCAAUUUUCUAUUCAUUGCUUGCAUAGUUGAAUUAUCGGUUGCAUCGUCGUGUCAGUUGCUGGUCUUAGUGUCUAGUUCCUUUAGAGUUUCGAGUUCUGUUCACAUUAGUCACGCCGCCGCUGCAUCAUUAUCCGUUCCGCUGUCCACUAUCCCAUCUAUUAAUUUCCACCACGUGCUAUGCACUGUUCAUUGUCAUAAUCAUAGUUGAGGUCAUUCACAUCUUCGCCUGCUCCAAUCUGCAUCUUAUCUAGUUUGUCUUGGAAAGAGGGAGAAAAAAAAAAGAUAGAGAAAAAAAAGAGAAAAAAAGGAAAGAAAAAGAGAGAAAAAGAAAAAAAAAGCGUGAGAAAAAAAAAGAGAAGAAAAAAAAUCGGAUCUAUCUAGAAUCAAUCUCGUACCUGAAUUCGGAUUGGAAUCUGUUUUGCGCACUGUUCAGUAAAACAGGUGUAUCUUCCUCAUACGAAGUCCGUUUUGGCUCCGUGAGUACUCAAAUUGAAGCUAGCGACGAGCCGUAUCUAAAUAGUUGCAGAAGCUAGUUCAAUAUUUGACACCUCAAAAUCGGCUUCUAAAUAGGUCUUUUUGCCCUCUGAAGUUCGUGAACACAGCUUGUUCCAAUUUUUCAGGCCAGUUUUAGAAUUCUUUGACUCCUCAUAUCAACUCGGAAUUGAGUGAUUCUUUUUGCAUUUGAAAGCUUGAGUUAGUAGCAUUCUUUGAAAGAAUUUAUCAGAAAAUUGGCUCAAACUUUUCAAGAGGAAAGUUGGAGAGAGUUGUUGUAUAUCCUGUUUGGCAGUUGUUUUUCAUCAUUAUCUUUACUGCCGUUGUGAUCUUCACUUAUAUCUUGCUGUCCAGAGCUACUUAGUAUCCUUCAUUGAUGCUAGUUGUGCUACGCCGUCACCUCAUUAGUGUUCUAGGCUCGCGUCUCUAGUCCGGUCUAGCCUAGGACCAGCACAGUACCGUCGUUGAGCGUUUAUUCAACAUUGCAUCUUUGAAUUGAUUAUUGCUAAUCUUUUGCUACCAUAUAUAGCCAACCCAGCUCCACAUAUUUCUACACCGUGUAUACGUACGCUCCCCUGGCAAUCGCUUUACUCAAUAUUCGGAGUUACUUGACACCGCUGGUUGCCGAUCACCGUCUGCUGCAUGGUAAGAACUUGUAAGACAUUGAUAUUUUCUUUACUGUGAGCGUUUUACCACCACAUCCUAGUAGUUAUAGGAACAUUAUUUUUUGGGUUUUGUUUCUUGUUCUACUAAUCAUGACAGGAUCCAGAGUCAAUUCAUGGGCUUUGUCGAUCGCGGGAGACGUGCCACCACCUUUGCAAAUACCACAACUGUCACGAGAGGUGCACAAACAUCCAAAUGCACAUGAUCAGGUUAAUGUAUCUAUACCACCAUUUAAUGGCCGUUUUAAACCUGCUUUAUAUAUUGAAUGGGAGUUCAACAUAAAAAAUAUAUUUGCUUCCCAUGAUUUCAAUGAACAUAAAAAGGUUAAGGUUGCGGUUGGUUCUUUCACUGGUUAUGCUUUGGUUUGGUGGAGUGAAUAUUGUCGGUUACACCCUGAUUAUAUACCUACUACUUGGGAUGAUUUGAAACUUGCCAUGCGACAUACUUUCGUCCCUGCUUAUUAUACUCGUGACAUGAUUAAGAAGUUGCAACACUUAAAACAAGGUAGUGAAACUGUAACAAAAUAUUAUGAUGAUUUACAAACUACCUUGUUGCAUUCCUCUUUAGAAGAAAGUGAAGAUGAUUUUAUGGAUAGAUUUUGGGGAGGAUUAAACCGUGAUAUUCAAGAGAUACUAAUUCAUGAAGAGUGUUAUCCUAUGGACCAUUUGUUUCAUCUUGCUUGCAAAGCUGAACAGGAAAUAAAACGACGUGUUGGCCACGAGGAGAACAAGCGCACGAUGCACAUUCCAAGAGUUGAUAUGAUUGUUCCUUCAACUACUAGGCAUACUAUGACAACCACAUCCAUUGUUGUCAGGACUACAUCACCUCCACCAUGUGACACAUCGCCCCCGAGAGUGGCUACAUCAUCUGAGUUGAUCGUAAGAGGUAAUGAUAAAGGUACUGAUCUUCCAUCUCUACAUGAGAAUGAUGAAUGCCUUGUCAAUUUGAAUGCACCAUCUGAUGAGCUACCCACUACUUUGAUCACAACACCUAUUUUAGAGGACUACGUUGAUAAUUUGACUUUGCCAUGUGAUCAAACAACUGAAAUACCAACAAUUUUGAGUGCACCCAUUGAAUUAACUAUUGAUGCAAAAGAACCAAUGUUUAAUCAUUUUGAUAUGACCUCUAAUCUUGGUGAUGAUUCUGUGUUGAAUGACUUAUUGCAUGUUUGCUUAUUUAAGCAUGUUGUAGCAUGUAAAUUUGAUGCAAGUAAGGUUUAUUCACCAAUGUUGGGAUGGUUUAACGAUGAACAUUGUCAAUCUUUUGAAAUGAAUAAGAGCUUCACUUAUAUGUGCAAACUGAGUUGCAAUAUUUUCAUGCCUUCUACUUCUUGUGCUAAUUUUUUGGCUUUAGAUUUUAUGAACUAUGCAAGUUACUCAUCUAUUCAUGUGUCAUAUAUGCAAAAAUCAAGGGAAGUAAAAAUGGAUGACAUAUACAUAUACAAUAUAUACACCUUGUCUCUUUUGUUAGCCACAUUUCAGAUUAAGCAACGCCGAGGACGGCUUUAUUUUCAAGAAGGGGAGGAUGAUGAGGACAUGACUACCUUGUAUAUGACCAAAAAUAUUGCAUAUAUGCAUAUUUGUCAGGUGAUUUCUAGUGCAAACUAUUUAAUAAUCUAUUUAUGUUAUCCAGAACAAAAAUACUUCACACACUUUUGUGUUUUGUCUAAUUGCAGGUGUAUGGGACAUUUGUACAAUCCACAUAUGAAGAUAAGGAAGAAAGAGAUGUUUAUUUGCUGUCCAAAAAGUUCUCUCACGUCACUUUUGGCCCAAGAGAAGAUAGAGUCCAAGUCUCUCACGUUCUGGAUUCAGAUUUGGACUGCACAGACACACCUGACUCAAAACGCACACAAGUUUUUCAUACGGACUCCGAAUUGGGUGAUUCUUUUUUUGUUGGAAACUAGAUUUAGUGCACUUUCCAACCCAAUUGGAAUCACCUUCAAAUUCGUCCGGAGCGUUGAGUUGUGGACGAAACAAUCUGAUACUGCAGCAGAAUCCGAGUCAAACUACAAGUCCAAAGGUGUUACAUCACCUCCACUUGGGCCCAUUGGCCUUGUACGACCUAGAUUUAGUUUUAGGCUGCCUUGGGACGUCCUCCCACCUCCUUGGCCGCCACCCCUUGCUCCUAUAUAAGUAGAUCCAUCUAGUAGCUUUUCCUUGGGAUUUGUUUAGUUAAAAGUUAGCCAUUGCAACUUCGUGUACUUUGUUUGUGUCCAACGACCAGACCAAGACCGUUUACGGAUCCCCACCUUUAUCAAUACUUCAUCUAUAUUCGCAAUAUUCAGAUUGCUUUAUCAUAUUCUUGCUUGUUCUUCGAUUGCUUGCAGGAAUAGACCUUCGUGGUCAGGUUGAUUGUGCUCUGGCGUGGUCAAUAACCUCUCGGAGUUGGUUUAGCGAUUGCUAAGGCGCAACGUCGUGCACGUUUGUAGUCGAAUCGUCAAAGUCGUCUCCACCAAAUCGAUAGUUAUCAUCUCAUCGAAAGAUCGGGACACCCCUCCUCUAUCAAGUGGUAUCAGUUUUCAGGUUGCUCGGUGAGAAUUUCCAGUUUUCCUAGAUUAGAUUUACUUUCUUACCUAUUGUCCAAGAAAAAGCCACAAAAAAGAGUUAGAUCUAUUCAUCCUUGGUCCAAGCCAGUCUGAGCCUUUGCAAUUUUCUUUUCAUUGAUUGCAUAGUUGAAUUAUCGAUUGCAUCACCGUGUCGAGUUGCUGGUCUUAGUGUCUAGUUCGUUUAGAGUUUCGAGUUCUGUUCACAUUAGUCACGCCACCGCUGCAUCAUUAUCUCUUCCGCUGUCCACCACCCAUCCAUCAAUUUCCACCACGUGCUACCCACCAUUCAUUGUCAUAAUAAUAGUUGAGAUCGUUCACAUCUUCACUUGAUCCAAUCUGCAUCUUAUCUAGUUUGUUUUGGAAAGAGGGAGAAAAAAAGAGAGAAAAAAAACGAGAGAAAAAAAAAGGAAAAAAAAGUCAGAGAAAAAAAAGGAGAGAAAGAAAAAAAAGUGUGAGGAAAAAAAAGAGAGAAGAAAAAAAAAACAAAAAAAUUGACACAAACUUUUUCAGAGGAAAGUUGGAGACAAAGUUGUUGAUAUAUCCUGCUUGGCUGUUGUUUCACCUCAUUAUCUUCACUGCUGUUGUGAUCUUCACUUAUAUCUUGCUGUCAAUAGCUACUUAGUAUCCUUCAUUGAUGCUAGUUGUGCUACGCCGUGACCUCAUUAGUGUUCUAGGCUCGCGUCUCUAGUCCGGUCUAGCCUAGGACCAGCACAGUACCGUCGUUGAGCGUUUAUUCAACGUUGCAUCUUUGAAUUGAUUAUUGCUAAUCUUUUGCUACCAUAUAUAGCCAACCCAGCUCCACAUAUUUCUACACCGUGUAUACGUACGCUCCCCUGGCAAUCGCUUUACUCAAUAUUCAGAGUUACUUGACACCGCUGGUUGCCGAUCACCGCCUGCUGCAUGGUAAGAACUUGUAAGACAUUGAUAUUUGCUUUACUGUGAGCGUUUUACCACCACAUCCUAGUAGUUAUAGGAACAUUAUUUUUGGGUUUUGUUUCUUGUUCUACUAAUCAUGACAGGAUCCAGAGUCAAUUCAUGGGCUUUGUCGAUCGCGGGAGACGUGCCACCACCUUUGCAAAUACCACAACCGUCACGAGAGGUGCACAAACAUCCAAAUGCACAUGAUCAGGUUAAUGUAUCUAUACCAACAUUUAAUGGCCGUUUUAAACCUGCUUUAUAUAUUGAAUGGGAGUUCGACAUAAAAAAUAUAUUUGCUUCCCAUAAUUUCGAUGAACAUAAAAAGGUUAAGGUUGCGGUUGGUUCUUUCACUGGUUAUGCUUUGGUUUGGUGGAGUGAAUAUUGUCGGUUACACCCUGAUUAUAUACCUACUACUUGGGAUGAUUUGAAACUUGCCAUGCGACAUACUUUCGUCCCUGCUUAUUAUACUCGUGACAUGAUUAAGAAGUUGCAACACUUAAAACAAGGUAGUGAAACUGUAACAAAAUAUUAUGAUGAUUUACAAACUACCUUGUUGCAUUCCUCUUUAGAAGAAAGUGAAAAUGAUUUUAUGGAUAGAUUUUGGGGAGGAUUAAACCGUGAUAUUCAAGAGAUACUAAUUCAUGAAGAGUGUUAUUCUAUGGACCAUUUGUUUCAUCUUGCUUGCAAAGCUGAACAGGAAAUAAAACGACGUGUUGGCCACGAGGAGAACAAGCGCACGGUGCACAUUCCAAGAGUUGAUAUGAUUGUUCCUUCAACUACUAGGCAUACUAUGACAACCACAUCCGUUGUUGUCAGGACUACAUCACCUCCACCAUGUGACACAUCGCCCCCGAGAGUGGCUACAUCAUCUGAGUUGAUCAUAAGAGGUAAUGACAAAGGUACUGAUCUUCCAUCUCUACAUGAGAAUGAUGAAUGCCUUGUCAAUUUGAAUGCACCAUCUGAUGAGCUACCCACUACUUUGAUCACACCACCUAUUUUAGAAGACUACGUUGAUAAUUUGACUUUGCCAUGUGAUCAAACAACUAAAAUACCAACAAUUUUGAGUGCACCCAUUGAAUUAACUAUUGAUGCAAAAGAACCAAUGUUUAAUCAUUUUGAUAUGACCUCUAAUCUUGGUGAUGAUUCUGUGUUGAAUGACUUAUUGCAUGUUUGCUUAUUUAAGCAUGUUGUAGCAUGUAAAUUUGAUGCACGUAAGGUUUAUUCACCAAUGUUGGGAUGGUUUAAUGAUGAACAUUGUCAAUCUUUUGAAAUGAAUAAGAGCUUCACUUAUAUGUGCAAACUGAGUUGCAAUAUUUUCAUGCCUUCUACUUCUUGUGCUAAUUUUUUGGCUUUAGAUUUUAUGAACUAUGCAAGUUACUCAUCUAUUCAUGUGUCAUAUAUGCAAAAAUCAAAGGAAGUAAAAAUGGAUGACAUAUACAUAUACAACAUGUACACCUUGUCUCUUUUGUUAGCCACAUUUCAGAUUAAGCAACGCCGAGGACGGCUUUAUUUUCAAGAAGAGGAGGAUGAUGAGGACAUGACUACCUUGGAUAUGACCAAAAAUAUUGCAUAUAUGCAUAUUUGUCAGGUGAUUUCUAGUGCAAACUAUUCAAUAAUCUAUUUAUGUUAUCCAGAACAAAAAUACUUCACACACUUUUGUGUUUUGUCUAAUUGCAGGUGUAUGGGACAUUUGUACAAUCCACAUAUGAAGAUAAGGAAGAAAGAGAUGUUUAUUUGUUGUCCAAAAAGUUCUCUCACGUCACUUUUGGCCCAAGAGAAGAUAGAGUCCAAGUCUCUCACGUUCUGGAUUCAGAUUCGGACUGCACAGACAUACCUGACUCAAAACACACACAAGUUUUUCAUACGGACUCCGAAUUGGGUGAUUCUUUUUUUAUUGGAAACUAGAUUUCGUGCACUUUUCAACCCAAUUGGAAUCACCUUCAAAUUCGUCCGGCGCGUUGAGUUGUGGACGAAACAAUCUGAUGCUGCAGCAGAAUCCGAGUCAAACUACAAGUCCAAAGGUGUUACAUCACCUCCACUUGGGCCCAUUGGCCUUGUACGACCUAGAUUUAGUUUUAGGCUGCCUUGGGACGUCCUCCCACCUCCUUGGCCGCCACCCCUUGAUCCUAUAUAAGUAGAUCCAUCUAGUAGCUUUUCCUGGGGAUUUGUUUAGUUAAAAGUUAGCCAGUGCAACUUCGUGUACUUCGUUUGUGUCCAACGACCAGACCAAGACCGCUUACGGAUCCCCACCAUUAUCAAUACUUCAUAUAUAUUCGCAAUAUUCAGAUUGCUUUAUCAUAUUCUUGCUCGUUCUUCGAUUGCUUGCAGGAAUAGACCUUCGUGGUCAGGUUGAUCAUGCUCCAGCGUGGUCAAUAACCUCUCGGAGUUGGUUUAGCGAUUGCUAAGGCGCAACGUCGUGCACGUUUGUAGUCGGAUCGUCAAAGUCGUCUCCACCAAAUCGGUAGUAUCAUCUCAUCGAAAGAUCGGGACACCUCGCCUCUAUCAUAGCGACGAGCCGCAUCUAAAUAGUUGCAGAAGCUAGUUCAAUAUUUGACACAUCAAAAUCGGCUUCUAAAUAGGUCUUUUUGCCCUCCGAAGUUCGUGAACACAGCUUGUUCCAAUUUUUCAGGCCAGUUUUAGAAUUCUUUGACUCCUCAUAUCAACUCGGAAUUGAGUGAUUCUUGUUGCAUUGGAAAGCUUGAGUUAGUAGCAUUCUUUGAAAGAAUUUAUCAGAAAAUUGGCUCAAACUUUUCAAGAGGAAAGUUGGAGAGAGUUGUUGUAUAUCCUGCUUGGCAGUUGUUUUUCAUCAUUACCUUCACUGCCGUUGUGAUCUUCACUUAUAUCUUGCUGUCCAGAGCUACUUAGUAUCCUUGAUUGAUUCUAGUUGUGCUACGCCGUGACCUCAUUAGUGUUCUAGGCUCGCGUCUCUAGUACGGUCUAGCCUAGGACCAGCACAGUACCGUCGUUGAGCGUUUAUUCAACAUUGCAUCUUUGAAUUGAUUAUUGCUAAUCUUUUGCUACCAUAUAUAGCCAACCCAGCUCCACAUAUUUCUACACCGUGUAUACGUACGCUCCCCUGGCAAUCGCUUUACUCAAUAUUCGGAGUUACUUGACACCGCUGGUUGCCGAUCACCGCCUGCUGCAUGGUAAGAACUUGUAAGACAUUGAUAUUUGCUUUACUGUGAGCGUUUUACCACCACAUCCUAGUAGUUAUAGGAACAUUAUUUUUGGCUUUUGUUUCUUGUUCUACUAAUCAUGACAGGAUUCAGAGUCAAUUCAUGGGCUUUGUCGAUCGCGGGAGACGUGCCACCACCUUUGCAAAUACCACAACCGUCAAGAGAGGUGCACAAACAUCCAAAUGCACAUGAUCAGGUUAAUGUAUCUAUACCACCAUUUAAUGGCCGUUUCAAACCUGCUUUAUAUAUUGAAUGGGAGUUCGACAUAAAAAAUAUAUUUGCUUCCCAUAAUUUCGAUGAACAUAAAAAGGUUAAGGUUGCGGUUGGUUCUUUCACUGGUUAUGCUUUGGUUUGGUGGAGUGAAUAUUGUCGGUUACACCCUGAUUAUAUACCUACUACUUGGGAUGAUUUGAAACUUGCCAUGCGACAUACUUUCGUCCCUGCUUAUUAUACUCGUGACAUGAUUAAGAAGUUGCAACACUUAAAACAAGGUAGUGAAACUGUAACAAAAUAUUAUGAUGAUUUACAAACUACCUUGUUGCAUUCCUCUUUAGAAGAAAGUGAAGAUGGUUUUAUGGAUAGAUUUUGGGGAGGAUUAAACCGUGAUAUUCAAGAGAUACUAAUUCAUGAAGAGUGUUAUCCUAUGGACCAUUUGUUUCAUCUUGCUUGCAAAGCUGAACAGGAAAUAAAACGACGUGUUGGCCACGAGGAGAACAAGCGCACGAUGCACAUUCCAAGAGUUGAUAUGAUUGUUCCUUCAACUACUAGGCAUACUAUGACAACCACAUCCAUUGUUGUCAGGACUACAUCACCUCCACCAUGUGACACAUCGCCCCCGAGAGUGGCUACAUCAUCUGAGUUGAUCAUAAGAGGUAAUGAUAAAGGUACUGAUCUUCCAUCUCUACAUGAGAAUGAUGAAUGCCUUGUCAAUUUGAAUGCACCAUCUGAUGAGAUACCCACUACUUUGAUCACAACACCUAUUUUAGAGGACUACGUUGAUAAUUUGACUUUGCCAUGUGAUCAAACAACUGAAAUACCAACAAUUUUGAGUGCACCCAUUGAAUUAACUAUUGAUGCAAAAGAACCAAUGUUUAAUCAUUUUGAUAUGACCUCUAAUCUUGGUGAUGAUUCUGUGUUGAAUGACUUAUUGCAUGUUUGCUUAUUUAAGCAUGUUGUAGCAUGUAAAUUUGAUGCAAGUAAGGUUUAUUCACCAAUGUUGGGAUGGUUUAACGAUGAACAUUGUCAAUCUUUUGAAAUGAAUAAGAGCUUCACUUAUAUGUGCAAACUGAGUUGCAAUAUUUUCAUGCCUUCUACUUCUUGUGCUAAUUUUUUGGCUUUAGAUUUUAUGAACUAUGCAAGUUACUCAUCUAUUCAUGUGUCAUAUAUGCAAAAAUCAAGGGAAGUAAAAAUGGAUGACAUAUACAUAUACAAUAUAUACACCUUGUCUCUUUUGUUAGCCACAUUUCAGAUUAAGCAACGCCGAGGACGGCUUUAUUUUCAAGAAGGGGAGGAUGAUGAGGACAUGACUACCUUGUAUAUGACCAAAAAUAUUGCAUAUAUGCAUAUUUGUCAGGUGAUUUCUAGUGCAAACUAUUUAAUAAUCUAUUUAUGUUAUCCAGAACAAAAAUACUUCACACACUUUUGUGUUUUGUCUAAUUGCAGGUGUAUGGGACAUUUGUACAAUCCACAUAUGAAGAUAAGGAAGAAAGAGAUGUUUAUUUGCUGUCCAAAAAGUUCUCUCACGUCACUUUUGGCCCAAGAGAAGAUAGAGUCCAAGUCUCUCACGUUCUGGAUUCAGAUUUGGACUGCACAGACACACCUGACUCAAAACGCACACAAGUUUUUCAUACGGACUCCGAAUUGGGUGAUUCUUUUUUUGUUGGAAACUAGAUUUAGUGCACUUUCCAACCCAAUUGGAAUCACCUUCAAAUUCGUCCGGAGCGUUGAGUUGUGGACGAAACAAUCUGAUACUGCAGCAGAAUCCGAGUCAAACUACAAGUCCAAAGGUGUUACAUCACCUCCACUUGGGCCCAUUGGCCUUGUACGACCUAGAUUUAGUUUUAGGCUGCCUUGGGACGUCCUCCCACCUCCUUGGCCGCCACCCCUUGCUCCUAUAUAAGUAGAUCCAUCUAGUAGCUUUUCCUUGGGAUUUGUUUAGUUAAAAGUUAGCCAUUGCAACUUCGUGUACUUCGUUUGUGUCCAACGACCAGACCAAGACCGCUUACGGAUACCCACCUUUAUCAAUACUUCAUAUAUACUCGCAAUAUUCAGAUUGCUUUUAUCAUAUUCUUGCUUGUUCUUCGAUUGCUUGCAGGAAUAGACCUUCGUGGUCAGGUUGAUUGUGCUUCGGCGUGGUCAAUAACCUCUCGGAGUUGGUUUAGCGAUUGUUAAGGCACAACGUCGUGCACGUUUGUAGUCGGAUCGUCAAAGUCGUCUCCACCAAAUCGAUAGUUAUCAUCUCAUCGAAAGAUCGGGACACCCCGCUUCUAUCAGAGAGGGUUUCGGGGCCUGGCGGUUGACAGCGGACUGUGCAGAAAGCUUUGGGUUGAGAGAAGAGAAGAGAGAUGCAGCCCGGCAACUGUUUCCGGAGACCAAAAACGUCCGACGUUAGACCGGCUAUACUGCCGCUAUAGUAAUCCGUUGGGGCGUCAAACGAACUCCGAAUGCGAUGAAACUUGACAGGCAGUCUAUCUACACUAAAAUAAGACCACAUGCCAACUCUCAUCCCAUUCCGAGAACAUUUCCCGGCCACUUAUAAAAUAAUAUUUCGGACAUGCCGCGGGCGCGUGCAAGUGUGUCUGGGCUUAGAACGGACAACGAGGAGAACUGGGAUACCCCGGACGAAUGCAAGUUUUGAAAACAUGAUGAUGCAAUGCACAUGAUGAUAUGAUAAGAUGCAACAUGCAAGCAAAUGACAUGGCAACGCCGGCGCAUAACUGGAAGACACAUGGCACAUCGGUCUCGGGGCGUCACAACACUCCACCACUACGAGAGGAUCUCGUCCCGAGAUCUAGGAUGGCACCAGAGGGAAAAACGAAAGAGAAAGAGAAGAGGUAAAACUAAGUUGCUUCUUGGACAAACGAGUGAAACCACGAACCUUGAAAAGGUUAAGCCAUCUCGAGAAAAGAAUACGACGGAGAUGAGCGAAGUAGAGAACACUCCGUUAGAAAAGAGGGACAAGGAAGAACAACUUCGAGCAGCACUCCGGUUGAGAAGUUAUGCAAGACUUGAUACGGUGAAAAGAACUUGAGCAGAGGACACGACACUCCGGUUAAACAAGAUAGAGAAGGAAUAAGACUGAUAUAAUUUGGACAUCACUUCGACUAUAAAUGGAAGAAAUUGAACAUGAUCUUGACAAACCGAGAUGAGGAGUGAAAAGAGCAACAUCACUAGACGUUCGGGAGAAAGAAUAGAAUAAAGAUAAUUGAGACAAAAGAAUGUAGAAGAAAAUGCCAACUUCUGCUACAAAAGAGCUUGAAAAGGUAUCCUUAAGAGAAGGGUCGAACGGAGUUGUUGGAAAAACCAACAACGAAAAGAAUAAGCUUGAUAUGGUCUUAUGGAAUACAUCUCAAAUUAUGAGGUGACAACCUGCCACUCACGGGAAAGAAUUGGAUUGGUAUGACCGAUGAGACGAGAGAAUUAUUUCACCGGGAGGAUAGAUGAAGAACUUGGAUCAUAUAUUAUCACCAUUAAUAGCAAAAUCCUUAGGGAAAGAUUUAGGUGAAAUAUAACCCAAAAUAACUCAAAUGACGAGAUUGAUGGAUUUAAAAUAUCUCAUUCUUAACAAUAUGUGAAUCAUGAAGCAUGAACUCAAAUUAUCAAGAAUGACUUUAUACCACCUCCAAUGAUACAGAAGAAAGAAUUGCACUCCGGAUUGCAAGAUGAAGAAAACUUGAAGUAUAGCUUGGCGGAUCAUAACUUCGAAAGAGAUCUUGAAGAACAAUUGAAGAAUGAAAAGAAUCCUUGACGAACCAUCAUAUAGAACCUUCAUGAAGAAUUCCGGUAAUAAAAGAAUGAUCCAAAAUAAUUGACUGAUGAAAAGAAUAAGAUUGAAGCCUCUCAAUGAUUUAGAUAGAGAUCCCCGUGAUAAUAUAAUUGAAAGAGGUUGGAACUCCGGGAAAAAGAGAAGAUGAAAACAAAUGAAACCGAGAAUUUGAAGGGCCUCCAGAAUAAAGAAUUAAUCAUUUGAAUGAAACAAGAAUAAGAAUUACAUUAUGAUUGUCCUUCAUCAAUUAAAUUGAUGACAAACAAUGAAUUUGACACACCACUUAUUCUUGUAGAGAGGAUUAAGAUAGAUAUUGCAUAACUUUGAGAAGGUUUUCGACGAACCACCGGUAGGAUGAAAGAAAGAAUGAAUCGAUACAAUAACAAAGGAAGAGAAAUCUUGAACGAACCACCAUAAGAAUUAAGAAUGAAUGAAGAGAAGAUAAAGAAAACACCGGGACGAAUUAUAAAAUGAACAAAGAUGCUUGAGAGGAUUUAGAUACAUGAGAACAAAGAGAUCAUGAGCCGAUUAAAGAUCACUUGAACGAAGCACCGGUAAAAUUGGAGAAUGGUAGCUGAAAGCUGAGAAUGAAUAAGUCUUCUUAAAUGAUGGGCUUCGGGGAAAAGAAAUGGAAAACAACUCAUGAAAUGCUCCGGAUGGGUGAAAAGAAUUCUCACAGUCAAAAAAUAAUUAUGAGAGGAUGGCAACAAGCUAGAAUCACGAAUCUUUGAGAGAAUGGAUAAGAUAUAGAGGAAACAUUUCUUCGGUCUUGAAAUGUUGAUAAUGACGAUGAGAAGCACCACCAAAAUUGUAGAGGCACUCCGAAAUUAAGAUUGGAAAGGUUGAACCAACGAUGAAAAGAAUUUGACAGAUCUUGGAGAAAGACAUUUGACUGAUGAUAGUUCAUUCUUACGUCAAACUUCGAAAAGAAUUUGGGAGUAACUCCGUGAAAAUUAGAAGAGUCAGGUAAGAUCCUGGGAAGACAUGUGGGUUAGGGCCCACUCAAUAGAAACACCGUAGAACGAUUUAAAAGAGAGAGAAUGCACCGGUAAGAUUAAAUGGCUAGAAUGAGAUAACAACCUCGAAAGAGCUUGAAAGGAUUACGAAAGUAGAGUGGAAACACGAAUCUUCGAGAUAUCUUGAACACUCCAGAACAAUUGAAUGGCAAGCGGGGAAGAUUAAGAGGUGCGCUGGCAUAAGUAAGCAUUGAAACGAGGAAAAGAUAUGAUCAACAAAGCUUGAUGUGAAACCACCGGAGAAGAAAAGGAAUGAGGAAUUACGAACUUGAGGUUCUGUUAGGAUCUUCAUGAGAAUCACCGGAUAAGGACAUUGAUGGAAAAGAAUGGAGAGACUUCACAUCAAUAAGAUGGAUACUCGAUAAAGAAAUCCGAGUCAUUAAAGAACCAAGGGUGGGAGGGUGGGAAAACAAAGGCACCUUGGGAAAGAUGAAACAAACACCGUUGAGAAGAACUGAUAAUUGAUCUUGCGGAUAUUGAAAAUGAACGGAUCCGCUUGAAGAGAAACACACCGGUUGAAAAGGAUUGUCAUGACAAUGUCGACUAUCAUGAAGGAUUAGUACUCCCGUAGGAAUACGAGAACACCACUUAUAAAAGGUAUGGAAUCAACAUUUGACUUCGAAGCAACUCGAAUACCACAACUCAAAACAAAACAAAGGAUUGGCUUGCAGAAUAAGCCGGAACAAACAUAUGAUAGAGAUUUCGUUCGAAGUUUUCGUGGUGGGGCCUACACGGGCUCGAUCGUACAGCACCAUCAUUGAUGAGGACAUCAAUACAAUUGUUACACCCACAGCCCCUGCUGCUAUACAUACUGGACCAAUUACUAGAGCUUGUGCACGCCAACUAAAUUACCAGGUACUUUCGUUUCUUGGUAAUGAUUCUAAUGUUUAUGAGAAUAUGAUGCUGCCUAAAUUGGAUACAUUUGUUUUGCUUACAAAUGAAGGGCCUAGCUUGGAGAAGGAUGAACAUUGGAGCAAGAACAAGCAUGGAGAUGAUGGCAUGCGCAAGGGGAACAAGAACGGAGUUACAAGUGAUGAUUUCAGGACUUUGAAGCCACCAUAAUGGGUGCAUGAAGCCUUGGACGAAAUAUACAAGAUGCCACUUCAUAAAUUUCGUCCCGAGGCUAUUUUAGGUGCUGCGUCACCUUAUUAUUGGGCCAAGCCCAUGUAAUUUCGAAAUACAUAAGUAUAGGCUAUUUUUAGAGUCCGUAUGUGUGGGGAAACAAGAGAUAGGGUUGAUUUCGGACCCCUCCCCCAAGGGCCACGAAAUUCCCCCCUCUUCCUCCAUAUAUACAGCCCUUAGGGCAUCGUUUAGACUUUGGGUUUUGUUUAGAUUAAAAGUUCGCCAUAGCUGCAACUUCGCGUACUUCGUUUGUGUUCAACGACCAGACAAAGGCGUCACAGAACCCCACCUUGAUCAAUAAAGCUUUCAUCUUAUAUUCGCAAUAUCCAGAUUGCAAUCUUAGUUUCUUGCUUGUUCUUCGUUUGCUCGCAGGAAACAGACCCUCGUGGUCAGGUUGAUCGUGCUCCGGCGUGGUCAAUAACCUCUCGGAGUUGGUUUAGCGAUUGCUAAGGCGCGACGUCCUCGCACGUUCGUAGUCGGAUCGUCAAAGUCGACUUCCACCAAAGCGAAAUCCACCAUCUCAUCGAAAGACGGGACACCUUUGCCUCUAUCAUUUGUUUAGCUUACAAAUGAAGGGCCUAGCUUGGAGAAGGAUGAACAUUGGAGCAAGAACAAGCAUGGAGAUGAUGGCAUGCGCAAGGGAAACAAGAACGGAGUUACAAGUGAUGAUUUCAGGACUUUGAAGCCACCAUAAUGGGUGCAUGAAGCCUUGGACGAAAUAUACAAGAUGCCACUUCAUAAAUUUCGUCCCGAGGCUAUUCUAGGUGCUGCGUCACCUUAUUAUUGGGCCAGGCCCAUGUAAUUUCGAAAUACAUAAGUAUAGGCUAUUUUUAGAGUCCGUAUGUGUGGGGAAACAAGAGAUAGGGUUGAUUUCGGACCCCUCCACCAAGGGCCACGAAAUUCCCCCCUCUUCCUCCAUAUAUACAGCCCUUAGGGCAUCGUUUAGACUUUGGGUUUUGUUUAGAUUAAAAGUUCGCCAUAGCUGCAACUUCGCGUACUUCGUUUGUGUUCAACGACCAGACAAAGGCGUCACAGAACCCCACCUUGAUCAAUAAAGCUUUCAUCUUAUAUUCGCAAUAUCCAGAUUGCAAUCUUAGUUUCUUGCUUGUUCUUCGUUUGCUCGCAGGAAGCAGACCCUCGUGGUCAGGUUGAUCGUGCUCCGGCGUGGUCAAUAACCUCUCGGAGUUGGUUUAGCGAUUGCUAAGGCGCGACGUCCUCGCACGUUCGUAGUCGGAUCGUCAAAGUCGACUUCCACCAAAGCGAAAUCCACCAUCUCAUCGAAAGAUCGGGACCCUCGCCUCUAUCAAGUGGUAUCAGUUUUCAGGUUGCUCGGUGAGAAUUUCCAGUUUUCCUAGAUUAGAUUUAUUUUCUUACCUAUUGUCCAAGAAAAAGCCACAAAAAAGAGUUAGAUCUAUUCAUCCUUGGUCCAAGCCAGUCUGAGCCUUUGCAAUUUUCUAUUCAUUGCUUGCAUAGUUGAAUUAUCGGUUGCAUCGUCGUGUUAGUUGCUGGUCUUAGUGUCUAGUUCUUUUAGAGUUUCGAGUUCUGUUCACAUUAGUCACGCCGCCGCUGCAUCAUUAUCCCUUCCGCUGUCCACCAUCCCAUCCAUUAAUUUUCACCACGUGCUACGCACCAUUCAUUGUCAUAAUAAUAGUUGAGAUCGUUCACAUCUUCACUUGAUCCAAUCUGCAUCUUAUCUAGUUUGUUUUGGAAAGAGGGAGAAAAAAAAGAGAGAGAAAAAACGAGAGAAAAAAAAAGGAAAAAAAAGUCAGAGAAAAAAAAAGGAGAGAAAAAAAAAAGUGUGAGGAAAAAAAGAGAGAAGAAAAAAAAAUCGGCACAAACUUUUUCAGAGGAAAGUUGGAGACAAAGUUGUUGAUAUAUCCUGCUUGCCUGUUGUUUCACCUCAUUAUCUUCACUGCUGUUGUGAUCUUCACUUAUAUCUUGCUGUCAAGAGCUACUUAGUAUCCUUCAUUGAUGCUAGUUGUGCUACGCCGUGACCUCAUUAGUGUUCUAGGCUCGCGUCUCUAGUCCGGUCUAGCCUAGGACCAGCACAGUACCGUCGUUGAGCGUUUAUUCAACAUUGCAUCUUUGAAUUGAUUAUUGCUAAUCUUUUGCUACCAUAUAUAGCCAACCCAGCUCCACAUAUUUCUACACCGUGUAUACGUACGCUCCCCUGGCAAUCGCUUUACUCAAUAUUCGGAGUUACUUGACACCGCUGGUUGCCGAUCACCGCCUGCUGCAUGGUAAGAACUUGUAAGACAUUGAUAUUUGCUUUACUGUGAGCGUUUUACCACCACAUCCUAGUAGUUAUAGGAACAUUAUUUUUGGGUUUUGUUUCUUGUUCUACUAAUCAUGACAGGAUUCAGAGUCAAUUCAUGGGCUUUGUCGAUCGCGGGAGACGUGCCACCACCUUUGCAAAUACCACAACCGUCACGAGAGGUGCACAAACAUCCAAAUGCACAUGAUCAGGUUAAUGUAUCUAUACCACCAUUUAAUGGCCGUUUCAAACCUGCUUUAUAUAUUGAAUGGGAGUUCGACAUAAAAAAUAUAUUUGCUUCCCAUAAUUUCGAUGAACAUAAAAAGGUUAAGGUUGCGGUUGGUUCUUUCACUGGUUAUGCUUUGGUUUGGUGGAGUGAAUAUUGUCGGUUACACCCUGAUUAUAUACCUACUACUUGGGAUGAUUUGAAACUUGCCAUGCGACAUACUUUCGUCCCUGCUUAUUAUACUCGUGACAUGAUUAAGAAGUUGCAACACUUAAAACAAGGUAGUGAAACUGUAACAAAAUAUUAUGAUGAUUUACAAACUACCUUGUUGCAUUCCUCUUUAGAAGAAAGUGAAGAUGAUUUUAUGGAUAGAUUUUGGGGAGGAUUAAACCGUGAUAUUCAAGAGAUACUAAUUCAUGAAGAGUGUUAUCCUAUGGACCAUUUGUUUCAUCUUGUGAUGAGGACAUCAAUACAAUUGUUACACCCACAGCCCCUGCUGCUAUACAUACUGGACCAAUUACUAGAGCUCGUGCACGCCAACUAAAUUACCAGGUACUUUCGUUUCUUGGUAAUGAUUCUAAUGUUCAUGAGAAUAUGAUGCUGCCUAAAUUGGAUACAUUUGUUUUGCUUACAAAUGAAGGGCCUAGCUUGGAGAAGGAUGAACAUUGGAGCAAGAACAAGCAUGGAGAUGAUGGCAUGCGCAAGGGAAACAAGAACGGAGUUACAAGUGAUGAUUUCAGGACUUUGAAGCCACCAUAAUGGGUGCAUGAAGCCUUGGACGAAAUAUACAAGACGCCACUUCAUAAAUUUCGUCCCGAGGCUAUUUUAGGUGCUGCGUCACCUUAUUAUUGGGCCAGGCCCAUGUAAUUUCGAAAUACAUAAGUAUAGGCUAUUUUUAGAGUCCGUAUGUGUGGGGAAACAAGAGAUAGGGUUGAUUUCGGACCCCUCCACCAAGGGCCACGAAAUCCCCCCCCCCUUCCUCCAUAUAUACAGCCCUUAGGGCAUCGUUUAGACUUUGGGUUUUGUUUAGAUUAAAAGUUCGCCAUAGCUGCAACUUCGCGUACUUCGUUUGUGUUCAACGACCAGACAAAGGCGUCACAGAACCCCACCUUGAUCAAUAAAGCUUUCAUCUUAUAUUCGCAAUAUCCAGAUUGCAAUCUCAGUUUCUUGCUUGUUCUUCGUUUGCUCGCAGGAAACAGACCCUCGUGGUCAGGUUGAUCGUGCUCCGGCGUGGUCAAUAACCUCUCGGAGUUGGUUUAGCGAUUGCUAAGGCGCGACGUCCUCGCACGUUCGUAGUCGGAUCGUCAAAGUCGACUUCCAACAAAGCGAUAUCCAUCAUCUCAUCGAAAGACGGGACACCUUUGCCUCUAUCAAGUGGUAUCAGAUUUCCAGGUUGCUCGGUGAGAUUUUACAGUUUUUCGUAGUUUAGAUCGAGUCUGUUCUUCAUACCUACAGUCCACGAAAAAGCCACAAAAAAAAUUAGGGUUAGUUCAUCAUAUCCGAACCAAUCUGAGCCUUUGCAUAAUCUUUUUAGGGUUUUGCUUUGUUGAAUUUGCGGUUGCAUCGUCGUGUCUAGUUGCUGGUCUUAGAGUCUAGUCUUUUAGAGUUUCGAGUUCUGGUCAUAAGUUGUCACGCCGCCGCCGCACCAUCAUCAUCGCCCCUGCCAUCUACCACCACCGCUCCGAAUUCGUAUCCAUAUACCACCACCAAUCCGUGUCCAUAUACCACCACCGAUCCAUAUCCAUAUACUACCACCGCUACCACCACCGCUGCCAUAUACCACCACCAUAUAUCCACCACCAAUCCGAGUUCCUUGCAUAUUAGGUUUGUUUUGGAGAUCCAUCUAGAUUCUGAUUCGUGUUUCCUUGCCGGAGUCGGGUAGCCACGCUCCGUUUAGGCCCAAAAUUUUUCGAAAACGCAUUUUUCGAAAACUUUUCUGGCUAUCCUAUUUUUAGGUGUUUCUGAGUGUUUUGAGACAGGUGCCAUUAUAGGAAGUUUUUUUUGACCCGUUUCCAGUUUUUGGGUCCGGGCAGUCAAAAAAAAAAUUGGUCGAAAAAUUUCGUGCCCAUCCUGUCAGUUUGAGCUAGGAAGAGUUUUGAGACACUCGCCAUUAUAGUGAUUUUCGCAAAAAAAAAAGCAGCGCAAAAAAAAGAGCGCAAAGAAAAAAAGAGCAAAAAAAAAAUUCAGAGUGUGCUUUUCCCUUGUUUACGUGUUGCGCCGUGAUUUUGUUGGUGUUCUAGGCUCGCGUCUCUAGCACAGUCUAGCCUAGGACCAGCACAGUACCGUCGUUGAGCGUUUAUUCAACUUUGCAUCUCUGAAUUGAUUAUUGCUGACCCUUUUUGCUACCAUAGUAUAAGCCUUCCCAGCUCCACAUACAUCUACGUCGUGCGUUUGACUCUCCCUGGUAAUCGCUCUAUCCAAGCUUUGAGAGUUUUGACUACAACGGUUGCCGAUCACCGCCUGUUGCUGGGUAAGAACUGGUAAGAAUUUGAGUUUUGCUUGACGGAUUUGUGACACCCACCACCACCACUUGUUCGUAGUCUGUAGGAUCAUAUUCUUGUGUGUUUCUAUUGCUGCUAACCAUGCCAGGAUCACAAGCCGACGAGAUUGACUGGGAGAAUUUAUCGAACAAGGAGCUUCAUGAUAAGUUUCAGCAAAUGAUGACUGAACAGGUGCAAGACGUGCUGAACAAUUUUGAAGAGGCCAUGGAGAAGAUCACUGGCCUUGAGAAGACGUUCGAAACAAAGCUCGAUAACAGAUUUAAUGAAUUGCUCGCGCAUCUUCCACCACCACCACCCGCUGCACCUAACGCACCUGUCCAACAACAACAACAAUGACUACCUCCACGUCGCGAAAUAGACCUUCGCCGAGCGAGCCGUGUUCCUCUUGCGUUUGGCCAAACUGUUGGUGCUGCUGUUGAUACUUCUGUGGCUCCUGCUACUGCUGUUGCUGGUACCCAGGAGGAUGAUGAGUAUGCGGGCGAUUAUGAGGAUGAGGUUGAUCAAAAUCAGAUCUACGAGCAGCCACCAGCACCACCACCAGCAGGUCGACCUCAGGUAUAUAUUCGUAAUGGUAGGCCUGCACCACCACCUCAGGUACGAGAUGAUGUCCAUAUUCCUAAACUGAAAUUGAAUAUUCCACCAUUUGAGGGUAGAUAUGUUCCUGAUAUAUAUCUUACUUGGGAGUUAGAAACUGAACAACGAUUUACAUGUUUACAAUAUCCUGAGGAGAGACGAGUUGCUGCUGCUGUUUGUGCUUUCACUAGUUUUGCAUGUGUAUGGUGGUCUGAACAUUGUAGAUUGUAUCCUAUUCCAACUACUUGGGCUGCUUUGAAAACUGCUAUGCGUACGCGUUGGGUUCCACCAUAUUAUCAACGUGAAUUGCUUAAAAAAUUACAGCGCUUAAGACAAGGAAAAAAUUCUGUAGAAGAAUAUUAUCAGGAAUUACAAACUGGCAUGAUUAGAUGUGGUAUUGUUGAGGAGAAUGAAGCUAUGCUUGCACGUUUUCUGGGUGGAUUAAAUAGAGAGAUUCAGACCAUUCUAGACUAUAAGGAGUAUACUAAUAUCACUCGUUUAUUCCAUCUUGCUUGUAAAGCUGAACGUGAAGUGCAGGAUCGACAAGCAUUGGGGCGAACUAACUUUUCUGCAGGCCGAUCUUCAUCAUGGACACCACGUGCAUCUUCUACUUCAACUGCACCAGCACCUCCAUCCGGUGCCACCUCCAGCCGUGAUACAAGAAAACAGGCACAACCACCAUUAUCUGCCAAGAGCACACAUGCGGGGCCUGCACAGCGUUCUUCUUCUUCCAUGGCAUCAACAGGGCACACAAGUGAUAUUAUUUGUCGUCGUUGUAAGGGGGGAGGUCAUUAUGCGAGGGAAUGCAAAUCUCCGCGUGUGAUGAUUGCUACCGCGGAUGGUGGAUAUGAGUCCGCUAGUGACUAUGAUGAGGAGACAUUGGCUCUUAUUACACGUGAAGAACAUGGUGGAGAUGAUUCUGAUCAUGAGACGCAAUACAUGGCUCCUGAAGACGCUGACAGGUAUGAAUGUUUAGUUGCUCAACGUGUUUUGAGUGUGCAGGUCACACAAGCUGAGCAAAAUCAGAGGCACAAUUUGUUCCAUACCAAGGGAGUUGUGAAGAAACAUUCUGUGCACGUCAUAAUAGACGGAGGGAGCUGCAACAACUUGGCUAGCAUGGAGAUGGUGGAGAAGCUUUCUCUCACCACAAGACCACAUCCACAUCCUUACUACAUCCAAUGGUUCAACAACAGCGGCAAGGUUAAGGUAACACGUACUGUUCGUGUGCAUUUUAGUAUCUCUACAUAUGCUGAUUAUGUUGAUUGUGAUGUGGUACCUAUGCAAGCAUGUUCCUUAUUACUUGGUAGACCAUGGCAAUUUGAUAAAAAUUCUGUACACCAUGGUAGAAACAAUCACUAUACUCUUGUUCAUAAGGAUAAAAAUAUUACUUUGCUUCCUAUGACUCCUGAUUCCAUUUUGAAAGAUGAUAUUAAUAGAGCUAAUAAAGCAAAACAGGAGACGAAUAAGAGUGAAAAUCAGAUUGUGGCAAAAGAAUUUGAGCAACAAAUGAAGCAUAAUAAUAAACCAUCUAGUGUUGCUUCUGAAAUUAAAUUGAAAAGUGCAUGUUUAUUUGCCACCAAAUCUGAUAUUGAUGAGCUAGAUUUCAGCAAAUCUGUUUGCUAUGCUUUUGUGUGCAAAGAGGCAUUAUUUUCAUUCGAGGACGUGCCUUCCUCUUUGCCUCCUGCUGUCACUAACAUUUUGCAGGAGUUCGCUGACGUCUUUCCACAAGACGUGCCACCGGGAUUACCGCCUAUUCGAGGGAUUGAGCAUCAGAUUGACUUAAUUCCCGGUGCUUCACUGCCAAACCGUGCACCAUACCGUACCAAUCCAGAGGAGACGAAGGAGAUUAUGCGUCAAGUACAAGAGCUUCUCGACAAAGGUUAUAUACGCGAAUCCCUUAGUCCUUGUGCUGUUCCUAUUAUUCUAGUGCCGAAAAAGGAUGGUACAUCACGUAUGUGUGUUGAUUGUAGAGGCAUUAAUAAUAUUCCUAGGCUAGAUGAUAUGCUUGAUGAAUUGAGUGGCUCUACAAUAUUCUCCAAAGUUGAUUAACGUAGUGGAUACCAUCAAAUUCGUAUGAAAUUGGGAGAUGAAUGGAAAGCAGCAUUCAAAACUAAGUUUGGAUUAUAUGAGUGGUUAGUCAUGCCUUUUGGGUUAACUAAUGCACCUAGUACUUUCAUGAGAUUAAUGAACGAAGUUUUACGUGCUUUCAUUGGACGAUUUGUGGUAGUUUACUUUGAUGACAUAUUGAUUUAUAGCAGAUCUUUGGAAGAACAUUUGGAACAUUUACGUGCUGUUUUUAUUGCUCUACGUGAUGCACGUUUGUUUGGUAACCUUGGGAAGUGCACCUUUUGCACCGACCGAGUAUCUUUUCUUGGCUAUGUUGUUACUCCACAGGGAAUUGAAGUUGAUAAAGCCAAGAUUGAAGCUAUUGAGAGUUGGCCGCAGCCCAAAACGGUCACACAAGUGAGGAGUUUUCUUGGCCUCGCUGGAUUCUAUAGGCGUUUUGUGAGAGAUUUCAGCACCAUUGCUGCACCUCUCAAUGAGCUUACAAAGAAAGAUGUGCCUUUCCUUUGGGGUACUGCACAGGAAGAAGCCUUCACGGUAUUGAAAGAUAAGUUGACACAUGCUCCUUUACUCCAACUUCCUGAUUUUAAUAAGACUUUUGAGCUUGAAUGUGAUGCUAGUGGAAUUGGAUUAGGAGGUGUGUUAUUACAAGAUGGCAAACCUGUUACAUACUUUUCUGAAAAAUUGAGUGGGCCUAGCUUGAAUUAUUCUACUUAUGAUAAAGAAUUAUAUGCUCUUGUUCGGACUUUAGAAACAUGGCAACAUUACUUAUGGCCCAAAGAAUUUGUUAUACAUUCUGAUCAUGAAUCUUUGAAACAUAUUAAAAGUCAAGCUAAACUGAAUCGUAGACAUGCUAAAUGGGUUGAAUUCAUUGAGACUUUCCCUUAUGUCAUUAAACACAAGAAGGGAAAAGAAAAUGUUAUUGCUGAUGCAUUGUCUCGUCGCUAUACUAUGCUUUCACAACUUGACUUCAAAAUAUUUGGUUUGGAGACCAUCAAAGAUCAAUAUGUGCAUGAUGCUGAUUUUAAAGAUGUAAUGCAGAAUUGUAAAGAAGGAAGAAUGUGGAACAAGUUUGUUGUUAACGAUGGAUUUGUGUUUCGUGCUAACAAGCUAUGCAUUCCAGCUAGCUCCGUUCGUCUUUUGUUGUUGCAGGAGGCGCAUGGAGGAGGAUUAAUGUGACACUUUGGCGUGAAGAAGACGGAGGACGUACUUGCUACACAUUUCUUUUGGCCAAAGAUGAGACGGGAUGUUGAGCGUUUUAUUGCUCGCUGCACUACAUCUCAAAAAGCUAAGUCACGACUCAAUCCUCAUGGUUUAUAUAUGCCUUUGCCUGUACCUAGUGUUCCUUGGGAGGAUAUAUCUAUGGACUUUGUUUUAGGUUUACCUCGAACAAAGAAGGGGAGGGAUAGCAUAUUUGUUGUCGUGGAUAGAUUCUCGAAAAUGGCACACUUUAUACCAUGUCAUAAAAGCGAUGAUGCUGUUAAUGUUGCUGAUUUGUUCUUUCGUGAAAUUAUUCGCUUGCAUGGUGUGCCAAAUACUAUUGUUUCAGAUCGUGAUACUAAAUUUCUUAGCCACUUUUGGAGAUGUUUAUGGGCUAAGUUGGGGACUAAACUGCUUUUUAGUACUACUUGUCACCCCCAAACUGAUGGACAAACUGAAGUAGUCAAUAGAACGUUGUCUACUAGGCUUAGGGCUGUUUUGAAGAAUAAUAAGAAAAUGUGGGAGGAAUGCUUGCCUCAUAUUGAAUUUGCUUAUAAUCGUUCAUUGCAUUCUACUACUAAGAUGUGCCCUUUUGAAGUUGUGUAUGGUUUCCUACCUCAUGCACCUAUUGAUUUGUUGCCUCUUCCAUCUUCGGAGAAGGUUAAUUUUGAUGCUAAACAACGUGUUGAAUUGAUUUUAAAAAUGCAUGAGUUAACUAAGGAAAACAUUGAGCGUAUGAAUGCUAAAUAUAAACUUGCUGGAGAUAAGGGUAGAAAACAUGUUGUGUUUGCACCUGGAGAUCUUGUUUGGUUACAUUUGCGUAAGGAUAGAUUUCCUGAUUUGCGCAAAUCAAAGUUAAUGCCACGUGCUGAUGGUCCCUUUAAGGUGUUAGAGAAAAUAAAUGAUAAUGCAUAUAAACUUGAGCUGCCUGCAGAUUUUGGGGUUAGUCCCACUUUUAACAUUGCAGAUUUGAAGCCUUAUUUGGGUGAGGAAGAUGAACUUCCGUCGAGGACGACUUCAUUUCAAGAAGGGGAGGAUGAUGAGGACAUCAAUACAAUUGUUACACCCACAGCCCCUGCUGCUAUACAUACUGGACCAAUUACUAGAGCUCGUGCACGCCAACUAAACUACCAGGUACUUUCGUUUCUUGGUAAUGAUUCUAAUGUUCCUGAGAAUAUGAUGCUGCCUAAAUUGGAUACAUUUGUUUUGCUUACAAAUGAAGGGCCUAGCUUGGAGAAGGAUGAACAUUGGAGCAAGAACAAGAACGGAGUUACAAGUGAUGAUUUCAGGACUUUGAAGCCACCAUAAUGGGUGCAUGAAGCCUUGGACGAAAUAUACAAGAUGCCACUUCAUAAAUUUCGUUCCGAGGCUAUUUUAGGUGCUGCGUCACCUUAUUAUUGGGCCAGGCCCAUGUAAUUUCGAAAUACAUAAGUAUAGGCUAUUUUUAGAGUCCGUAUGUGUGGGGAAACAAGAGAUAGGGUUGAUUUCGGACCCCUCCACCAAGGGCCACGAAAUUCCCCCCCUCUUCCUCCAUAUAUACAGCCCUUAGGGCAUCGUUUAGACUUUGGGUUUUGUUUAGAUUAAAAGUUCGCCAUAGCUGCAACUUCGCGUACUUCGUUUGUGUUCAACGACCAGACAAAGGCGUCACAGAACCCCACCUUGAUCAAUAAAGCUUUCAUCUUAUAUUCGCAAUAUCCAGAUUGCAAUCUUAGUUUCUUGCUUGUUCUUCGUUUGCUCGCAGGAAACAGACCCUCGUGGUCAGGUUGAACGUGCUCCGGCGUGGUCAAUAACCUCUCGGAGUUGGUUUAGCGAUUGCUAAGGCGCGACGUCCUCGCACGUUCGUAGUCGGAUCGUCAAAGUCGACUUCCACCAAAGCGAUAUCCAUCAUCUCAUCGAAAGAUCGGGACCCUCGCCUCUAUCACUUUGUCGAGAAGCUCUUGUACUUGACGCAUAAUCUCCUUCGUCUCCUCUGGAUUGGUACGGUAUGGUGCACGGUUUGGCAGUGAAGCACCGGGAAUUAAGUCAAUCUGAUGCUCAAUCCCUCGAAUAGGCGGUAAUCCCGGUGGCACGUCUUGUGGAAAUACGUCAGCGAACUCCUGCAAAAUGUUAGUGACAGCAGGAGGCAAAGAGGAAGGCACGUCCUCGAAUGAAAAUAAUGCCUCUUUGCACACAAAAGCAUAGCAAACAGAUUUGCUGAAAUCUAGCUCAUCAAUAUCAGAUUUGGUGGCAAAUAAACAUGCACUUUUCAAUUUAAUUUCAGAAGCAACACUAGAUGGUUUAUUAUUAGGCUUCAUUUGUUGCUCAAAUUCUUUUGCCACAAUCUGAUUUUCACUCUUAUUCUUCUCCUGUUGUGCUUUAUUAGCUCUAUUAAUAUCAUCUUUCAAAAUGGAAUCAGGAGUCAUAGGAAGCAAAGUAAUAUUUUUAUCCUUAUGAACAAGAGUAUAGUGAUUGUUUCUACCAUGGUGUACAGAAUUUUUAUCAAAUUGCCAUGGUAUACCAAGUAAUAAGGAACAUGCUUGCAUAGGUACCACAUCACAAUCAACAUAAUCAGCAUAUGUAGAGAUACUAAAAUGCACACGAACAGUACGUGUUACCUUAACCUUGCCGCUGUUGUUGAACCAUUGGAUGUAGUAAGGAUGUGGAUGUGGUCUUGUGGUGAGAGAAAGCUUCUCCACCAUCUCCAUGCUAGCCAAGUUGUUGCAGCUCCCUCCGUCUAUGAUGACGCGCACAGAACGUUCCUUCACAACUCCCUUGGUAUGGAACAAAUUGUGCCUCUGAUUUUGCUCAGCUUGUGUGAUCUGCACACUCAAAACACGUUGAGCAACUAAACAUUCAUACCUGUCAGCGUCUUCAGGAGCCAUGUAUUGCGUCUCAUGAUCAGAAUCAUCUCCACCAUGUUCUUCACGUGUAAUAAGAGCCAAAGUCUGAUGAGGACAUCAAUACAAUUGUUACACCCACAGCCCCUGCUGCUAUACAUACUGGACCAAUUACUAGAGCUCGUGCACGCCAACUAAAUUACCAGGUACUUUCGUUUCUUGGUAAUGAUUCUAAUAUUCAUGAGAAUAUGAUGCUGCCUAAAUUGGAUACAUUUGUUUUGCUUACAAAUGAAGGGCCUAGCUUGGAGAAGGAUGAACAUUGGAGCAAGAACAAGCAUGGAGAUGAUGGCAUGCGCAAGGGGAACAAGAACGGAGUUACAAGUGAUGAUUUCAGGACUUUGAAGCCACCAUAAUGGGUGCAUGAAGCCUUGGACGAAAUAUACAAGAUGCCACUUCAUAAAUUUCGUCCCGAGGCUAUUUUAGGUGCUGCGUCACCUUAUUAUUGGGCCAGGCCCAUGUAAUUUCGAAAUACAUAAGUAUAGGCUAUUUUUAGAGUCCGUAUGUGUGGGGAAACAAGAGAUAGGGUUGAUUUCGGAUCCCUCCACCAAGGGCCACGAAAUUCCCCCCUCUUCCCCCAUAUAUACAGCCCUUAGGGCAUCGUUUAGACUUUGGGUUUUGUUUAGAUUAAAAGUUCGCCAUAGCUGCAACUUCGCGUACUUCGUUUGUGUUCAACGACCAGACAAAGGCGUCACAGAACCCCACCUUGAUCAAUAAAGCUUUCAUCUUAUAUUCGCAAUAUCCAGAUUGCAAUCUUAGUUUCUUGCUUGUUCUUCGUUUGCUCGCAGGAAACAGACCCUCGUGGUCAGGUUGAUCGUGCUCCGGCGUGGUCAAUAACCUCUCGGAGUUGGUUUAGCGAUUGCUAAGGCGCGACGUCCUCGCACGUUCGUAGUCGGAUCGUCAAAGUCGACUUCCACCAAAGCGAAAUCCACCAUCUCAUCGAAAGACGGGACACCUUUGCCUCUAUCAAGGAAGAAUGUGGAACAAGUUUGUUGUUAACGAUGGAUUUGUGUUUCGUGCUAACAAGCUAUGCAUUCCAGCUAGCUCCGUUCGUCUUUUGUUGUUGCAGGAGGCGCAUGGAGGAGGAUUAAUGGGACACUUUGGCGUGAAGAAGACGGAGGACGUACUUGCUACACAUUUCUUUUGGCCAAAGAUGAGACGGGAUGUUGAGCGUUUUAUUGCUCGCUGCACUACAUGUCAAAAAGCUAAGUCACGACUCAAUCCUCAUGGUUUAUAUAUGCCUUUGCCUGUACCUAGUGUUCCUUGGGAGGAUAUAUCUAUGGACUUUGUUUUAGGUUUACCUCGAACAAAGAAGGGGAGGGAUAGCAUAUUUGUUGUCGUGGAUAGAUUCUCGAAAAUGGCACACUUUAUACCAUGUCAUAAAAGUGAUGAUGCUGUUAAUGUUGCUGAUUUGUUCUUUCGUGAAAUUAUUCGCUUGCAUGGUUGCCAAAUACUAUUGUUUCAGAUCGUGAUACUAAAUUUCUUAGCCACUUUUGAGAUAGUUAUUGGGCUAAGUUGGGGACUAAACUGCUUUUUAGUACUACUUGUCACCCCCAAACUGAUGGACAAACUAAAGUAGUCAAUAGAACGUUGUCUACUAUGCUUAGGGCUGUUUUGAAGAAUAAUAAGAAAAUGUGGGAGGAAUGCUUGCCUCAUAUUGAAUUUGCUUAUAAUCGUUCAUUGCAUUCUACUACUAAGAUGUGCCCUUUUGAAGUUGUGUAUGGUUUCCUACCUCGUGCACCUAUUGAUUUGUUGCCUCUUCCAUCUUCGGAGAAGGUUAAUUUUGAUGCUAAACAACGUGCUGAAUUGAUUUUAAAAAUGCAUGAGUUAACUAAGGAAAACAUUGAGCGCAUGAAUGCUAAAUAUAAACUUGCUGGAGAUAAGGGUAGAAAACAAGUUGUGUUUGCACCUGGAGAUCUUGUUUGGUUACAUUUGCGUAAGGAUAGAUUUCCUGAUUUGCGCAAAUCAAAGUUAAUGCCACGUGCUGAUGGUCCCUUUAAGGUGUUAGAGAAAAUAAAUGAUAAUGCAUAUAAACUUGAGCUGCCUGCAGAUUUUGGGGUUAGUCCCACUUUUAACAUUGCAGAUUUGAAGCCUUAUUUGGGUGAGGAAGAUGAACUUCCGUCGAGGACGACUUCAUUUCAAGAAGGGGAGGAUGAUGAGGACAUCAAUACAAUUGUUACACCCACAGCCCCUGCUGCUAUACAUACUGGACCAAUUACUAGAGCUUGUGCACGCCAACUAAAUUACCAGGUACUUUCGUUUCUUGGUAAUGAUUUCUAAUGUUUAUGAGAAUAUGAUGCUGCCUAAAUUGGAUACAUUUGUUUUGCUUACAAAUGAAGGGCCUAGCUUGGAGAAGUAUGAACAUUGGAGCAAGAACAAGCAUGGAGAUGAUGGCAUGCGCAAGGGGAACAAGAACGGAGUUACAAGUGAUGAUUUCAGGACUUUGAAGCCACCAUAAUGGGUGCAUGAAGCCUUGGACGAAAUAUACAAGAUGCCACUUCAUAAAUUUCGUCCCGAGGCUAUUUUAGGUGCUGCGUCACCUUAUUAUUGGGCCAAGCCCAUGUAAUUUCGAAAUACAUAAGUAUAGGCUAUUUUUAGAGUCCGUAUGUGUGGGGAAACAAGAGAUAGGGUUGAUUUCGGACCCCUCCCCCAAGGGCCACGAAAUUCCCCCCUCUUCCUCCAUAUAUACAGCCCUUAGGGCAUCGUUUAGACUUUGGGUUUUGUUUAGAUUAAAAGUUCGCCAUAGCUGCAACUUCGCGUACUUCGUUUGUGUUCAACGACCAGACAAAGGCGUCAUAGAACCCCACCUUGAUCAAUAAAGCUUUCAUCUUAUAUUCGCAAUAUCCAGAUUGCAAUCUCAGUUUCUUGCUUGUUCUUCGUUUGCUCGCAGGAAACAGACCCUCGUGGUCAGGUUGAUCGUGCUCCGGCAUGGUCAAUAACCUCUCGGAGUUGGUUUAGCGAUUGCUAAGGCACGACGUCCUCGCACGUUCGUAGUCGGAUCGUCAAAGUCGACUUCCAACAAAGCGAUAUCCAUCAUCUCAUCGAAAGACGGGACACCUUUGCCUCUAUCAAUCAUGUACAAGGCAGUGCACAUGACAUACGAAGCGUCCCCGAGUCGGCAUAGCCAAGGACUCUUUAAGACACAAUGAGACCACUGUAAAACCAAACGUGGAUUGGCGGACCACUAGACGUCGAACCCCAAUUUCAUAUCAUACAUCUGUCGGAAAGAUAUCCUAAGAGCUACUUGGAUUCCCACUUAUGAACUCCCGAAAUUUUCCCGGUUAUGCAAGCAGUUGUUGGGGAUAUAGGGGAAGCAUAAUAUCUCACCCAAACUAGCAAAUCCUACAUCCAGUUGUAUCCAUCCUUCAACACAUAACCAAGAAACCUUCGGAAAUCGUCUACCUCAACCUUCGAAAAGCAUCCGUUAUACGAGUUAUGGCGAUACUCCCGAACUCCCGCCCCAGUACUGGGUGGCGUCGAGGUUAUCUCACCAACAACUGCAUAAAAGAGAUUUUCGAUGUCGGCAAAACUAAUCUCAGGUAUUCCAGAACUGCAACGAUAAAAUUGUGACGACAACACCUCAGAGCUCAACUCCCCGGGACACUGCCACAACCCCUAAAUGACAGGAGGCACCAAGAACAAUGUUCUCGUCACAAAUCGAUCGGAACGAUUCCAAGAUACCCGCAUGAUCCUAAAAAAAUUUAGUGAAAUUUGAGAAGAGAAGAGUCAAAACUCUAUGUCAGGAUGCCUUACCAGAGCGAUGAAGGGACUGGGGAGUAAAAAGAAUUCCUAAACUCUCCGAUAUAUAAUUCCUAAAUGACUCAAAACAUUUUUUCUAGACUCAACUCGUCAGCUAAUUCGAUCAAGCAGUGGGGGCUCCUAAGGUCGGGGAAGGCUCUGAUUACCAACUUGAAACACCCUCGAUGCGGCUAUAUCUCCCACAUGUCAAAGCAUGACUUAGAGGCAUAACCGCAUUGAAAGCAAUGUCGCAAGUGAGGUAAUCUUCACACAACCCAUGUAAUACAUAAUGGAAAGAGAUACAUAGUUGGCUUACGAUCGCCACUUCACACAAUACAUGAAUAUAACAUUACAUCAACCAGAUACAAACAAGGUCCGACUACGGAACCACAAUAAAAGAAGAACCCCAAAUGCGACAAGGUCCCCGAUCGACCCCAACUGGGCUCCACUACUGAUCAAGACUAUUUAAGCUUAUAGGAAGGGUAAAAGGUAUGAGGUGGAGCUGCAGCAAGCGACUAGCAUAUUUGGUGGCUAACAUAUUCGCAAAAGAGAGCGAGAAGAGAAGGAAAAAGCAUGGUCGAACAACUAUGAUCAAGAAGUGAUCCAAGAACAACCUACGUCAAGCAUAACUCCAACAUCAUGUUCACUUCCCGGACUCCGCCGGAAAGAGACCAUCACAGUUACACACGCGGUUGAUGUAUUUUAAUUAAGGUAACUUCAGGUUUUCUACAAUCGGACGUUAACAAAUUCCCAUCUGCCCAUAACCGCGGGCACGGGUUUCGAAAGUUCAAAUCCCUGCAGGGGAGUCCCAACUUAGCCCAUGACAAGCUCUCACGGUCAACGAAGGAUAUACCUUCUCCCGAGACAUUCUGAUCAGACUCACUAUCCCGGUUCUACAAGACAACUUUGACAAGUAAAAACAAAUCCAGCAACACCGCCCGAAUGUGCCGACAAAUCCUGAUAGGAGCUGCACAUAUCUCAAUCUCAGGGCACACUCAGAUUGUCUAAACUUCUGGUAGGCCAGCCCAGAGUUGCCCCUGGUGGCCACCGGCGGCUAACAGGUUGGACCAACACUCAGAGGAGCACUGGCCCGGGGGUUUAAAUAAAGAUGACCCUUGAGUCCGCGGAACCCAAGGGAAAAAGAGGCUAGGUGAUAGAGGCUAAGGUGUCCCGUCUUUUGAUGAGCUGAUGGAUAUCGCUUUGGUGGCAGUCGACUUUGACGAUCCGACUACGAACGUGCGAGGACGUCGCGCCUUAGCAAUCGCUAAACCAACUCCGAGAGGUUAUUGACCACGCCGGAGCACGAUCAACCUGACCACGAGGGUCUGUUUCCUGCGAGCAAACGAAGAACAAGCAAGAAACUGAGAUUGCAAUCUGGAUAUUGCGAAUAUAAGAUGAAAGCUUUAUUGAUCAAGGUGGGGUUCUGUGACGCCUUUGUCUGGUCGUUGAACACAAACGAAGUAUGCGAAGUUGCAGCUAUGGCGAACUUUUAAUCUAAACAAAACCCAAAGUCUAAAUGAUGCCCUAAGGGCUGUAUAUAUGGAGGAAGAGGGGGGAAUUUCGUGGCCCUUGGUGGAGGGGUCCGAAAUCAACCAUAUCUCUUGUUUCCCCACACAUACGGACUCUAAAAAUAGCCUAUACUUAUGUAUUUCGAAAUUACAUGGGCCUGGCCUAAUAAUAAGGUGACGCAGCACCUAAAAUAGCCUCGGGACGAAAUUUAUGAAGUGGCAUCUUGUAUAUUUCGUCCAAGGCUUCAUGCACCCAUUAUGGUGGCUUCAAAGUCCUGAAAUCAUCACUUGUAACUCCGUUCUUGUUCCCCUUGCGCAUGCCAUCAUCUCCAUGCUUGUUCUUGCUCCAAUGUUCAUCCUUCUCCAAGCUAGGCCCUUCAUUUGUAAGCAAAACAAAUGUAUCCAAUUUAGGCAGCAUCAUAUUCUCAUGAACAUUAGAAUCAUUACCAAGAAACGAAAGUACCUAGUAAUUUAGUUGGCGUGCACGAGCUCUAGUAAUUGGUCCAGUAUGUAUAGCAGCAGCGGCUGUGGGUGUAACAAUUGUAUUGAUGUCCUCAUCAUCCUCCCCUUCUUGAAAUGAAGUCGUCCUCGACGGAAGUUCAUCUUCCUCACCCAAAUAAGGCUUCAAAUCUGCAAUGUUAAAAGUGGGACUAACCCCAAAAUCUGCAGGCAGCUCCAGUUUAUAUGCAUUAUCAUUUAUUUUCUCUAACACCUUAAAGGGACCAUCAGCACGUGGCAUUAACUUUGAUUUGCGCAAAUCAGGAAAUCUAUCCUUACGCCAAUGUAACCAAACAAGAUCUCCAGGUGCAAACACAACAUGUUUUCUACCCUUAUCUCCAGCAAGUUUAUAUUUAGCAUUCAUACGCUCAAUGUUUUCCUUAGUUAACUCAUGCAUUUUUAAAAUCAAUUCAGCACGUUGUUUAGCAUCAAAAUUAACCUUCUCCGAAGAUGGAAGAGGCAACAAAUCAAUAGGUGCACGAGGUAGGAAACCAUACACAACUUCAAAAGGGCACAUCUUAGUAGUAGAAUGCAAUGAACGAUUAUAAGCAAAUUCAAUAUGAGGCAAGCAUUCCUCCCACAUUUUCUUAUUAUUCUUCAAAACAGCCCUAAGCAUAGUAGACAACGUUCUAUUGACUACUUUAGUUUGUCCAUCAGUUUGGGGGUGACAAGUAGUACUAAAAAGCAGUUUAGUCCCCAACUUAGCCCAUAAACAUCUCAAAAGUGGCUAAGAAAUUUAGUAUCACGAUCUGAAACAAUAGUAUUUGGCACACCAUGCAAGCGAAUAAUUUCACGAAAGAACAAAUCAGCAACAUUAACAGCAUCAUCGCUUUUAUGACAUGGUAUAAAGUGUGUCAUUUUCGAGAAUCUAUCCACGACAACAAAUAUGCUAUCCCUCCCCUUCUUUGUUCGAGGUAAACCUAAAACAAAGUCUAUAGAUAUAUCCUCCCAAGGAACACUAGGUACAGGCAAAGGCAUAUAUAAACCAUGAGGAUUGAGUCGUGACUUAGCUUUUUCACAUGUAGUGCAGCGAGCAAUAAAACGCUCAACAUCCUGUCUAAUCUUUGGCCAAAAGAAAUGUGUAGCAAGUACGUCCUCCGUCUUAUUCACGCCAAAGUGUCCCAUUAAUCCUCCUCCAUGCGCCUCCUGCAACAACAAAAGACGAACGGAGCUAGCUGGAAUGCAUAGCUUGUUAGCACGAAACACAAAUCCAUCGUUAACAACAAACUUGUUCCACAUUCUUCCUUUUUUACAAUUCUGCAUUACAUCUUUAAAAUCAGCAUCAUGCACAUAUUGAUCUUUGAUAGUCUCCAAACCAAAUAUUUUGAAGUCAAGUUGUGAAAGCAUAGUAUAGCGACGAGACAAUGCAUCAGCAAUAACAUUUUCUUUUCCCUUCUUGUGUUUAAUGACAUAAGGGAAAGUCUCAAUGAAUUCAACCCAUUUAGCAUGUCUACGAUUCAGUUUAGCUUGACUUUUAAUAUGUUUCAAAGAUUCAUGAUCAGAAUGUAUAACAAAUUCUUUGGGCCAUAAAUAAUGUUGCCAUGUUUCUAAAGUCCGAACAAGAGCAUAUAAUUCUUUAUCAUAAGUAGAAUAAUUCAGACUAGGCCCACUCAAUUUUUCAGAAAAGUAUGCAACAGGUUUGCCAUCUUGUAAUAACACACCUCCUAAUCCAAUUCCACUAGCAUCACAUUCAAGCUCAAAAGUCUUAUUAAAAUCAGGAAGUUGGAGUAAAGGAGCAUGUGUCAACUUAUCUUUCAAUACCGUGAAGGCUUCUUCCUGUGUGGUACCCCAAAGGAAAGGCACAUCUUUCUUUGUAAGCUCAUUGAGAGGUGCAGCAAUGGUGCUGAAAUCUCUCACAAAACGCCUAUAGAAUCCAGCGAGGCCAAGAAAACUCCUCACUUGUGUGACCGUUUUGGGCUGCGGCCAACUCUCAAUAGCUUCAAUCUUGGCUUUAUCAACUUCAAUUCCCUGCGGAGUAACAACAUAGCCAAGAAAAGAUACUCGGUCGGUACAAAAGGUGCACUUCCCAAGGUUACCAAACAAACGUGCAUCACGAUAGCAAUAAAAACAGCACGUAAAUGUUCCAAAUGUUCUUCCAAAGAUCUGCUAUAAAUCAAUAUGCCAUCAAAGUAAACUACCACAAAUCGUCCAAUGAAAGCACGUAAAACUUCGUUCAUUAAUCUCAUGAAAGUACUAGGUGCAUUAGUUAACCCAAAAGGCAUGACUAACCACUCAUAUAAUCCAAACUUAGUUUUAAAUGCUGUUUUCCAUUCAUCUCCCAGUUUCAUAUGAAUUUGAUGGUAGCCACUACGCAAAUCAACUUUGGAGAAUAUUGUAGAGCCACUCAAUUCAUCAAGCAUAUCAUCUAGCCUAAGAAUAGGAUGACGAUAACGAAUAGUAAUAUUAUUAAUGCCUCUACAAUCAACACACAUACGUGAUGUACCAUCCUUUUUUGGCACUAGAAUAAUAGGAACAGCACAAGGACUAAGGGAUUCGCGUAUAUAACCUUUGUCGAGAAGCUCUUGUACUUGACGCAUAAUCUCCUUCGUCUCCUCUGGAUUGGUACGGUAUGGUGCACGGUUUGGCAGUGAAGCACCGGGAAUUAAGUCAAUCUGAUGCUCAAUCCCUCGAAUAGGUGGUAAUCCCGGUGGCACGUCUUGUGGAAAAACGUCAACGAACUCCUGCAAAAUGUUAGUGACAGCAGGAGGCAAAGAGGAAGGCACGUCCUCGAAUGAAAAUAAUGCCUCUUUGCACACAAAAGCAUAGCAAACAGAUUUGCUGAAAUCUAGCUCCUCAAUAUCAGAUUUGGUGGCAAAUAAACAUGCACUUUUCAAUUUAAUUUCAGAAGCAACACUAGAUGGUUUAUUAUUAGGCUUCAUUUGUUGCUCAAAUUCUUUUGCCACAAUCUGAUUUUCACUCUUAUUCUUCUCCUGUUUUGCUUUAUUAGCUCUAUUAAUAUCAUCUUUCAAAAUGGAAUCAGGAGUCAUAGGAAGCAAAGUAAUAUUUUUAUCCUUAUGAACAAGAGUAUAGUGAUUGUUUCUACCAUGGUGUACAGAAUUUUUAUCAAAUUGCCAUGGUCUACCAAGUAAUAAGGAACAUGCUUGCAUAGGUACCACAUCACAAUCAACAUAAUCAGCAUAUGUAGAGAUACUAAAAUGCACACGAACAGUACGUGUUACCUUAACCUUGCCGCUGUUGUUGAACCAUUGGAUGUAGUAAGGAUGUGGAUGUGGUCUUGUGGUGAGAGAAAGCUUCUCCACCAUCUCCAUGCUAGCCAAGUUGUUGCAGCUCCCUGCAUCUAUUAUGACGCGCACAGAACGUUCCUUCACAACUCCCUUGGUAUGGAACAAAUUGUGCCUCUGAUUUUGCUCAGCUUGUGUGACCUACACACUCAAAACACGUUGAGCAACUAAACAUUCAUACCUGUCAGCGUCUUCAGGAGCCAUGUAUUGCGUCUCAUGAUCAGAAUCAUCUCCACCAUGUUCUUCACAUGUAAUAAGAGCCAAUGUCUCCUCCUCAUAGUCACUAGCGGACUCAUAUCCACCACCCUCGGUAGCAAUCAUCACACGCGGAGAUUUGCAUUCUCUCGCAUAAUGACCUCCUCCCUUACAACGACGACAAAUAAAUCACUUGUGUGCCCUGUUGAUGCCCUGGAAGAAGCAGAACUCUGUGCAGGCCCGGCAGGUGCGCUCUUGGCAGAUAAUGGUGGUUGUUCCUGUUUUGUUGUAUCACGGCUGUAGGAGGCACCUGAUUGAGGUGCUGGUGCAGUUGAAGUAGAAGAUGCACGCGGUGUCCAUGAUGAAGGUCGGCCUGCAGAAAAGUUAGUUCGUGCCAAUGCUUGUCGAUCCUGCACUUCACGUUCGGCUUUACAAGCAAGAUGGAAUAAACGAGUGAUAUUAGUAUACUCCUUAUAGUCUAGAAUGGUCUGAAUCUCUCUAUUUAAUCCACCCAGAAAACGUGCAAGCAUAGCUUCAUUCUCCUCAACAAUACCACAUCGAAUCAGGCCAGUUUGUAAUUCCUGAUAAUAUUCUUCUAUAGAAUUUUUUUCCUUGUCUUAAACGCUGCAAUUUUUGAAACAAUUCACGUUGAUAAUAUGGUGGAACCCAACGCGUACGCAUAGCAGUUUUCAAAGCAGCCCAAGUAGUUGGAAUAGGAUAUAAUCUACAAUGUUCAGACCACCAGACACAUGCAAAACUAGUGAAAGCACAAACAGCAGCAGCAACCCAUCUCUCCUCGGGAUAUUGUAAACAUGUAAAAUGUUGUUCAAUUUCUAACUCCCAAGUAAGAUAUAUAUCAGGAACAUAUCUACCCUCAAAUGGUGGAAUAUUCAAUUUCAGUUUAGGAAUAUGGACAUCAUCUCGUACCUAAGGUGGUGGUGCAGGCCUACCAUUACGAAUAUAUACCUGAGGUCGACCUGCUGGUGGUGGUGCUGGUGGUUGCACGUAGUUCUGAUUUUAAGCAACCUCAUCCUCGUAAUCUCCCACAUAAUCAUCCUCCUCCGCAUCAGCAGCAGGAGCCACAGAAGUAUCAACAGCAGCACCAACAGUUUGGCCAAACGCAAGAGGAACACGGCUCGCUCGGCGGAGGUCUAUUUCGCGACGUGGAGGUAGUCGUUGUUGUUGUUGUUGGAGAGGUGCGUUAGGUGCAGCGGGUGGUGGUGGUGGAAGACGCGCGAGCAAUUCAUUAAACUUGUUAUCGAGCUUUGUUUCGAACGUCUUCACCAUGCCAUCUAUCUUCUCCAUGGCCUGUUCAAAUCUGUUUAGCACGUCUUGCACCUGUCCACUCAUCAUUUGCUGAAAUUUAUCAUGCAAAUCCUUAUUCGUCAUGUUCUCCCAGUCAGUCUCGUCGGCUUGUGAUCCUGGCAUGGUUAGCAGCAAUAGAAACACACAAGAAUAUGAUCCUACAGACUACUAACAAGAGGUGGUGGUGGGUGUCACAAAUCCGUCAAGCAAAUCUCAAAUUCUUACCAGUUCUUACCCAGCAGUAGGCGGUGAUCGGCAACCGUUGUAGUCAAAAACUCUCAUAGCUUGGAUAGAGCGAUUACCAGGGAGAGUCAAACGCAGGACGUAGAUGUAUGUGGAGCUGGGAAGGCUUAUAAUAUGGUAGCAAAAAGGGUUAGCAAUAAUCAAUUCAGAGAUGCAAAGUUGAAUAAACGCUCAACGACGGUACUGUGCUGGUCCUAGGCUAGACUGUGCUAGAGACGCGAGCCUAGAACACCAACAAAAUCACGGCGCCGCACGUAAACAGGGGAAAAGCACACUCUGGAAUUUUUUUUCCGCUCUUUUUUUUGCGAAAAAUCACUAUAAUGGCGAGUGUCUCAAAACUCUUCCCAGCUCAAACUGACAGAUGGGCACGAAAUUUUUUCGACCAAUUUUUUUUUGACUGCCCGGACCCAAAAACUGGAAACGGGUCAAAAAAACUUCCUAUAAUGCCACCUGUCUCAAAACACUCAGAAACACCUAAAAAUAGGAUAGCCAGAAAUUUUUUCGAAAAAUGCAUUUUCGAAAAAAUUUGGGCCUAAACGGAGCGUGGUUUCCGUACUCUUUUUUUUUCGAAACCUACUCCGGCAAGGAAACACGAAUCGGAAUCUAGAUGCCUCUCGAAAACAAACCUAAUAUGACAAGAACUCGGAUUGCUGGUGGAUAUAUGGUGGUAGAUGGCAGCGGUGGUGGUAUAUGGAUACGGAUUCGAAGCGGUGGCGGAUAAGCGGUGGUGGUAGAUUGCAGGGGUGAUGAUGAUGGUGCGGCGGCGGCGUGACAACUUAUGACCAGAACUCGAAACUCUAAAAGACUAGACUCUAAGACCAGCAACUAGACACGACGAUGCAACCGCAAAUUCAACAAAGCAAAACCCUAGAAAGAUUAUGCAAAGGCUCAGAUUGGUUCGGAUAUGAUGAACUAACCUUAAUUUUUUUGUGGCUUUUUUAUGGACUAUAGGUAUGAAGAACAGACUCGAUCUAAACUACGAAAAACUGUAAAAUC
rnacentral:lncRNA from 1 species